CGUUGGCGAGCUCCUUCUCCUUGUUCUCGAGGGUGGGGGCGAAGUUGAGGGGGUUGAAGACGCUGCCGGGGUAGCCGCACUCGUGGGGCGGGAGGCUGUAGCUCUUGAAGAUGGGGUCCUGGUUGACGGAGCCCGGGUUCUUGAUGUCCUGCCACCGCCGGAUCUCGACGUAGUGGAAGAGGAUGAACUCGAUGACGAAGAGCGUGGAGGAGGAGGCGAAGUAGGUCUCCUUGCCGGCGUCGUACCACUCGGGCGCGUUCAGCAGCCCCGCCUUGGUCAGCACCUCCGGGAUCAGCAUCCCCGCCACCCCCAGCAUCGCCCACCGCCCGUUCACCAGCUCCGCCUGCACGAACCACCGCAGGUCCUCCGGGUCCUCCGCCAGCGCCAGCGGGUCAAAACCAUUGUCACCCGCCAGACUGCACACGUAUCGUCCGUCAGUACGGUCGUAAACAUAUGUAACAGCUGCGUGCAUGGGCACGACGGAAGUGGUGUGGCGUGUCGUGUGGUCUGCUCACCUGCCGUCGAGGUAGGCAGGGGACUGGAGGCCGGGGAGCCAGGACCCCUUGGCCUGGACGGCGACGUCGCGGCGGGUGGACUUGGCGAGCCCGACGCGGCCGGAGUCGCCCAGGAACCGGGGGCUCGACGCUGACGCCGCCGGCCGGAGAGCGGCCACGGGAGCGCGGGCACUGACCGACGACAUCUUCUGCUACUCCUGACUAGAGAGCGCGUACGGCAGGAGAGUGAGAGUGCGCGCGUGUGUGUGUGGUGGUUCUGCCUCUCCGCACCUGCGCUUGGCCCUUUGUAUUGGGCUGCGCUUCGGUGAUUUGUGGGUGUGGUGAGCUGGGCCCCGGAGGUCGAGAUGGACGGCGUGUGUUGGCGCCACCGCGUCGUCCGACGGCUGCGAUGCGUUUGCGCCUGGAGACUGGAUAGAUGGACCAGUGGGAGACCGGGAGGCGUAUGUGCGUUAUCUGGAUGAUGGAUAAUGCGGAAUCAAAAGGGGGAUCGCUAUUGGUCGGGGAAACGCACGUUCGGUUUACCUGGCUGCCACGUCGAUCGGACGAUCCGUCAUGAUGUACAGCUGUACAUGGUGCCAUGGCGGGUUGGUCUGUUUGCUUCAACUUUCGAGCUCUUCCACGGGAAACCGGCUUUCGCCCUAGAAAUGGCACGGAUGGUCGAACGGAUACAAGGUGAUGGAAAGAACCCCAUAGAAGGCGGUCGCGGCGAGCCGUCACGAUCCCGUAAUCGAACAAGAAAAUAAGAGUCGCCACACCUAACAUGAGGCGACCUAGACUAUUGAAUCGGAACUCAACCGUGCCGCCUAGGAAAAUCAUAGACCAUUAUGCAUAAAACACAUCAAGUUAUCGCCGGAGAAAGUAAGUGUCGAUCCAAUCCGUGGAGUUCCAAUCCUGCGAGCAGAUAGCGAGGACCAAUGACAUUGACUACGAGGACACGUGUAAAUGAUAGGGGAUCAACGGAUCCACUCCACGACGAAGCCGAAGGCACCGAUGUGCUGUAACUGGAUGAUAUUUGUGUUCCCCGACAAUGCCCCGAGGAGGGUAAUGAUGUAGAGCGUUGAUACGUCUCCAACGUAUUUAUGGUGUUUUUAUUGUGUCAUGCUAUUAUAUUAUCAAUUUCGGAUGCUUUAUAUGCUAUUUUAUAUCAUUUUUAAGAACUAACCUAUUAACCGAGUGUCCAGUGUCAGUUCCUAUUUUUUGCGUGUUUUGACUUCUCAGAAAAUCAAUAACAAACGAAGUUCAAACAUGAUGAAACUUUAUGAUGAUUCUUUCUGGACCAAAAAGGGACCCCUAGAAGGUUCGGGAGGAGGCCAGAAGACGUAGGGAGAGCCACAAGCUCACAGGGUGCGCCCCCCCCCCCCCGGGGGNNNNNNNNNNNNNNNNNNNNNNNNNNNNNNNNNNNNNNNNNNNNNNNNNNNNNNNNNNNNNNNNNNNNNNNNNNNNNNNNNNNNNNNNNNNNNNNNNNNNGACGUCUAACUUGUUUUUGCAGGGUAUGAUUGUGAUGUGAUAUGGCCAAUGAUGUGAUGUGAUAUAUUGGAUGUAUGAGAUGAUCAUGUUGUAAUAGAAAUAUCGACUUGCACGUCGAUGGUACGGCAACCGGCAGGAGCCAUAGGGUUGUCUUUAUACUAACGUUUGUGCUUGCAGAUGCGUUUACUAUUUUGCUAGGAUGUAGCUUUAGUAGUAAUAGCAUAAGUAGCACGACAACCCCGAUGUCAACAUGUUGAUGGAUGAUCAUGGUGUGGCGCCGGUGACAAGAAGAUCGUGCCGGUGCUUUGGUGAUGGAGAUCAAGNNNNNNNNNNCUUGCAGAUGCGUUUACUAUAUUGCUAGGACGUAGCUUUAGUAGUAAUAGCAUGCGUAGCACGACAACCCCGAUGGCGACACGUUGAUGGAGAUCAUGAUGAUGGAGAUCAUGGUGUGACGCCGGUGACAAGAAGAUCGUGCCGGUGCUUUGGUGAUGGAGAUCAAGAAGCACGUGAUGAUGGCCAUAUCAUGUCACUUAUGAAUUGCAUGUGAUGUUAAUCCUUUUUGCACCUUAUCUUUCUUAGAACGACGGUAGCAUUAUGAGGUGAUCUCUCACUAAAAUUUCAAGACGAAAUUGUGUUCUCCCCGACUGUGCACCGUUGCGACAGUUCUUCGUUUCGAGACACCAGGUGAUGAUCGGGUGUGAUAGACUCAACGUUCACAUACAACGGGUGCAANNNNNNNNNNUGAAAUUGUGUUCUCCCCGACUGUGCACCGUUGCUACAGUUCGUCAUUUCGAGACACCACGUGAUGAUCGGUGUGAUAGACUCAACGUUCACAUACGACGGGUGCAAAACAGUUGCGCACGCGGAACACUCGGGUUAAGCUUGACGAGCCUAGCAUGUGCAGACAUGGCCUCGGAACACAUGAGACCGAAAGGUCGAUCAUGAAUCAUAUAGAUGAUGUGAUUAGCAUAGGGAUGCUUACCACUGAAACUAUACUCAACUCACGUGAUGAUCGGACUUGAGAUAGUGUAGGUGGAUCAUGAACCACUCAAAUGACUAGAGAGAUGUAAUUUUUGAGUGGGAGUUUAGCAGAUAAUUUGAUUAAGUUGAACUCUAAUUAUCUUCAACAUAGUCUAAGUCCACUUUGAAUAUAUUUGUGUUGUAGAUCAUGGCUGACGCAAGUGUCAUCCUGAAUUUUAAUACGUUCCUAGAGAAAGCUAAGUUGAAAGAUGAUGGAAGCAACUUUGUAGACUGGGCUCGUAAUCUUAAGCUAAUCUUACAAGCUGGGAAGAAGGAUUAUGUCCUUGAUGCUGCGCUAGGAGAUGAACCACCCGCUACGGCUGAUCAGGAUGUUAAGAACGCUUGGUUAGCGCGUAAGGAGGACUACUCAAUAGUUCAAUGUGCAGUCUUGUAUGGCUUAGAACCGGGACUUCAACGUCGCUUUGAGCGUCAUGGAGCAUUUGAGAUGUUCCAGGUGUUGAAGUUUAUCUUUCAGAAGAACGCCUGGAUCGAGAGGUAUGAGACCUCCGAUAAAUUCUAUGCUUGCAAGAUGGAGGAAAACUCGUCUGUCAGUGAACAUGUGCUCAAAAUGUCUGGGUACUCAAACCGUCUAGCUGAGCAGGGGAUUGAACUCCCGCAAGAGGCUAUCACUGACAGAAUCCUUCAAUCACUGCCACCAAGCUACAAAGGCUUUGUGUUGAACUACAACAUGCAAGGGAUGAACAAGUCACCCGGCGAGUUGUUUGCGAUGUUGAAAGUCGCAGAGUCUGAACUCCGUAAAGAGCAUCAAGUGUUGAUGGUGAAUAAGACCACUAGUUUCAAGAGAAACGGCAAAGGCAAGAAGGGUAAUUCAAAGAAGAGACUUGCCGGUAAACGAGAUUGAAAUAGGUAUGCGGAUACUGACGAUCGAAUCUCGGGCAAGUAACAUACCGAAGGACAAAGGGAAUGACAUACGGGAUUAUANNNNNNNNNNNNNNNNNNNNNNNNNNNNNNNNNNNNNNNNNNNNNNNNNNNNNNNNNNNNNNNNNNNNNNNNNNNNNNNNNNNNNNNNNNNNNNNNNNNNUGUGUGUGUGUGUGUGUGCACACUUGUGAUAGUGCAAGUGAUGUGUGUAUGUGUUUAUGUGGCUUAGUUGAAAAGUGGCUCAUGUGAUCUUGCUAGUGUGUUUGGGUGUGUAGUACUUGCAAAGUAUGUGCAUUGUGGAAUAGGUGAGAUGUGUGUGUUGAGGUGAUGUGUGUGUAAGUAGUGCACACAUAUGUGGUACCUAGCAGGAGUGUAUGUAUGUGUGGAUCCAUGUUUACUUGCAUAGCAGUUGUUCCUUCAUGUUGUGCUUGAGAUUAAGUGCUUGUGAUGAGGGUAUUGUGAUGAUAUGUGUGUGGUGAUAACAGCCCCAUUUUCAACACUUGUGCACCUCCUCAUGUUCAUAUGAGAGAGGACAUGAUGUGUGUGUGUGUGAGGGUGAUCUAGUGAAAGUUGUGCUAGUGGUGUUGANNNNNNNNNNGCAACACUUGUGCACCUCCUCAUGUUGAUAUGAGAGAGGGCAUGAUGUGUGUGUGUGAGGGUGAUCUAGUGAAAGUUGUGCUAGUGGUGUUGAUAUGCAUAACACAUACAUGGGGUUCAAACCCCCAUGUCACUUUUUCAUUGUGCACAUGAGCUCAACCUUUGUAGUUGUUGACUUAGUAGGAACUACAUGAAAUGAUGCCCAUUCCCUAGGCAUGAUUUGGAGUAGUUUCCUCUCCCUUAUUUUGUGGUCACUUGUUCCAAGUAAGUGCCCACAUAUUAUAUAUGAUUUUGGGGUAGAAUCUCCCAAGGAAUCCAGUGGUGAAGUUAGUUUUUCCAUUACGAUACUUUAUGGAGUUGACAUAUUCAGAUUUGUUGCAAGUUUGAUCUUUGAUUCCAUGGAAUAGGUGGAGCCCAAGGGCANNNNNNNNNNGCCAUUAGGAUAAUUUCUGGAGUUGACAUAUUCAGAUUUAUUGCAAGUUUGAUCUUUGAUUCCAUGGAAUAGGUGGAGCCCAAGGGCAUGAGUUUUUGUGUGAUAGUAGUAGGGUUUUGCUCUACACCAUAGUGGUGUCAUAUAUCACUUGGUGUUACUUGUGUGCAAACUAUGCCUAGACAAAGUGGGCAUGUGGUUGAAAAUUCCAGUUUAGUGAAAUCUGGAAUUUCACUAAGUCUGGGAUUCUGGAAACAUUUUCUUCUCUUAUAGAUGAGGAUGUGCUGGUCAUUGUGUUGAGAUCUAGCCUUAGUUCAGUGCUAGGAUUUUGGACCUGAUAUGUUUUUUAAGUUCCCUGUCAAAUUUCAAAUCAUUUGGAGUCUAGUAGGUUGUGUUUUGAUUGCUGUCAAAAAGCUUCAGAACAAAGACAGNNNNNNNNNNAUAGCCUUAGUUCAGUGCUAGGAUUUUGGACCUGAUAUGUUUGUGAUGCUUCCUGUCAAAUUUCAAAUCAUUUCGAGUCCAGUAGGUUGUGUUUUGAUUGCUGUCAAAAAGCUUCAGAACAAAGACAGAAAUUCAGGUGCAGGAAUUUUCACCAAGUCCCUGAGAUCUGAUGGUUUUGGGGAAGUUUGUGGCCUUGUAUAUUAAUUCCUUUUGCUGUGAUUCUUGCUGGUGCUUGUAGGGUUCUUAGUGGGCUACAGCCACAUAUAUUAUUUGACAUAUUUGGUGGCCUGUAGCUAUGUUGCAUGUAGCUCACAAAGUGCUAAGAUGCAGUUUAUGGCAGAUUAUGUAGUUUUGUCAUUUCUAUGAUUGUGUGUGCUUAGUGGAUGUGGUGGUGCUCUUACUUGCUCCAAUCCAUUCAUGUGGGAGUGGUACAUGUCUUGGCAACCUGNNNNNNNNNNUAUGCAGUUUAUGGCAGAUUAUGUAGUUUUGUCAUUUUGAUGAUUGUGUGUGCUUAGUGGAUGUGGUGGUGCUCUUCCUUGCUCCAAUCCAUUCAUGUGGGAGUGGUACAUGUCUUGGCAACCUGGGAAUACCAGAUUUGUGCCAAUUGUGAGUGUGGUGUUGAUUCUUACACGUAGAGCUUCAUAUCUUGUUUCGUUGAUUCCCGUUGAACCGUAGCUCCGUUCGCAAUGUUCUUUAUAUGUUUUUGCAUAGUUUUCACGAGACGCAUCUCUUCAUGCCAUUCUCAUGCAUGUAAAAAUAUCCUAGUUUACAGUUCUGUCCAGAAACUUAUAGUAGUUCUUUUGCUUGUGCUAGUGAUAGAAAUAGUGAUGCAUGCUCAUUUUUCANNNNNNNNNNACAAUGUUCUUUAUAUGUUUUUGCAUCGUUUUCACGAGACGCAUCUCUUCAUGCCAUUCUCAUGCAUGUCGAAAUAGCCUAGUGUAAAGUUCUGUCCAGAAACUUAUAGUAGUUCCUUUUGCUUGUGCUAGUGAUAGAAAUAGUGAUGCAUGCUCAUUUUUCAUCUCAUGCAUCAUGUGAUUGUUGCAUCUUGUNNNNNNNNNNNNNNNNNNNNNNNNNNNNNNNNNNNNNNNNNNNNNNNNNNNNNNNNNNNNNNNNNNNNNNNNNNNNNNNNNNNNNNNNNNNNNNNNNNNNGAACAACAUUCGGUAACCAACCAUAUAACUCAAAUACGCAUAAAACAAUGUCGAACCUUAAGUGUGCAGACCCUACGGGUUCAGGAACUAUGUAGACAUCACCCGAGAGACUCCUCGGUCAAUAUCCAAUAGCGGGACCUGGAUGCCCAUAUUGGAUCCUACAUAUUCUACGAAGAUUUUAUCGUUUGAACAUCAGUGCCAAGGAUUCAUAUAAUCCCGUAUGUCAUUCCCUUUGUCCUUCGGUAUGUUACUUGCCCGAGAUUCGAUCAUCAGUAUCCGCAUACCUAUUUCAAUCUCAUUUGCCGGCAAGUCUCUUUACUCGUUCCGUAAUACAAGAUCCGCAACUUACACUAAGUCACAUUACUUGCAAGGCUUGUGUAUGAUGUUGUAUUACCGAGUGGGCCCCGAGAUACCUCUCCGUCACACGGAGUGACAAAUCCCAGUCUCGAUCCAUACUAACUCAACUAACACCUUCGGAGAUACCUGUAGAGCAUCUUUAUAGUCACCCAGUUACNNNNNNNNNNNNNNNNNNNNNNNNNNNNNNNNNNNNNNNNNNNNNNNNNNNNNNNNNNNNNNNNNNNNNNNNNNNNNNNNNNNNNNNNNNNNNNNNNNNNGUAGACCGAUAAUUUCUGCAUCUACUACUAUUACUCCACACGUCGACCGCUAUCCAGCAUGCAUCUAGUGUUUUGAGUUCAUGACGAACAGAGUAACGCCUUAAGAAAGAUGACAUGAUGUAGAGGGAUAAUCUCAAACCAAUGAUGAAAACCCCAUCUUUUUACCCUUGAUGGCAACAACACGAUACGUGCCUCGCUACCCCUUCUAUCACUUGGUGAGGUCACCGCACGGUAUGAACCCAAAACCAAGCAAUUCUCCCAUUGCAAGAAUCAUAGAUCUAGUUGGCCAAACAAAACCCACAACUCGAAGUGAAUUACAAGGAUAUGCAAUCAUGCAUAAGAGAGAUCAGAAGAAACUCAAAUAAGAUUCAUAGAUAAUCUGAUCAUAAAUCCACAAUUCAUCGGAUCUCGACAAACACACCGCAAAAGAAGAUUACAUCGGAUAGAUCUCCAUGAAGAUCAUGGAGAACUUUGUAUUGAAGAUCCAAGAGAGAGAAGAAGCCAUCUAGCUACUAGCUAUGGACCCGUAGGUCUGUGGUGAACUACUCACGCAUCAUCGGAGAGGUCAUGGUGUUGAUGAAGAAGCCCUCCGUAUCCGAAUCCCCCCUCGGUAGGGCACCAGAAUGUGCCCCAGAUGGGAUCUUGCGGAGACAGAAGCUUGCGGCGGCGGAAAAGUACUUUUGAUGAUCUCCUGAUUUUUUCUGGGAUUUUAGGUAAUUUAUAGGCGAAAGACCUAGGGAAGAGGUGGCCCAGGGAGCCCACAAGCCUGGGAGGCGCGGGCCCCCCUGGCCGCGGCUAGGGGGCUUGUGGGGUCCCUGCUGCCCCCCUGCCCAGAUUCUCAGGCUUCUUGAUCUUCUUAUAUUUCGGAAAAAAUCUUUUUGGCAGUUUCGUUCCGUUUGGACUCCGUUUAAAAUCCUCCUCUGAAAAGGGUCAAAAACAUGGAAAAAACAGGAACUGGCACUUGUCACUGAGUUAAUAAGUUAGUCCCAAAAAAUAUAUAAAAGGCAUACAAAACAUCCAAAGUUUGACAAGAUAAUAGCAUGAAACCAUCAAAAAUUAUAGAUACGUUGGAGAUGUAUUAACCUACGAGGUUUGUAGUAACUUGAUCCGAAGCUCUAAUGAUCACUAUCAUCAGCUUCCACUUCAAUUGGUGUAGGCGUCACAGGAACAACUUCCUGCGCCCUGCUACACACUGGUUGAAGUGACGGUUCAAUAACCUCAUCAAGUUCCACCAGUCUCCCACCCAAUUCUUUGGAGAGAAACCUUUCCUCGAGAAAGGAUCCGUUUCUAGAAACAAACACUUUGCUUCCGGAUCUGAGAUAGGAGAUGUAUCCAACUGUUUUGGAUAUCCUAUGAAGAUGCAUUUAUCCGCUUUGGGAUCGAGCUUAUUAGACUGAAACCUUUUCACAUAAGCAUCGCAACCCCAAACUUUCAAGAAACGACAGCUUAGGUUUCUCUAAACCAUAGUCUAUGGCGUGUCAUCUCAACGGAAGUAUGCGGUGCCCUAUUUAAAGUGAAUGUGGUUGUCUCUAAUGCAUAACCCAUAAACGAUAGUGGUAAUUCGAUAAGAGACAUCAUAGUAUGCACCAUAUCAUAAUAGGGUGUGGCUAUGACGUUCACACACAUCAUCACACUAUGGUGUUCCAGGUGGCAUGAACUGCGAAACAAUUUUCACAUUGUCUUAACUGCGUACCAAAAACUCGCAACUCAGAUAUUCAUCUCUAUGAUCAUAUCGUAGACAGUUUAUCCACUUGUCACAACGAUCUUCACUCUGAAAUAGCUUUGAACUUUUCAAUAUUUCAGACUUGUGAUUCAUCAAGUAAAUACUCGUGUAUCUACUCAAAUCGUCAGUGAAGUAAGAACAUAACGAUAUCCACUGCGUGCCUCAGCACUCAUUGGACUGCACACAUCAAAAAUGUAUUACUCCCAACAAGUUACUCUCUUGUUUCAUGUAGCAUGAUCUGCAUGUCUCAAGUGAUUCAAAAUCAAGUGAGCCCAAACGGUCCAUCCGCAUGGAGUUUCUUCAUGCGUUUAUACCAACAAGUAUGGUUUGCAUGUUUCAAUCGUUUCAAAAAAUGAGUGAGUACAAAGAUCCAUCAGCAUGGAGCUUCUUCAUGCAUUUUAUACCAACAUGACUCAAGUGGCAGUGCUACAACUAAGUGGUACUAUCAUUAUAACUUUGUAUCUUUUGGCACCAAUAUUAUGAACAUGUGUAACACUAUGAUCGAGAUUCAAUAAACCAUUGAGGGUAAUUAUUCAAGCAAAUAGAAUAACUAUUAUUCUCUUUAAUUGAAUAAUUGUAUUGCAAUGAACACGAUCCAAUCAUGUUCAUGAUUAACGCAAUCACCAAAUAACAAUUAUUUAAGUUUUACCACCAAUCUGGAUGAUAGAGGGAGCGUGCGAUGUUUGAUCACAUCAACCUUGGAAACACUUCCAACACGUAUUGUCACCUCGCCUUUAGCUAGUCUCCGUUUAUACCGUAGCUUUCAUUUCGAGUUACUAAUCACUUAGCAACCGAACCGGUAUCGAAUACCCUCGUGCUACUAGGAGUAAAGUACACAUCAAUAUCAUGCAUAUCAAAUAUACUUCUGUCGACUUUGCCAGCCUUCUUAUCUACCAAGUAUCUAGGGUAGCUCCGCCUCACUGACCGUUCCCCUCAUAACAGAAGCACUCAGUCUCGGGUUUGGGUUCAAUUUUGGGUUUCUUCAUUAGAGCAGCAACUUGUUUGCCGUUUCAUGAAGUAUCCCUUCAAGCCCUUACCCUUCUUGAAACUAGUGGUUUUACUAAGCAUCAACAAUUGAUGCUCCUUCUUGAUUUCUACUUUCACAGUGUCAAACAUUGCAAAUCACUCAAGGAUCAUCAUAUCUAUCCUUGAUUUGUUUAUAGUUCAUCACGAAGCUCUAGCAGCUUAGUCGCAGUGACUUUGGAGAACCAUCACUAUCUCAUCUGGAAGAUUAACUCCCACUUGAUUCAAGCGAUUGUUGUACUGAGACAAUCUGAGAACAUGCUCAACGAUUUGAGCUUUUCUCCUUUACUUUGUAGGCAAAGAAUCUUGUCGGAGGUCUUAUAUCUCUCAACAAGGGCACGAGCAUGAAAUCUCAAUUUCAUCUCUUUGAACAUCUCUUAUGUUCUGCGAUGUUUUCAAAACGUCUUCAGUGCCUUGCUUCUAAGCCAUUAAGUAUUGCGCACUGAACUAUUAUGUAGUCAUCAAAGACGUGUAUGUCAGAUGUUUGCAGCAUCCACAAACAACACCUGAGGUGCAGCACACCAAGUGGUGCAUUAAGGACAUAAGACUUCUGCGCAACAAUGAGGACAAUACUCAGUUUUACGGACUGAGUCCGCAAAGUUGCUACUAUCAACUUUGAACUAAAUUUUCUCUAGGAACAUAUAAAAACAGUAGAGCUAUAGCGCAAGCUACAUCGUAAUUUGCAAAUACCAUUGGACUAUGUUCAUGAUAAUUAGUUCAAUUAAUCAUAUUACUUAAGAACUCCCACUCAAAAAGUACAUCUCUCUAGUCAUUUGAGUGGUACAUGAUCCGAAUCCACUAUCUCAAGUCCGAUCAUCACGUGAGUCGAGAAUAGUUUCAGUGGCAAGCAUCUCUAUGCUAAUCAUAUCAACUAUACGAUUCAUGCUCGACCUUUCGGUCUCUUGUGUUCCGGGGCCAUGUCUGCACAUGCUAGGCUCGUCAAGUUUUACCCGAGUGUUCCGCGUGUGCAACUGUUUUGCACCCGUUGUAUGUGAACGUUGAGUCUAUCACACCCGAUCAUCACGUGGUGUCUCGAAUCAACAAACUGUAGCAACGGUGCAGAGUCGGGGAGAACACAAUUUCGUCUUGAAAUUUUAGUGAGAGAUCACCACAUAAUGCUAUCGUCGUUCUAAGCAAAAUAAGGUGCAUAAAAGGAUUAACAUCACAUGCAAUUCAUAAGUGAAUGAUAUGGCCAUCAUCACGUGCUUCUUUAUCUCCAUCACCAAAGCAUCGACAUGAUCUUCUUGUCACCGGUGCCACACCAUGAUCUCCAUCAACGUGUCGCCAUCGGGGUUGUCGUGCUACUUAUGCUAUUACUACUAAAGCUACGUCCUAGCAAUAUACUAAACGCAUCUGCAAACACAAACGUUAGUUUAAAGACAACCCUAUGGCUCCUGCGGGUUGCCGUACCAUCGACGUGCAAGUCGAUAUUAACUAUUACAACAUGAUCAUCUCAUACAUCCAAUAUAUCACAUCACGUCAUUGGCCAUAUCAUAUCACAAGCAUAUCCUUCGAAAACAAGUUAGACGUCCUCUAAUUGUUGUUGAAUGUUUUACGUGGUUUCAAUGGGUAUCUAGUAGAUCGCAUCUUACUUACGCAAAAACCACAACGCAGAUGUGCAAAUUGCUAUUUAUCCUCUCCAGGGACCGCCUCGGUCAAAACCAAUUCAACUAAAGUUGAAGAAACCGACACCCGCCAGUCAUCUUUAUGCAACGAGGUUGCAUGUCAAUCGAUGAAACUAGUCUUUUGUAAGCAUACGAAUAAUGUCGGUCCGGGCCGCUUCAAUCCAAAAAUACCGCCAAAUUGAGAAAAGACUCAGGAGGGCAGCAAAUCGAACAUCACCGUCCAGAAAACCCUUUGUGUUCUACUCGAGAUUACAUCUACGCAUGAACCUAGCUCAUGAUGCCUAUGUUGGGGAACGUCGCAUGGGAAACAAAAAAUUUCCUACGCGCACGAAGACCUACCGUGGUGAUGUCCAUCUACGAGAGGAGAUUUGGAUCUACGUACCCUUAAAGAUCGCACAGCAGGAAGCGUUAAGAAACGCGGUUGAUGUAGUGGAACGUCCUCACGUCCCUCGAUCCGCCCCNNNNNNNNNNUCCGUCCCACGAUCCGCUCCGAUCUAGUGCCGAACGGACGGCACCUCCAUGUUCAGCACACGUACAGCUCGACGAUGAUCUCGGCCUUCUUGAUCCAGAAAGUAAGACGAAGAAGUAGAUGAGUUCUCCGGCAGCGUGAAGGCGCUUCGGUGGUGGUUGCUACGACAACAAAAGUUCUUCCCCGGCAAUGGCGCCAGAAAUCCUUCUUGCUACUUCUCAAACAACAACGCCAAAAUUGACACGUUGACGGAGACUUGCUUGCGUCGGUUUUUGCCUUGAAGAGGAAAGGGUGAUGCAGCACAGGAGCAGUAAGUAUUUCCCUCAGUUUGAGAACCAAGGUAUCAAUCCAGUAGGAGAAUCUCGUCAAGUCCAGAGUACCUCCACAAACAUAAAGAUCUUGCACCCAAUGCUAUAAAGGGGUUGUCAAUCCCUUCAAGAUUGAUUGCAAAGUGAGAUUUGAAGGCGGAAAGUGCAACGAAGUAAAAUUGUAAGGCUAAAAAUAUGGUGUGGAGUAGACCCCGGGGCCAUAGUGUUCACUAGAGGCUUCUCUCAAAAUAGCAAAUAUUACAGUGGGUGAACAAAUUACUGUCGAGAAAUUGAUAGAACCGCGCAAAGUCAUGACGAUAUCUAAGGCAAUGAUCAUACAUAUAGGCAUCACGUCCGAGACAACUAGACCGAUACUUUCUGCAUCUACUACUAUUACUCCACACAUCGACCGCUAUCCAGCAUGCAUCUAGUGUAUUGAGUUCAUGACGAACAGAGUAACGCCUUAAGCAAGAUGACAUGAUGUAGAGGGAUAAUCUCAAACCAAUGAUGAGAACCCCAUCUUUUUACCCUCGAUGGCAACAACACGAUGCGUGCCUCGCUACCCCUUCUGUCACUGGGUGAGGUCACCACACGGUAUGAACCCAAAACCAAGCACUUCUCCCAUUGCAAGAAUCAUCGAUCUAGUUGGCCAAACAAAACCCACAACUCGAAGAGAAUUACAAGGAUAUGAAAUCAUGCAUAAGAGAGAUCGGAAGAAACUCAAAUAAGACUCAUAGAUAAUCUGAUCAUAAAUCCACAAUUGAUCGAAUGUCGACAAACACACCGCAAAAGAAGAUUACAUCGGAUAGAUCUCCAUGANNNNNNNNNNNNNNNNNNNNNNNNNNNNNNNNNNNNNNNNNNNNNNNNNNNNNNNNNNNNNNNNNNNNNNNNNNNNNNNNNNNNNNNNNNNNNNNNNNNNNNNNNNNNNNNNNNNNNNNNNNNNNNNNNNNNNNNNNNNNNNNNNAUACUAGCUAUGGACCCGUAGGUCUAUGGUGAACUACUCACGCAUCAUCGGAGAGGUCAUGGUGUUGCUGAAGAAGCCCUCUGUAUCCGAAUCCCCCCUCCGACAGGGCACCGGAACGUGCCCCAGAUGGGAUCUUGUAGAGACAGAAGCUUGCGGCGGCGGAAAAGUACUUUCGAUGAUCUCCUGAUUUUUUUCUGGGAUUUUAGGGAAUUUAUAGGCGAAAGUCCUAGGGCAGAGCUGGCCCAAGGAGCCCACAAGCCUGGGAGGCGCGGGCCCCCUGGUCGCGGCUAGGGGGCUUGUGGGGUCCCUGCAGCCCCCCUGCCCUGAUUCUCAGGUUUCCCGAUCUUCUUCUGUUUCAGAAAAAAUCUUUUUGACAGUUUCAUUCCGUUUGGACUCCGUUUAAAAUCCUCCUUUGAAAGGGGUCAAAAACAUGGGGAAAUAGGAACUGGCACUGAGUUAAUAAGUUAGUCCCAAAAAGUAUAUAAAAGGCAUGCAAAACAUCCAAAGUUUGACAAGAUAAUAGCAUGAAACCAUAAAAAUUAUAGAUACAUUGGAUACGUAUCAAGCAUCCCCAAGCUUAACUCCUGCUCGUCCUAAAGUAGGGAAGUGAUAAAGAAUUAAAUUUUGAUGUGGAAUGCUACCUAGCAUAGUUGUCCUUUGCAACUUCUUUCAUGUGACAUGAGUGUUCAGAUCCGUGAGAUUGAAAACAAUAGUUUGCUAUUGACAUGAAAACAAUAAUACUUCAAGCAAACUAGCAAGGUAAUCAUGAACUUUAAAAAUAACAAGGCCAAGGAAAGUUAUCCCUACAAAAUUAUAUAGUCUGGCUAUGCUCCAUCAUCCUCACACAACUAAUGUAAAUCAUGCACAACCCCGGUAUUGGCCAAGAAAUAGUUUUCGCACUCUUACUUUCUCAAACUUUUUAUAACUAUCAUGCAAUACAUGAGCGUGAGCCAUGGAUAUAGCACUAUAAUUGGAAUAGAGUGUGGUGGUGGUUGUGAGACAAAAAGGAGAAGAUGGUCACAUUGACUCUGCGUAUCAAAGGGCUAUGGAGAUACCCAUUAAUAGAUAUCAAUGUGAAUGAGUAGGGAUUGCCAUACAAAGGAUGCACUAGAGCUAUAAGUAUGUGAAAGCUCAAAAGGAAAACUAGUGGGUGUGCAUCCAACUUGCUUUCUCACGAAGACCUAGGGCAAUUUUGAGGAAACCCAUCAUUGGAAUAUACAAGCCAAGUUAUAUAGUGAAGAUUCCAACUAGCAUAUGGUGGUGACGAAACGAGAGGCUCUCAAUCAUGAAGAACAUGGUGCUAUUAUGAAGCACAAGUGUGGAAAAAGAUAGUAGCAUUGUCCCUUCUCUCUUUUCUCUCUUCUUCUUUUUUAUUUGGGCUCUUAGGCCUCUUUUUCUCUUUUUUUGGGCUCUUUGGCCUCUUUUUUUAUUUUAUUUCCUCACAUGGGACAAUGCUCUAAUAAUGAUGAUCAUCACACUUUUAUUUACUCACAGCUCAAAGCUUAGAAAUGACUUCUAUAGGAAAUGCCUCCGGCAGUGUACCGGGAUGUGCAACGAUCUAGCUUGGCGUAUGACGUUGAAACAUAUCGCUAGCUAUCUUGCGAUCAUGCAAUGGAAAUAUGAGAGUGACGGCACAAGUCAUGAGACGGAACGGUGGGAGUUGCAUGUCAAUAUAUCUCGGAAUGGCUACGAAAAUGCCAUAGUAGGUAGAUAUGGUGGUUGUUUUGAGGAAGGCAUUUGGUGGGUUUGUGUACCGGCGAGAAUUGCACGGCACUAGAGAGGCUAGCAAUGGUGAAAGGUGGAAGUGCAUCUAUACCAUGGACUCACAUUAGUCAUGAAGAACUCACAUACAUGUUGCGAAAUUUUUUAUUAGUAAUCGAAACAAAGUGCUAAACGCAUACUCCUAGGGGAAGGGUUGGUAGGUGUUAACCAUCGCACGAACCCGACCUCAACACAAAGGAUGACAAUCAAUAGAUCAAUUAUGCUUCGACUUCCUAACAUAGCGGUUCACCAUACGUGCAUGCUACGGGAAUCACUAACUUUAACACAAGUAUUUCUAGAUUCACAAUACCCUACUAACAUAACUCUUAAUAUUACCAAAUCCACGCCUCCAAACUAAUUGAGAGGAAUCAAAACUUCUCUUUCUACUCAAUGCACAUGAAUAUGGAGGUUUUUGUAUCCUCUUUGGGUACCUAUCACCUUUGGGACUACUUUCAUAGCAUAAGCCAACUACCAAAUCACGCACCGCCGUGCUCUAACAGAUCUAAGUGAAGCACAUAUAGCAAAAUUGUCUAGCUGAAAAGAUAUAAGUGAAGCACAAUGAGCAUUCUAGCAAAAUCACGGUGAGUUCAUGUCUAUCUCUAAAGGUGUGCAUCAAGGAUGAUUGUGACACAACAAAAAGAAAAUAAUCCUAAGAUACAAGACACUCCAAGCAAAACACAUAUCAUGUGGUGAAUAAAAAUAUAGCUCCAAGUAAUGUUACCGAUGGAUUGAAGACGAAAGAGGGGAUGCCUUCCCGGGGCAUNNNNNNNNNNNNNNNNNNNNNNNNNNNNNNNNNNNNNNNNNNNNNNNNNNNNNNNNNNNNNNNNNNNNNNNNNNNNNNNNNNNNNNNNNNNNNNNNNNNNGGAUGCCUUUGCGGCCUGUGUUCGUUUAUGAUGGACUAGUUGGAGCACCCCUGCAGGGUUUAAUCUUUCAGAAAGCCGUGCCCACGGUUAUGUGGCAACUUGGAAUAUUUUGUUAACAUCCGGUAUUAGAGAACUUGAACAUAAGCUAAUAAAAUUGCCAACUGUGUGCGUAUCCGUGUCUGUCCCCUCGAAGAUCCCUCUUCGAUCGGGAACACGGUGGGGUUAUGAAUGCCGUAGGUAGGUGGUCAGGAUCACUUAGUGAUCAAGUAUUCCCGACCGCUAGUGUAGACCACCUUCACAAUUACUUCGCGUAAGUUAGCCACUUAAUCAAGCUUAGGAUGCUGCAGCCUUAUACACUUCACCCUUACCCUACCUAAUAACAUGACUAGUUCUGGCACCAAGGUCUUAGAUUGCUGAGUCCCCGUGGCUCACGGAUUCCUCCGAAACUCCCAGCAGGUACAGGUACCCCAGAUAUAGAUGAUCCCGACGGCACCCAGCUGGCGUGGCAGUACGACGAGGAGACAGACCGCCUCUACGUGACCUAUCCAGGGGACUGAGGCGUGGUCGUGAUCGUGGGCCUGCAGGCAGGGUAGCAUAGCAUUUCCAUGUUUUGUAGUCCGUAGCGGAACUACNNNNNNNNNNNNNNNNNNNNNNNNNNNNNNNNNNNNNNNNNNNNNNNNNNNNNNNNNNNNNNNNNNNNNNNNNNNNNNNNNNNNNNNNNNNNNNNNNNNNAAAAAAAAGAGCAGGUGGGAAAAGGGGGAAGGACUCCUCCUUCCAAACCUAAUUGGACUCGGUUUGGAAGGGGAGGGUUGCCCCCCUUGGCUCGGCCGCCCCCUUGGGAGUCCUUGGACCCCAAGGCAAGGCUCCCCCUCCUCCCCCUAUAUAUACGCAGGUUUUAGGGCUGAUUUGAGACAACUUUGCCACGACAGCCCGACCACAUAUCUCCACGGUUUCACCUCUAGAUCGCGUUUCUGCGGAGCUCGGGCGGAGCCCUGUGAGAUAAGAUCACCACCAACCUCCGUAGCUCCGUCACGCUGGCGGAGAACUCAUCUACCUCUCCAUCACUCUUGCUGGAUCNNNNNNNNNNAGUUUCACCUCUAGAUCGCGUUUCUGCGGAGCUCGGGCGGAGCCCUGCUGAGAUAAGAUCACCACCAACCUCCGGAGCGCCAUCACGCUGGCGGAGAACUCAUCUACCUCUCCAUCACUCUUGCUGGAUCAAGAAGGCCGAGAUCAUCGUCGAGCUGUACGUGUGCUGAACGCGGAGGUGCCGUCCGUUCGGCACUAGAUCGUGGGACUGAUCGCGGGACGGUUCGCGGGGCGGAUCGAGGGACAUGAGGACGUUCCACUACAUCAACUGUGUUCACUAAUGCUUCUGCUGUGCGGUCUACAAGGGUACCUAGAUCGAACAUCCCCUCUCGUAGAUGGACAUCACCAUGAUAGGUCUUCGUGCGCGUAGGAAAUUUUUUGUUUCCCACGCGACGUUCCCCAACAGUGGCACCAUGAGCUAGGUUCAUGCGUAGAUGUCUUCUCGAGUAGAACACAAAAGUUUUUGUGGGCGGUGAUGUGCGUUUUGCUGCCCUCCUUAGUCUUUUCUUGAUUCCGCGGUAUUGUUGGAUUGAAGCGGCUUGGACCGACAUUACUCGUACGCUUACGAGAGACUGGUUUCAUCGUUACGAGUAACCCCCUUUGCUCAAAGAUGACUGGCAAGUGACGGUUUCUCCAACUUUAGUUGAAUCNNNNNNNNNNNNNNNNNNNNNNNNNNNNNNNNNNNNNNNNNNNNNNNNNNNNNNNNNNNNNNNNNNNNNNNNNNNNNNNNNNNNNNNNNNNNNNNNNNNNUGGGAUCUUGUAUUACGGAACGAGUAAAGAGACUUGCUGGUAAACGAGAUUGAAAUAGGUAUGCGGAUACUGACGAUUGAAUCUCGGGCAAGUAACGUACCGAAGGACAAAGGGAAUGACAUACGGGAUUAUACGAAUCCUUGGCACUGAGGUUCAAACGAUAAGACCUUCGUAGAAUAUGUAGGAUCCAAUAUGGGCAUCCAGGUCCCGCUGUUGGAUAUUGACCGAGGAGUCUCUCGGGUCAUGUCUACAUAGUUCUCGNNNNNNNNNNNNNNNNNNNNNNNNNNNNNNNNNNNNNNNNNNNNNNNNNNNNNNNNNNNNNNNNNNNNNNNNNNNNNNNNNNNNNNUGGGUCAUGUCUACAUAGUUCUCGAACCCGCAGGGUCUACACACUUAAGGUUCGACGUUGUUUUAUGCGUAUUAGAGUUAUAUGGUUGGUUACCGAAUGUUGUUCGGAGUCCCGGAUGAGAUCACGGACGUCACGAGGGUUUCCGGAAUGGUCCGGAAACGAAGAUUGAUAUAUAGGAUGACCUCAUUUGAUUACCGGAAGGUUUUCGGAGUAACCGGGAAUGUACCGGGAAUGACGAAUGGGUUCCGAAGUUCACCGGGGGGGCAACCCACCCCGGGGAAGCCCAUAGGCCUUGAGGGAGGCACACCAGCCCUUAGUGGGCUGGUGGGACAGCCCAAAAGAGCCCUAUGCGCCAUAGAGAUAAAAAUCAAAGAGAAAGAAAAAAAAAGGGAGGUGGGAAGGAAGGGAAGGACUCCCUCCCACCAAACCAAGUCCAACUCGGUUUCGGGGGGGAGUCUUCCCCCCUUGGACUCGGCCGACCCCCUUGGGGCUCCUUGAGCCCCAAGGCAAGGUCCCCUCCCUCCCACCUAUAUAUACGGAGGUUUUAGGGCUGAUUUGAGACGACUUUUCCACGGCAGCCCGACCACAUACCUCCACGGUUUUUCCUCUAGAUCGCGUUUCUGCGGANNNNNNNNNNGGCGGAGCCCUGCUGAGACAAGAUCAUCACCAACCUCCGGAGCGCCGUCACGCUGCCGGAGAACUCUUCUACCUCUCUGUCUCUCUUGCUGGACCAAGAAGGCCGAGAUCAUCGUCGAGCUGUACGUGUGCUGAACGCGGAGGUGCCGUCCGUUCGGUACUAGAUCGUGGGACUGAUCGCGGGAUUGUUCGCGGGGCGGAUCGAGGGACGUGAGGACGUUCCACUACAUCAANNNNNNNNNNNNNNNNNNNNNNNNNNNNNNNNNNNNNNNNNNNNNNNNNNNNNNNNNNNNNNNNNNNNNNNNNNNNNNNNNNNNNNNNNNNNNNNNNNNNCGGACCGUCGCCGUUGCACGUCGAACGACGCGGAACGCCGCCGCUCGCUCCGUCCACCGGUCGCCUCCCUCCGUCCUCGGAACCAGGCGCCGCCGCCGUCCUCCGAACCCGACCGAGGCCGGCGCCGGCCGGCGCCCACUCGACCCCCGAGAACCACGUCCAGGGUCGACCUCCGAGGCGCCACUUGGCCGCGGGCAGGCUGCGCUGGCUCCGGGCUCCGGGCGCGGGGGCGGGCGAGCGGCUGCUAGGCGGAGGACGAAGAGGAGGAGGAGGAAGACUUGACGAGGGCGGAGAGCCAGACGACGACGACGUUGAUGGAGAUGGUCACGUACGGCCUAGCGUCCACGGAGAAGUUGAAGCUGAAGUAGGACGCUCCCGGCGCCGAGGAAGAUGCCGCCAUCUCCAUGUCCAUGGUCUCUGUCUGUGGUAUGCCUGUCUCCUCUGCUCUUGCUGCCUUGGUGCUUCUUGCUUGCCUCUGGGAUGAGAGUUGUCGCUGGUCGCUGCGUGCUGGAUGCUAUUUGCAGAGCACGAAGGCUUGGCAUAUAUAGCUUGGUAGCCUCGCGAUAAGGCGCGAAACAAGUUGGAAGCGGGAUCGKACCCGUUGCGACUUGGGAAGAAGGAAAGCCGGGAGCGAAGAAGGUUCCCGGAAGCGGGGAGGCGUGGUGGAAACGCCGGACCAGACCGAGCGGUCGCCGGUUCGUGGCUUGUGAAAGUGAUGGAGCUGUCGUGCGCGCGCGCGCGGGGGUGUUUUUCAGCGGGUUUCGAGGGAGCUUCGCGGCGUGGAAACAUGCGCACCGGCGACCUGACCGUCCUGCUUUCUCGUGUUCUCGGUUGGGGUUGGCGUUGGAAUUCCACGCAGCCUCUCUCUCUCCUAUUUUAGUGGGCACGUCGCUCUCGUUUCGUCUGUGGUGCAGCCGCUCGUCUGCUACUCUUUCCGUUGUCGGGUUUCCUCCUGGUUGAUUUUCUUUUUGCGACUGAAUUCUGAUUUGAUUUUGAUAGAUAUAUGUGCGGUGGUGGACUGGUCGCAGGGAGCUGGGGGUGGUAUACGGCGACCGGUGUGAAGGAAGGUUGGUGAGUUGGCUGGCGAGCGCUUGACCAGAUUUCGUGGUGGACUCGACCAAACCAAACCAAACAGUGGCGUAGGUCUUUGCGCCAGCGGGCGUGAGGGAAUGCUUGCUCGUGCCCCCACCACCGGGUCGUCUCCGAUGACUGAGGUGUUUACACGCGACAGAGGUGCUAAUUAUGUGUGCUGCCGGCUGCAUAUAGAUCGAUAUACGCUAAAUGGAAACAUGACAACAAAACGUACGUUUGCCCGCACAAACCUUCCUGGACGGCAUGUUUGUCUCACGCUACUUUUCAUCCUUUGUUUUACAAAUUUGAAAUCUGAAGCUACAUUUCUUUUAAACACGAUAUAGAUGCAAGAGCUCAUAUAUAAGAGCAACUCUAGCAUACCCCGCAUCCCGUCGGCCCGUAAAACGCGUUUGCAGGUCGCGCAAAACAGCUUUUGCAGGCUGGCGUGGGCUGGCACAGAUGCGGACCCACCAAACGGAUCCGUAAAAAAAUAUAGUCGCGAAAUAUUCCUUUUUACGGGUCGGCUUUGCGGGAUCUGCUCUUUGCACCGCUGCUUCCCACGUAUCAUUAGCCCGCAAAUAUCAAAUACUCCCUCUGUAAGUUAAUAUAAGAGCAUUUAGACUACUAAAGUAGUGUUCUAAAUGCUCUUAUAUUAGUUUACGGGGACAUAAUUCAACAGCCGAAAACAAACUGAAUUAUUCGAAUCAAACACAAUACAAUAAUCAUCCGCAUUACAAACAAUUAUUCAAAACAUGUCAUGAAUACAAAUACAAAUGAAUACAAAAAUAAGUCACUGUCCAGCCAUUUGCCAAUGGUGUUCAAUGAGAUCUUUCUGAAGUUGAAAGUGGGUGUGUGGGUUUUCAAUCUCCUUGUCUGUCUGAAGAAAAGCUCUAAUGCGGUUUGGGUCUCUAGCUGGUUUAACACGGCUACCCACAUUGUCGUAAAAGAAUUCUAAGUUCCCAAGAUUCCUCGCAAGCUUGAACAAUUUUCACAAAGAGGGAUCGACGCAUUCCUUCUUUGAGUAAAUUACCGGCAAUUUUCCUCGCAAGCUUGAACAAUUUUCACAAAGAGGGAUCGGCGCAUUCGGUACCUUCUCCGGAAGAGGUGUGGAGGAUAUGUAGGAUGUUGGGGAACGUCGCAUGGAAAACAAAUUUUUUCCUACGCGCACAAAGACCUAUCAUGGUGAUGUCCAUCUACGAGGGGGAUUUCAGAUCUACGUACCCUUGUAGAUCGCACAGCAGAAGCGUUAAUAAACGCGGUUGAUGUAGUGGAACGUCCUCACGUCCCUCGAUCCGCCCCGCGAACCGUCCCACGAACCGUCCCGCGAUCUGUCCCACGAUCCGCUCCGAUCUAGUGCCGAACGGACGGCACCUCCGCGUUCAGCACACGUACAGCUCGACGAUGAUCUCGGCCUUCUUGAUCCAGCAAGAGAGACAGAGAGGUAGAUGAGUUCUCCGGCAGCAUGACGGCACUCCGAAGGUUUGUGGUGAUCUAAUCUCAGCAGGGCUCCGCGCGAGCUCCGCAGAAACGCGAUCUAGAGGAAAAACCGUGGAGGUAUGUGGUCGGACUGCCGUGGAAAAGUUAUCCCAAAUCAGCCCUAAAACCGCCGUAUAUAUAGGUGGGAGGGGAGGGGCCUUGCCUUGGGGCUCAAGGAGCCCCAAGGGGUUCGGCCGAAGGGGGGAGGAGGAGUCCUCCUCCAAUCCUAGUCCAACUAGGAUUGGAAGGUGGAGUCCUUCCCUUCCUUCCCACUUCCACUUUUUUCUCUUUGAUUUUCUUAUCUCCCUGCGCAGGGGCCUCUCUGGGCUUGCCCACCAACCCACUAAGGGCCGGUGCGGCACCACUAAGGCCUAUGGUCUUCCCCGGGGUGGGCUCGNNNNNNNNNNNNNNNNNNNNNNNNNNNNNNNNNNNNNNNNNNNNNNNNNNNNNNNNNNNNNNNNNNNNNNNNNNNNNNNNNNNNNNNNNNNNNNNNNNNNCUAAAAAAAGGGUUACUUUUAGUUUUGUAAAACAAAUUUUUAGGUAAUGUUACCUUUUCUAUAAUUUUUACUGAAAUUACUAAAACAAUAAUUACAGUUUUUCUAAAAAAAAUAGUUUUGAAAUUUUGAAAAAAUUAGGUUUAACUUUUUCAUUUUUUUAAGGUAGUUUUAMAAAWARUUACCAAAUUWCARWAAHAAUUUAAAAAAAAUAAAAAAAAUAAAAACAAAGAACAAAAAGGGUAAAAGGGAAAGAAAAUAAAAGAAAGAAAAAAACAAACAAAAAAUCUAAAAAAGAUAAAAUACCAAAAACGUAGAAGAAACAGGAGGAACCUUCUAGGAGAAAAAACGACUGAGAAACUAUAGAAGGUUCCCCAAACCGGAAUGGUGCAACUUGUUAAUAGUCGGCCCAGGUGAUUACCAUAAAAUGGACACAAUUUUAAUUGUAGAUGUAACUAAUUCACAAAAUGAAUCGUGCAUGAAAAUUCACAUGCAUAUCUUCUUUGUGUGGCGCCCGGUUGUACAUCGUGUAGCAUUUGAUCUACAGGCGCUACACCUCUGAUAAGCGUGGCAUCCGAGGUUAUAAUUCUGAUUGUAUGAUGUUUAAAUGAAAGGAGUCACUCUACAUUAUAUGACACCCGCUGAAAGAAGCCACAUUAUUUUAUAUUAAAAUUGAUGUAACUUUUAAUCCUUGCAUCCGAUGAAAAUAUGUUUUAUAUGAAUAUUGUGUAUUUUUCUGUGUUCUACGCAAUGGUGUCAUUUCCAUCGAUGUUAAGAUCAAUUUUCUUGAUGAAAUCUCUGUUGCAAAAAUGCGUCAUAAUAUAAUUGAUCGGAUUUGUUAAGACUUACAAAGUUGACAUGAUGGUAGCCACUGACUUAUAGCUUUUAUGCAUUUGCAUUCUACAUGAGUUUUACCCUAUAUAAUGUGUAUGUUCACGUCAUGUUCAUGCUUGUCAUGUUAGUCAUCUUUAAUAUGUUCAUGUCUUGCAUCUAAGUGACUAACAUGAUAUAUUUUUUGUAAACAAUCUUAUGAAGCUUUAUUUAACUGAAAUCAAUGUUUACAGAAAUAAAUGCAGGAUCAUCGGGUUGCUUAACCACACAUGGUCGCCAACCCCUAGUCUGGUAACAUGCUUCGUUAUGGAUGGGCCAGUUCCAAACACAGUAGGCCCACUUCCACCUCGUAGCCGGGCUUAGUCAGGUCAGUCGUCCAUUGUAGGAUUUUCUUCCACCUGGUCUUCGCACCUCUGAGACGGGGAGAUGCGGAGGCCGUCGGCUUCGUCGCCUCCGGCGAGGGGACCGGCGUUGGCUGCAGCAGCCGCUGUCGUUCUCCUCCCGGCUAUUUUCCCCGCGCUGUUCUCCCCGCUCGGCCGCGCCUUCCCUUCCCUAUUCUCGGUGCGUCCCCUAUAGUCGCCAUCCUCCUCUCCAGGCGGCUCGAUUUGAGCCGGUGUAGCGUCAUAUUGGCGAUCUUCCGCUUCUCUAGCUGCUUCCUACGCCUCUCCUUGCUAGUUCGCCACUUUGCCGAGUCCGAUUGUUUGGGGUGGGCGAAAAUUGGAUAUAAUCUAGAGGGAUUGGUACUUUUGGGGGGAGGAAUGUAUGUGGAAGGUGAAAUGAUGUGGUGAAUUCGUGGCUUUGUCCCCUCUUGAAUUGGAACUAGUACGAAAUUACAUUUGUUUAUUUGGUGUAUAUGUAUGUCGAUGCAGAGUAACCUGUAAAUAAGCAAAGUGUGCAACCUGUAAAUAAGCGAAGUUUGCAAGAUCUGGAUUCUUUUGAUGGACAGCAUCAUGCCAGUUGCAUCGGAUAUUUUGGUUUGGACAGUGGUCUCCAAUGUGUGAUUACGAGUAGAUUUUUUUGUAUGCAUUUCGGGGCAGUGUGGGACGCUGGGACUGUACUCGGCUACCAUGAGCCAUGACAGUAUUGGGAAUAACAUGUGUACUGGAUUACUCUACUAUGGCUGUGAAGAUAGAUUGGCUACUGAUGUGGACCUUAGUAAAUAUUUCUGCAGACUGCAAUAUUGUCUUUUUAAGAUUAAUCAUGUGGACAGCGUGUAUACUGCAGGAGUGGAAUGCCCCUAAGCCAAUGCACGAGUCUCUUUUCAAUGAGUCUUUGCGAUGGACAAUAGUGAGUAUUCACAACUCAGAUAAAUACUGGAAAUAGUUAUGUUGAAGUCUAUUUGUAACUUACUCUCUGUACAGCCAGAUGAACAAAAAAGAGAUCUCUGGACACCCUUGCCUGAUCAGGGGUGGAAACCAUGCAUAAGGUCAUCGAUCACUCGUGGUAACAUUCUGUGAUAAAUCUGUUUAGGUAAUGAUAUGCCUCCCGCUGCGAUAGAUCACUAAGCAUUUGGUUAUAUGAAGUGUAGGGUUACCUUCACAACCCAGUGGGUACAUACAAGUAUUUCUUGAUGGUGGCCUGAACCAGCAGAGAAUGGGGGUAACUCACUUCUUAUGUACCAAACUCAUGAUGUUAGAUUUAAUAUAACUUGCUUGGUUGAAACUUCAGAUCAUCUGGCUCUUUCUUUUUGUUCUCUAGAUAUGUGAUGCAGUUGCGGUUGCUAAGAUUUUGAACGCUACUCUUGUGAUCCCACAUCUUGAAGUAAACCCUGUUUGGAAAGACUCAAGGUGCUUUUGGAGUUUCAGAGUACUACUGUAUCUUGUUAAUUUUAAAUACUCCUGUUAGAUUGGAAGUGAAAGGUUUAGUUUGGUCUGCAGCUCAUUUGGAGAUAUUUUUAAUGUGGAUCACUUCAUCAACACCCUAAGAGGCGAUGUUUCAAUAGUGAGAGCUCCAUUAAAAGAAUUUUCGUGGAGCACAAGAGAGUUCUAUAGCACAGGAAUACGUGCUACAAGAAUAAAAACUGCACCUCUUCAUGCCUCGGCUAAUUGGUAUAUAGAGAAUGUCAGUCCUAUCCUGCAAAGGUUUGUGAUUUUCUUGGCCAUAUAGUCGCUUCUCUAGACCCCUUGAGUAAGUGGCAUAAUAAUGCUAAGAAACUGCAGUUCAUGUUUAGCCCAGGUUGAUGGCCACUGAACUGGCUUUAUAGUAUUAACAUGACAACUCGUUGUCUAACUUCAUUAGUUGGUUACUCUGUGAGGGGAAUCCUUCACCGAAAAUCUCAUGCAAGCGUUGUUUCCCUUGUCAGCUAUGGCAUUGCUGCCAUUGCCCCCUUUUCUCACCGCCUUGCAUUCGAUGAUUUGCCUGUGGAUAUUCAACGCCUGCGCUGUAAAGUUAACUUUGAAGCCCUGGUUUUUGUGCCUUACAUUAUAUCACUGGGGAGGACCCUUGAGAAGCGCUUGAGAUCUCCAGUGCAGGGGCAUUCCACUGAAUUAACCCAACAAGUUGUAGAAGAUUACACAGAUCAGUCUGAAAAGUAUGCAGUUGUACAUCUCCGCUUCGAUAAGGUAAAUGGAAGGGCUUCUGCUAUAUUUGGAAGUCGUACGUGUAUAUUUUUGUUAUCUUCAAGGAAUUUCCACUCUGAAACAACUCAAGCUGACCUACAUUUUUCAGGAUAUGGCUGCACAUUCUGCCUGUGACUUUGGCGGUGGUAGAGCUGAAAAAUUAGCUCUGGCUAAGUACAGGCAAGUUAUCUGGCAAGGGAGGGUAUUAAAUUCACAGUUAAGUGAUGAGGAGCUUCGAAACACAGGACGCUGCCCGUUGACUCCAGAAGAGAUUGGAUUGAUACUAGUAGCGCUUGGCUUUGACAGCAAAACUCGAUUUUAUCUUGCCUCUCACAAGGUUUGACUCUCUGCCUCUGCCGGUGCGCUUACUUAUUCUCCGUAGUGGAAGCAGAAAUUUCUAACAUACGUCACCUAUUAAGGUAUAUGGAGGGGAAGCUAGGAUCUCUAGCUUGCGCAAGCUUUUCCCGCUGAUGGUAGACAAGAGGAGCCUUGCAUCGGCAGAUGAGCUUGCUAGUAUCGAAGGGAAGGCUUCUGUGCUAGCAGCUCUUGACUACCAUAUCAGCAUGCACAGCGAUGUUUUCAUCUCUGCUUCUCCUGGCAAUAUGCAUAAUGCACUGGUAAAUCCUGUUUGGCUUCAGCUGUAUUCGCUAGAUUUCUCCUCUUUCUUUAUUGGUCCUGACCAGAUGAUGGUUGAUUCAGCUGGCCCACCGGACCUAUAGGAAUCUGAAGACGAUAAGGCCAAACAUGACAUUGCUUGGCCACAUAUUUGUGAACAAGAGCAUGGAGUGGUCAGAGUUUCAGCAGGCUGUGCAGGCAGGCCACAAAGGUAGAUACGGGCAGAUCCGGCUGAGGAAGCCGAAGCAGUCUAUCUAUACUUAUCCUGCCCCAGAUUGUAUGUGCCCAGGGUAGAUCGCCAAGUUUUCUGCGGUGCACCGACAAAAGAAAUGUGCUGAGUUACUUGCAGUUUCUAAUUAGGUUAAGCUCAUGUGGAUAUGUAUAUUUAGUUCUGAAUUUUCGGUUGAAUCAGUUUGCUGCCACUUCCAAUAGGAUCUUAAAAUUUUAACCAAAAUUUACGCACUAUACGUUGAGCCUUGAAGGACUCUAAUCUUGUGCUGUUUGCACGAUCCAUACGACGAAGUUGUAGUUUUGGAGCUGAUGUUGUGUAUCUGUGACCUGACUUGAUAUACUGGAUCCUUUUUCUUCUUUUAUUCCGCUGUUCUACUUCUGGGAGUCCGGUGUUCUGAAUUUCUGCUUUGAUUUAGUAUUACUAUCGUCAUGGCGAAUUCGAUACUAAUGCUUCAAACUAGUAGUAUGUUUUGCCAUGUUUUAAAAUAACACGCAUGGGUGAUAUUACAAGUACAGCCUCCGUCGGAAGCCAUGGGCGAAUCCACAAGGACAAAGUUUCACCACCGGAACUUUAAGAUUACAACACGUUUUUGCACUGCCACCUACUCCUCCACACUUUGUACAUCCUCAGCACCCCAAAAUAAUAAUUCAGACCACCUGAAACCUCCUUGGUCGGUGAAAUCGACGGAUUUAUUGGCCGGAGAUGGUCUGGAUGAUGGUGUUGUGCCAUGGGUCGGCCAGGUGCUGCUGCAGGUUCUCGAACGGCCCCUUCCCGGUCACGUUGUGCUGCACCAGGAACCCCAGGAACGCCAGCAUGGCCAGUCUCCCUGAACGAAUGAACGCGCGCGCGAAUACAGAUUAACGAGAGCCGUCGGAUUAGAAACCCGAGGGUUCAGAUGAGACUGAAGAGAGGAUGGACGUACCGUUGGCGAGCUCCUUCUCCUUGUUCUCGAGGGUGGGGGCGAAGUUGAGGGGGUUGAAGACGCUGCCGGGGUAGCCGCACUCGUGGGGCGGGAGGCUGUAGCUCUUGAAGAUGGGGUCCUGGUUGACGGAGCCCGGGUUCUUGAUGUCCUGCCACCGCCGGAUCUCGACGUAGUGGAAGAGGAUGAACUCGAUGACGAAGAGCGUGGAGGAGGAGGCGAAGUAGGUCUCCUUGCCGGCGUCGUACCACUCGGGCGCGUUCAGCAGCCCCGCCUUGGUCAGCACCUCCGGGAUCAGCAUCCCCGCCACCCCCAGCAUCGCCCACCGCCCGUUCACCAGCUCCGCCUGCACGAACCACCGCAGGUCCUCCGGGUCCUCCGCCAGCGCCAGCGGGUCAAAACCAUUGUCACCCGCCAGACUGCACACGUAUCGUCCGUCAGUACGGUCGUAAACAUAUGUAACAGCUGCGUGCAUGGGCACGACGGAAGUGGUGUGGCGUGUCGUGUGGUCUGCUCACCUGCCGUCGAGGUAGGCAGGGGACUGGAGGCCGGGGAGCCAGGACCCCUUGGCCUGGACGGCGACGUCGCGGCGGGUGGACUUGGCGAGCCCGACGCGGCCGGAGUCGCCCAGGAACCGGGGGCUCGACGCUGACGCCGCCGGCCGGAGAGCGGCCACGGGAGCGCGGGCACUGACCGACGACAUCUUCUGCUACUCCUGACUAGAGAGCGCGUACGGCAGGAGAGUGAGAGUGCGCGCGUGUGUGUGUGGUGGUUCUGCCUCUCCGCACCUGCGCUUGGCCCUUUGUAUUGGGCUGCGCUUCGGUGAUUUGUGGGUGUGGUGAGCUGGGCCCCGGAGGUCGAGAUGGACGGCGUGUGUUGGCGCCACCGCGUCGUCCGACGGCUGCGAUGCGUUUGCGCCUGGAGACUGGAUAGAUGGACCAGUGGGAGACCGGGAGGCGUAUGUGCGUUAUCUGGAUGAUGGAUAAUGCGGAAUCAAAAGGGGGAUCGCUAUUGGUCGGGGAAACGCACGUUCGGUUUACCUGGCUGCCACGUCGAUCGGACGAUCCGUCAUGAUGUACAGCUGUACAUGGUGCCAUGGCGGGUUGGUCUGUUUGCUUCAACUUUCGAGCUCUUCCACGGGAAACCGGCUUUCGCCCUAGAAAUGGCACGGAUGGUCGAACGGAUACAAGGUGAUGGAAAGAACCCCAUAGAAGGCGGUCGCGGCGAGCCGUCACGAUCCCGUAAUCGAACAAGAAAAUAAGAGUCGCCACACCUAACAUGAGGCGACCUAGACUAUUGAAUCGGAACUCAACCGUGCCGCCUAGGAAAAUCAUAGACCAUUAUGCAUAAAACACAUCAAGUUAUCGCCGGAGAAAGUAAGUGUCGAUCCAAUCCGUGGAGUUCCAAUCCUGCGAGCAGAUAGCGAGGACCAAUGACAUUGACUACGAGGACACGUGUAAAUGAUAGGGGAUCAACGGAUCCACUCCACGACGAAGCCGAAGGCACCGAUGUGCUGUAACUGGAUGAUAUUUGUGUUCCCCGACAAUGCCCCGAGGAGGGUAAUGAUGUAGAGCGUUGAUACGUCUCCAACGUAUUUAUGGUGUUUUUAUUGUGUCAUGCUAUUAUAUUAUCAAUUUCGGAUGCUUUAUAUGCUAUUUUAUAUCAUUUUUAAGAACUAACCUAUUAACCGAGUGUCCAGUGUCAGUUCCUAUUUUUUGCGUGUUUUGACUUCUCAGAAAAUCAAUAACAAACGAAGUUCAAACAUGAUGAAACUUUAUGAUGAUUCUUUCUGGACCAAAAAGGGACCCCUAGAAGGUUCGGGAGGAGGCCAGAAGACGUAGGGAGAGCCACAAGCUCACAGGGUCGCCGCCCCCCCCCCCGGGGGGGGGGGUAGGGCCCCUUGAGCUCGUGACUCCCACAGAACUCAUUUUGACCUAAUUCCACCUCUAUAUAUUCCCAUAUAAUCCCAAACCAACAGAGAGACACCCGAAACACUUUUCCCACUGCCGCAAGACUUUGUUCUUCCGUGAUUCCAUGUGGAGGCCUUUCCGGUACUCUAGCAGAAGGUGAAUCGAUCAUGGAGUCCAUCUACAUCAACCUUGAUGUCUCCAUGAUGGUGCGUGAGUAGUUCACCACGGACAUACGGGUCCAUAGCUAGUAGCUAGAUGGCUUAUUCUCCCUCUUUGAUCUUCAGUACCAUGUUCUCCUUGAUCUUUCUGGAAUUCUGUCCAAUGUAAUCUUCUUUUGUGGUGUGUUUGUUAGGAUCCGAUGAAUUGUGUGUUUAUGAUCAGAUUAUUCAUUUAAAGUAAUUGAGUCUUUUCUGAACUUUAUUAUGCAUGAUUGUUAUUGCUUUGUAUUUCUGUGUGAUCUAUCUAUUUGGUUUGGCCAACUAGAAUGAUUUAUCUUCAGUGGGGGAGAUGCUCUGUGAUGGGUUCAAUCUUGGGGUGUCCUCACCCAGUGAUAGUAGGGGUAGCGAGGCACGUAUUUGUAUUAUUGCCAUAAGGGAUAAAACAACAAGGGUUAUUCAUAUUGAUUGGGUUUACUUUUUCUACAUCAUGACAUCUUGAUUAUAGCAUUACUCUAUUUUUCAUGAACGUAAUACCUAGAUAGGCAAGCAUAGAAGCACUUUUGAAGUGGAGUAAUGGUACUAGAUGCAGAAUCGUUUCGGUCUACUUGUCACAGACGUGAUGCCUAUAUACAUGAUCAUUGCCAUGAAUAACAUCGUAAUUAUGCUCUUUUCUAUCAAUUGCCCAACAAUAGUUUGUCUACCCACAGUAUGCUAUGUGUUCGAGAGAGAAACCAAAUAUACUUUAUUCCAACUUACUUACUUUAUUUACUUUUAUUUUUAUAUAUCUAUCACUAUCAAAAUUAAUCCUUGCAAGUAACGAGUUCAAGGGGAUUGACGAUCCUCUUGCCUGUGUUGGGUGCAAGUGUUUGCUUUUGUGUGUGUAGGUGUUGAGGACAAUAAUUUGCAUGCUUCUCCUAUUGGUUCGAUAACCUUGGUUCUCACUGAGGAAAAUACUUAUCCGCUACUAUAUUUCUUCACCCUUCCUCUUCGGGGAAAAUCCCAACGCACCUCACAAGUAGCAGAAAGAAUUUAUGGCGUCGUUGUUGGGGAGAAUCACCAAACAACUCGAGGUACCUACACACACACUAUCGUUUACUUGUUUUGAUGGGGAACGUUGCAUGGGAAACAAAAAAAGUCCUACGCACACGCAAUACCUAUCCAUGGUGAUGAUCAUCUACGAGAGGGGAGAGUGUAUCUACAUACCCUUGUAGAUCGCUAAGCGGAAGCGUAUAUAACACGGUUGAUGUAGUGGAACAUCUUCGCGAUCCAAAUCGCAGCCCGUCCCGCGAUAUCAUCACGAUCCGUCCCUCGAUCCCAUCACGAUCCAUCUCGAUCUAGUGUCGAACGUACGACACCUCCGCGUUCAGCACACAUACAGCUUGAUGACGAUCUCCGCUUUCUUGAUCCAGCAAGAGAGACGAAGAGGUAGCUGAAUUCUCCGGCAGCACGACGACGUGGCGAUGAUGGUGGUGGAGCUACUCCGGCAGGGCUUCGCCGUGCCGUACCGAACUAGCUACGGGGUGUCACGAAGUGGUGGAGGGAGAGAGGGUUGCACUAUGGCUUGGGUGCCAAAAGCCUCUCUCACCUCCACUAUAUAUAGGUGGGAGGGAGGGGUGGCGCCCUAGGGAAAACCCCCUAGGGUUGGCCGGUGCACCAAGCAAGGAGGAGGAGUCCCUUCCUAUUUCGGUUUGCCCCACCUCUUCCUUCCUUUCUCCUCCUUCGGCCGAACCAGGCCCAUUUGGGCUGGCCACCAGCCCACCACGGGCUGAUGUGACUGUUGGGGAACGUCGCAUGGGAAACAAAAUUUUUCCUACGCGCACGAAGACCUAUCAUGGUGAUGUCCAUCUACGAGAGGGGAUGAGUGAUCUACGUACCCUUGUAGAUCGUACAGCAGAAGCGUUAGUGAACGCGGUUGAUGUAGUGGAACGUCCUCACGUCCCUCGAUCCGCCCCGCGAACAAUCCCGCGAUCAGUCCCACGAUCUAGUACCGAACGGACGGCACCUCCGCGUUCAGCACACGUACAACUCGACGAUGAUCUCGGCCUUCUUGAUCCAGCAAGAGAGACGGAGAGGUAGAAGAGUUCUCCGGCAGCGUGACGACGCUCCGGAGGUUGGUGAUGACCUUGUCUCAGCAGGGCUCCGCCCGAGCUCCGCAGAAACGCGAUCUAGAGGAAAAACCGUGGAGGUAUGUGGUCGGGCUGCCGUGGAAAAGUCGUCUCAAAUCAGCCCUAAAACCUCCGUAUAUAUAGGUGGGAGGGAGGGGACCUUGCCUUGGGGCUCAAGGAGCCCCAAGGGGGUCGGCCGAGUCCAAGGGGGGAAGACCCCCCCCCCCAAACCGAGUUGGACUUGGUUUGGUGGGAGGGAGUCGUUCCCUUCCUUCCCACCUCCCUUUUUUUUAUUUCUCUUUGAUUUUUAUCUCUAUGGCGCAUAGGGCUCUUUUGGGCUGUCCCACCAGCCCACUAAGGGCUGGUGUGCCUCCCUCAAGGCCUAUGGGCUUCCCCGGGGUGGGUUGCCCCCCCGGUGAACUUCCGGAACCCAUUCGUCAUUCCCGGUACAUUCCCGGUUACUCCGAAAACCUUCCGGUAAUCAAAUGAGGUCAUCCUAUAUAUCAAUCUUCGUUUUCGGACCAUUCCGGAAACCCUCGUGACGUCCGUGAUCUCAUCCGGGACUCCGAACAACAUUCGGUAACCAACCAUAUAACUCUAAUACGCAUAAAACAACGUCGAACCUUAAGUGUGCAGACCCUGCGGGUUCGAGAACUAUGUAGACAUGACCCGAGAGACUCCUCGGUCAAUAUCCAAUAGCGGGACCUGGAUGCCCAUAUUGGAUCCUACAUAUUCUACGAAGAUUUUAUCGUUUGAACAUCAGUGCCAAGGAUUCAUAUAAUCCCGUAUGUCAUUCCCUUUGUCCUUCGGUAUGUUACUUGCCCGAGAUUCGAUCGUCAGUAUCCGCAUACCUAUUUCAAUCUCGUUUACCGGCAAGUCUCUUCUUUGAAUUACCCUUCUUGCCUUUGCCGUUUCUCUUGAAACUAGUGGUCUUAUUCACCAUCAACACUUGAUGCUCUUUACGGAGUUCAGACUCUGCGACUUUCAACAUCGCAAACAACUCGCCGGGUGACUUGUUCAUCCCUUGCAUGUUGUAGUUCAACACAAAGCCUUUGUAGCUUGGUGGCAGUGAUUGAAGGAUUCUGUCAGUGAUAGCCUCUUGCGGGAGUUCAAUCCCCUGCUCAGCUAGACGGUUUGAGUACCCAGACAUUUUGAGCACAUGUUCACUGACAGACGAGUUUUCCUCCAUCUUGCAAGCAUAGAAUUUAUCGGAGGUCUCAUACCUCUCGAUCCGGGCGUUCUUCUGAAAGAUAAACUUCAACUCCUGGAACAUCUCAAAUGCUCCAUGACGCUCAAAGCAACGUUGAAGUCCCGGUUCUAAGCCAUACAAAACUGCACAUUGAACUAUUGAGUAGUCCUCCUUACGUGCUAACAUCCUGAUCAGCCGUAGCGGGUGGUUCAUCUCCUAGCGCAGCAUUAAGGACAUAGUCCUUCUUCCCAGCUUGUAAGAUUAGCUUAAGAUUACGAGCCCAGUCUACAAAGUUGCUUCCAUCAUCUUUCAACUUAGCUUUCUCUAGGAACGUAUUAAAAUUCAGGAUGACUGUCGCGUGAGCCAUGAUCUACAACACAAAUAUAUUCAAAGUGGACUUAGACUAUGUUGAAGAUAAUUAGAGUUCAACUUAAUCAAAUUAUCUGCUAAACUCCCACUCAAAAAUUACAUCUCUCUAGUCAUUUGAGUGGUUCAUGAUCCACCUACACUAUCUCAAGUCCGAUCAUCACGUGAGUUGAGUAUAGUUUCAGUGGUAAGCAUCCCUAUGCUAAUCACAUCAUCUAUAUGAUUCAUGAUCGACCUUUCGGUCUCAUGUGUUCCGAGGCCAUGUCUGCACAUGCUAGGCUCGUCAAGCUUAACCCGAGUGUUCCGCGUGCGCAACUGUUUUGCACCCGUCGUAUGUGAACGUUGAGUCUAUCACACCGAUCAUCACGUGGUGUCUCGAAAUGACGAACUGUAGCAACGGUGCACAGUCGGGGAGAACACAAUUUCAUCUUGAAAUUUUAGUGAGAGAUCACCUCAUAAUGCUACCGUCGUUCUAAGAAAAAUAAGGUGCAUAAAAGGAUUAACAUCACAUGCAAUUCAUAAGUGACAUGAUAUGGCCAUCAUCACGUGCUUCUUGAUCUCCAUCACCAAAGCACCGGCACGAUCUUCUUGUCACCGGCGCCACACCAUGAUCAUCCAUCAACAUGUUGACAUCGGGGUUGUCGUGCUACUUAUGCUAUUACUACUAAAGCUACAUCCUAGCAAAAUAGUAAACGCAUCUGCAAGCACAAACGUUAGUAUAAAGACAACCCUAUGGCUCCUGCCGGUUGCCGUACCAUCGACGUGCAAGUCGAUAUUUCUAUUACAACAUGAUCAUCUCAUACAUCCAAUAUAUCACAUCACAUCAUUGGCCAUAUCACAUCACAAUCAUACCCUGACAAAAACAAGUUAGACVUACACCUAGUAUGUUGUUGCAUGUUUUACGUGGUGACCAAGGGUAUCUAGUAGGAUCGCAUCUUACUUACGCAAACACCACAACGGAGAUAUAUGAGUUGCUAUUUAACCUCAUCCAAGGACCUCCUCGGUCAAAUCCGAUUCAACUAAAGUUGGAGAAACCGACACUUGCCAGUCAUCUUUGAGCAACGGGGUUACUCGUAACGAUGAAACCAGUCUCUCGUAAGCGUACGAGUAAUGUCGGUCCAAGCCGCUUCAAUCCAACAAUACCGCGGAAUCAAGAAAAGACCAAGGAGGGCAGCAAAACGCACAUCACCGCCCACAAAAACUUUUGUGUUCUACUCGAGAAGACAUCUACGUAUGAACCUAGCUCAUGAUGCCACUGUUGGGGAACAUCGCAUGGGAAACAAAAUUUUUCCUACGCGCACGAAGACCUAUCAUGGUGAUGUCCAUCUACGAGAGGGGAUGAGUGAUCUACGUACCCUUGUAGAUCGUACAGCAGAAGCGUUAGUGAACGCGGUUGAUGUAGUGGAACGUCCUCACAUCCCUCGAUCCGCCCCGCGAACAAUCCCGCGAUCAGUCCCACGAUCUAGUACCGAACGGACGGCACCUCCGCGUUCAGCACACGUACAGCUCGACGAUGAUCUCGGCCUUCUUGGUCCAGCAAGAGAGACAGAGAGGUAGAAGAGUUCUCCGGCAGCGUGACGGCGCUCCGGAGGUUGGUGAUGACCUUGUCUCAGCAGGGCUCCGCCCGAGCUCCGCAGAAACGCGAUCUAGAGGAAAAACCGUGGAGGUAUGUGGUCGGGCUGCCGUGGAAAAGUCGUCUCAAAUCAGCCCUAAAACCUCCGUAUAUAUAGGUGGGAGGGAGGGGACCUUGCCUUGGGGCUCAAGGAGCCCCAAGGGGGUCGGCCGAGUCCAAGGGGGGAAGACUCCCCCCCGAAACCGAGUUGGACUUGGUUUGGUGGGAGGGAGUCCUUCCCUUCCUUCCCACCUCCCUUUUUUUUUCUUUCUCUUUGAUUUUUAUCUCUAUGGCGCAUAGGGCUCUUUUGGGCUGUCCCACCAGCCCACUAAGGGCUGGUGUGCCUCCCUCAAGGCCUAUGGGCUUCCCCGGGGUGGGUUGCCCCCCCGGUGAACUUCGGAACCCAUUCGUCAUUCCCGGUACAUUCCCGGUUACUCCGAAAACCUUCCAGUAAUCAAAUGAGGUCAUCCUAUAUAUCAAUCUUCGUUUCCGGACCAUUCCGGAAACCCUCGUGACGUCCGUGAUCUCAUCCGGGACUCCGAACAACAUUCGGUAACCAACCAUAUAACUCUAAUACGCAUAAAACAACGUCGAACCUUAAGUGUGUAGACCCUGCGGGUUCGAGAACUAUGUAGACAUGACCCAAGAGACUCCUCGGUCAAUAUCCAAUAGCGGGACCUGGAUGCCCAUAUUGGAUCCUACAUAUUCUACGAAGAUCUUAUCGUUUGAACCUCAGUGCCAAGGAUUCGUAUAAUCCCGUAUGUGAUUCCCUUUGUCCUUCGGUACGUUACUUGCCCGAGAUUCGAUCGUCAGUAUCCGCAUACCUAUUUCAAUCUCGUUUACCGACAAGUCUCUUUACUCGUUCCGUAAUACAAGAUCCCGCAACUUACACUAAGUUACAUUGCUUGCAAGGCUUGUGUGUGAUGUUGUAUUACCGAGUGGGCCCUGAGAUACCUCUCCGUCAUACGGAGUGACAAAUCCCAGUCUUGAUCCAUACUAACUCAACUAACACCUUUGGUGAUACCUGUAGAGCAUCUUUAUAGUCACCCAGUUACGUUGCGACGUUUGAUACACACAAAGCAUUCCUCCGGUGUCAGUGAGUUAUAUGAUCUCAUGGUCAUAGGAAUAAAUACUUGACACGCAGAAAACAGUAGCAACAAAAUGACACGAUCAACAUGCUACGUCUAUUAGUUUGGGUCUAGUCCAUCACGUGAUUCUCCCAAUGAUGUGAUCCAGUUAUCAAGCAACAACACCUUGUCCAUAAUCAGAAGACACUGACUAUCAUCGAUCAACUGGCUAGCCAACUAGAGGCAUGCUAGGGACGGUGUUUUGUCUACGUAUCCACACAUGUAAAUGAGUCUUCAUUCAAUACAAUUAUAGCAUGGAUAAUAAACUAUUAUCUUGAUACAGGAAUUAUAAUAAUAACUAUACAUUUAUUAUUGCCUCUAGGGCAUAAUUCUAACAGUCUCCCACUUGCACUAGAGUCAAUAAUCUAGCCCUCACAUCACCAUGUGAAUUACAUUGUAAUAAAUCUAACACCCAUACAGUUCUGGUGUCGAUCAUGUUUUGGCCGUGGAAGAGGUUUAGUCAGCGGGUCUGCUACAUUCGGAUCCGUGUGCACUUUGCAUAUAUUUACGUCGUCCUCCUCGACGUAGUUGCGGAUGAGGUUGAAGCAUCGUUUGAUGUGUCUGGUCUUCUUGUGAAACCUUGGCUCCUUUGCUAAGGCAAUGGCACCAGCGUUGUCACAGAACAAGGUUAUUGGAUCCAGUGCACUUGGCACCACUCCAAGAUCCGUCAUGAGCUGCUUCAUCCAGACACCCUCCUUAGCCGCCUCCGAGGCAGCCAUGUACUCCGCUUCACAUGUAGAAUCUGCUACCACGCUUUGCUUGGAACUGCACCAGCUUACUGCACCCCCAUUAAGAAUAAAUACGUAUCCGGUUUGCGACUUAGAGUCGUCCGGAUCUGUGUCAAAGCUUGCAUCGACGUAACCUUUUACGGCGAGCUCUUCGUCACCUCCAUACACGAGAAACAUCUCCUUAGUCCUUUUCAGGUACUUCGGGAUAUUCUUGACCGCUGUCCAGUGAUCCACUCCUGGAUUACUCUGGAACCUACCUGCCAUACUUAUGGCCAGGCUAACAUCCGGUCUAGUGCACAGCAUCGCAUACAUGAUAGAACCUAUGGCUGAAGCAUAGGGGACGGAGCGCAUAUGCUCUCUAUCUUCAUCAGUUGCUGGGCACUGAGUCUUACUCAAUCUCGUACCUUGUAACACUGGCAAGAACCCUUUCUUGGACUGUUCCAUUUUGAACCUCUUCAAAACUUUAUCAAGGUAUGUGCUUUGUGAAAGUCCUAUCAGGCGCUUUGAUCUAUCCCUAUAGAUCUUAAUGCCUAGAAUGUAAGCAGCUUCUCCUAGGUCCUUCAUAGAGAAACUUUUAUUCAAGUAACCUUUUAUGCUCUCCAAAAGCUCUACGUUGUUUCCAAUCAGUAAUAUGUCAUCCACAUAUAAUAUUAGAAACGCCACAGAGCUCCCACUCACUUUCUUGUAAAUACAAGAUUCUCCAACCACUUGUAUAAACCCAAAUGCUUUGAUCACCUCAUCAAAGCGUUUGUUCCAACUCCGAGAUGCUUGCACCAGUCCAUAAAUGGAUCGCUGGAGCUUGCACACCUUGUCAGCAUUUUUAGGAUCGACAAAACCUUCGGGUUGCAUCAUAUACAACUCUUCCUUAAGAAAACCAUUAAGGAACGCCGUUUUGACAUCCAUCUGCCAGAUUUCAUAAUCGAAAAAUGCAGCUAUUGCUAACAUGAUUCUGACGGACUUAAGCAUUGCCACGGGAGAGAAAGUCUCAUCGUAGUCAAUUCCUCGAACUUGUGAAAAAUCCUUUGCCACAAGUCGAGCUUUAUAAACGGUCACAUUACCGUCAACGUCCGUCUUCUUCUUAAAGAUCCAUUUGUUCUGAAUAGCCUUGCGGCCUUCAGGUAGUAUCUCCAAAGUCCACACUUUGUUCUCAUACAUGGAUCCUAUCUCAGAUUUCAUGGCUUCUAGCCAUUUGUUGGAAUCUGGGCCCACCAUUGCUUCUUCAUAAUUCGCAGGUUCAUUGUUGUCUAACAACAUGAUUGAUAAGACGGGAUUACCGUACCACUCUGGAGCAGUGCGUGAUCUCGUCGACCUGCGUGGUUCAACAGAAACUUGAACUGGAGUUUCAUGAUCAUCAUCAUUAACUUCCUCCUCAACCGGCGUCGCAAUGACAGAGGUUUCCCCUUGUCCUGCGCCACCAUCCAGAGGGAUGAGAGGUUCGACAACCUCGUCAAGUUCUAUCUUCCUCCCACUCAAUUCUCUCGAGAGAAACUCCUUCUCGAGAAAAGUUCCGUUCUUAGCAACAAACACUUUGCCCUCGGAUUUGAGAUAGAAGGUGUACCCAACUGUCUCCUUUGGGUAGCCUAUGAAGACGCAUUUUUCCGCUUUGGGUUCCAGCUUUUCAGGCUGAAGCUUUUUGACAUAAGCAUCACAUCCCCAAACUUUAAGAAACGACAACUUUGGCCUUUUGCCAUACCACAGUUCGUAUGGUGUCGUCUCAACGGAUUUUGAUGGUGCCCUAUUUAAAGUGAAUGCAGCUGUUUCUAAUGCAUAACCCCAAAAUGAUAACGGCAAAUCAGUAAGAGACAUCAUAGAUCGCACCAUCUCUAACAAAGUACGAUUACGACGUUCGGACACACCAUUACGCUGUGGUGUUCCAGGCGGUGUUAACUGCGAAACAAUUCCACAUUGUCUUAAGUGAGCACCAAACUCGAAACUCAGAUAUUCACCCCCACGGUCAGACCGUAGGAACUUGAUCUUCUUGUUAUGAUGAUUUUCCACUUCACUCUGAAAUUGCUUGAACUUUUCAAAUGUUUCAGACUUGUGCUUCAUCAAGUAGACAUAACCAUAUCUACUUAAAUCGUCAGUGAAGGUGAGGAAAUAACGAUAUCCGCCGCGUGCCUCCACGCUCAUUGGACCACACACAUCGGUAUGUAUGAUUUCCAACAAGUCACUUGCACGCUCCAUUGUUCCGGAGAACGGAGUCUUAGUCAUCUUGCCCAUGAGGCAUGGUUCGCACGUGUCAAGUGAAUCAAAGUCAAGUGACUCCAAAAGUCCAUCAGCAUGGAGUUUCUUCAUGCGCUUUACACCAAUAUGACCCAAGCGGCAGUGCCACAAAAAUAUGGCGCUAUCAUUGUUUACUCUAACUCUUUUGGUCUCAAUGUUAUGCAUAUGCGUAUCGCUAUCAAGAUUCAAUAUGAACAAUCCUCUCACAUUCGGUGCAUGACCAUAAAAGAUGUUACUCAUAGAAAUAGAACAACCAAUAUUCUCAGACAUAAAAGAGUAACCGUCUCGCAAUAAACAAGAUCCAGAUAUAAUGUUCAUGCUCAACGCAGGCACUAAAUAACAAUGAUUUAAGUUCAUCACUAAUCCCGAUGGUAGUUGAAGUGACACUGUGCCGACGGCGAUUGCAUCAACCUUGGAACCAUUUCCUACGCGCAUCGUCACUUCGUCUUUCGCCAGCUUUCGUCUAUUCCGCAGUUCCUGUUUCGAGUUGCAAAUGUGAGCAACAGAACCGGUAUCGAAUACCCAGGCACUACUACGAGAGCCGGUUAAGUACACAUCAAUAACAUGUAUAUCAAAUAUACCUGAUUUUUCUUUGCCCGCCUUCUUAUCUGCCAGAUACUUGGGGCAAUUGCGCUUCCAGUGACCCAUACCCUUGCAAUAGAAGCACUCUGUUUCAGGCUUAGGUCCAGCCUUGGGUUUCUUCGGCGGAUUGGCAACAGGUUUGCCGCUCUUCUUCGAAUUGCCCUUCUUGCCUUUGCCGUUUCUCUUGAAACUAGUGGUCUUGCUCACCAUCAACACUUGAUGCUCUUUACGGAGUUCAGACUCUGCGACUUUCAGCAUCGCAAACAACUCGCCGGGAGACUUGUUCAUCCCUUGCAUGUUGUAGUUCAACACAAAGCCUUUAUAGCUUGGCGGCAGUGAUUGAAGGAUUCUGUCAGUGAUAGCCUCUUGCGGGAGUUCAAUCCCCAGCUCAGCCAGACGGUUUGAGUACCCAGACAUUUUGAGCACAUGUUCACUGACAGACGAGUUUUCCUCCAUCUUGCAAGCAUAGAAUUUAUCGGAGGUCUCAUACCUCUCGAUCCAGGCGUUCUUCUGAAAGAUAAACUUCAACACCUGGAACAUCUCAAAUGCUCCAUGACGCUCAAAGCGACGUUGAAGUCCCGGUUCUAAGCCAUACAAGACUGCACAUUGAACUAUUGAGUAGUCCUCCUUACGCGCUAACCAAGCGUUCUUAACAUCCUGAUCAGCCGUAGCGGGUGGUUCAUCUCCUAGCGCAGCAUCAAGGACAUAAUCCUUCUUCCCAGCUUGUAAGAUUAGCUUAAGAUUACGAGCCCAGUCUACAAAGUUGCUUCCAUCAUCUUUCAACUUAGCUUUCUCUAGGAACGUAUUAAAAUUCAGGAUGACACUUGCGUCAGCCAUGAUCUACAACACAAAUAUAUUCAAAGUGGACUUAGACUAUGUUCAAGAUAAUAAGAGUUUAACUUAAUCAAAUUAUAUGCUAAACUCCCACUCAAAAAGUACAUCUCUCUAGUCAUUUGAGUGGUUCAUGAUCCACUUACACUAUCCCAAGUCCGGUCAUCACGUGAGUUGAGUAUAGUUUCAGUGGUAAGCAUCCCUAUGCUAAUCAUAUCAACUAUAUGAUUCAUGAUCGACCUUUCGGUCUCAUGUGUUCCGAGGCCAUGUCUGCACAUGCUAGGCUCGUCAAGCUUAACCCGAGUGUUCCGCGUGCGCAACUGUUUUGCACCCGUUGUAUGUGAACGUUGAGUCUAUCACACCCGAUCAUCACGUGGUGUCUCGAAACGACGAACUGUAGCAACGGUGCACAGUCGGGGAGAACACAAUUUCGUCUUGAAAUUUUAGUGAGAGAUCACCUCAUAAUGCUACCGUCGUUCUAAGCAAAAUAAGGUGCAUAAAAGGAUUAACAUCACAUGCAAUUCAUAAGUGACAUGAUAUGGCCAUCAUCACGUGCUUCUUGAUCUCCAUCACCAAAGCACCGGCACGAUCUUCUUGUCACCGGCGCCACACCAUGAUCAUCCAUCAACAUGUUGACAUCGGGGUUGUCGUGCUACUUAUGCUAUUACUACUAAAGCUACAUCCUAGCAAAAUAGUAAACGCAUCUGCAAGCACAAACGUUAGUAUAAAGACAACCCUAUGGCUCCUGCCGGUUGCCGUACCAUCGACGUGCAAGUCGAUAUUUCUAUUACAACAUGAUCAUCUCAUACAUCCAAUAUAUCACAUCACAUCAUUGGCCAUAUCACAUCACAAUCAUACCCUGCAAAAACAAGUUAGACGUCCUCCAAUUUUGUUGUUGCAUGUUUUACGUGGUGACCAAGGGUAUCUAGUAGGAUCGCAUCUUACUUACGCAAACACCACAACGGAGAUAUAUGAGUUGCUAUUUAACCUCAUCCAAGGACCUCCUCGGUCAAAUCCGAUUCAACUAAAGUUGGAGAAACCGUCACUUGCCAGUCAUCUUUGAGCAAAGGGGGUUACUCGUAACGAUGAAACCAGUCUCUCGUAAGCGUACGAGUAAUGUCGGUCCAAGCCGCUUCAAUCCAACAAUACCGCGGAAUCAAGAAAAGACUAAGGAGGGCAGCAAAACGCACAUCACCGCCCACAAAAACUUUUGUGUUCUACUCGAGAAGACAUCUACGCAUGAACCUAGCUCAUGGUGCCACUGUUGGGGAACGUCGCGUGGGAAACAAAAAAUUUCCUACGCGCACGAAGACCUAUCAUGGUGAUGUCCAUCUAUGAGAGGGGAUGAGUGAUCUACGUACCCUUGUAGAUCGUACAGCAGAAGCGUUAGAGAACGCGAUUGAUGUAGUGGAACGUCCUCACGUCCCUCGAUCCGCCCCGCGAACAAUCCCGCGAUCAGUCCCACGAUCUAGUACCGAACGGACGGCACCUCCGCAUUCAGCACACGUACAGCUCGACGAUGAUCUCGGCCUUCUUGAUCCAGCAAGAGAGACGGAGAGGUAGAAGAGUUCUCCGGCAGCGUGACGGCGCUCCGGAGGUUGGUGAUGAUCUUGUCUCAGCAGGGCUCCGCCCGAGCUCCGCAGAAACGCGAUCUAGAGGAAAAACUAUGGAGGUAUGUGGUCGGGCAGCCGUGAGAAAGUCGUCUCAAAUCAGCCCUAAUUGCUCCAUAUAUAUAGGAGGAGGGAGGGGGGGCCUUGCCUUGGGGGUCCAAGGACCCCCAAGGAGUCGGCCGAGCCAAGGGGGGGAGGACUCCCCCCCCCCAAACCGAGUUGGACUUGGUUUGGUGGGAGGAGUCCCCCUCCCUUCCCACUUCCUCCCUCUUUUUUUUCUCUUUUCCUUUGAUUUCUUAUUCUUGGCGCAUAGGCCCCCUUGGGGCUGUCCCACCAGCCCACUAAGGGCUGGUGUGUCUCCCCAAAGCCUAUGGGCUUCCCCAGGGUGGGUUGCCCCCCCCCCCCGGUGAACUCCCGGAACCCAUUCGUCAUUCCCGGUACAUUCCCGGUAACUCCGAAAACCUUCCGGUAAUCAAAUGAGGUCAUCCUAUAUAUCAAUCUUCGUUUCCGGACCAUUCCGGAAACCCUCGUGACGUCCGUGAUCUCAUCCGGGACUCCGAACAACAUUCGGUAACCAACCAUAUAACUCAAAUACGCAUAAAACAACGUCGAACCUUAAGUGUGCAGACCCUGCGGGUUCGAGAACUAUGUAGACAUGACCCGAGAGACUCCUCGGUCAAUAUCCAACAGCGGGACCUGGAUGCCCAUAUUGGAUCCUACAUAUUCUACGAAGAUCUUAUCGUUUGAACCUCAGUGCCAAGGAUUCGUAUAAUCCCGUAUGUGAUUCCCUUUGUCCUUCGGUACGUUACUUGCCCGAGAUUCGAUCGUCAGUAUCCGCAUACCUAUUUCAAUCUCGUUUACCGACAAGUCUCUUUACUCGUUCCGUAAUACAAGAUCCCGCAACUUACACUAAGUUACAUUGCUUGCAAGGCUUGUGUGUGAUGUUGUAUUACCGAGUGGGCCCUGAGAUACCUCUCCGUCAUACGGAGUGACAAAUCCCAGUCUUGAUCCAUACUAACUCAACUAACACCUUUGGUGAUACCUGUAGAGCAUCUUUAUAGUCACCCAGUUACGUUGCGACGUUUGAUACACACAAAGCAUUCCUCCGGUGUCAGUGAGUUAUAUGAUCUCAUGGUCAUAGGAAUAAAUACUUGACACGCAGAAAACAGUAGCAACAAAAUGACACGAUCAACAUGCUACGUCUAUUAGUUUGGGUCUAGUCCAUCACGUGAUUCUCCUAAUGACAUGAUCCAGUUAGCAAGAAACAACAUCUUGUUCAUAAUCAGAAGGCACUGACUAUCUUUGAUCAACCAGCUAGCCAACUAGAGGCUUGCUAGGGACGGUGUUUUGUCUAUGUAUCCACACAUGUAAAUGAGUCUUCAUUCAAUUAAAUUAUAGCAUGGAUAAUAAACGAUUACCUUGAUACAGGAAUUAUAAUAAUAACUAUAUUUAUUAUUGCCUCUAGGGCAUAAUUCCAACAGUGACACCCUUCGGCCUCUUUAGUUCUCUCCCGGGUGAGUGACCCCUUGAUACGUCUCCAUCGUAUCUACUUUUCCAAACUCUUUUGCCCUUGUUUUGGACUCUAAUUUGCAUGAUUUGAAUGGAACUAACCUGGACUGACGCUGUUUUCAGCAGAAUUGCCUUGGUGUUAUUUUUGUGCAGAAAUCAAAGUUCUCCAACGUCCUGAAAAUCUACGGGGAGUAGUUUUGGAAAAUAUAAAAAAUAUCUGCGCCAAGUUCCACCUGAGGGGGUGGGCCAGUGGGCCACAAGCCCUGGCUCCGCCACCACCCCCCUGGUGGAGGUGGGCAGGCUUGUGGGGCCCUCACGGCUCUGCCGCCCCCAACCUCAGGUCUAUAAGUUCACUUUCGUCCCAGAAAAAAUAAAAAGAGAGGUUUUCGUCGCGUUUGCGAUACGGAGGCGCCGCCACCACCUGUUCUUCAUCUGGAGGGCAGAUCUGGAGUCCGUCUUGGGCUCCGGAGAGGGGAAAUCGUCGCCAUCGUCAUCAUCAACCUUCUUCCCUCUCCAAUUCCACGAAGCUCUUCAUCGUUCGUGAGUAAUCUAUUCGUAGGCUCGCUGGGCGGUGAUGAGUAGGAUGAUAUCUAUCAUGUAAUCGAGUUAGUUUUGAUGGGGAUUGAUCCCUAGUAUCCACUAUGUUUUGAGGUUGAUGUUGCUACUACUUUGCCAUGCUUAAUGCUUGUCACUAGGGCCCGAGUGCCAUGAUUUCAGAUCUGAAAUUAUUAUGUUGUCACCAAUAUAUGUGUGUUUUAGAUCCGAUCUUGGAAGUUGUAGUUACCUACUAUGUGUUAUGAUCCGGCAACCCCGGAGUGACAAUAACCGGAACCACUCCCGGUGAUGACCAUAGUUUGAGGAGUUCAUGUGUUCACCAAGUGCUAAUGCAUUGGUCCGGUUCUUUAUUAAAAGGAGAACCUUAAUGUCCCGUAGUUUCCUUUUGGACCCCGCUGCCACGGGAGGGAUGGACAAUAGAUGCAAUGCAAGUUCUUUUCCCUAAGCACGUAUGACGACACACGGAAUGCAUGCCUACAUCACAUUGACGAACGAGAGCUAGCCACAUAUCUCUCCGUGUGUAGUGCCCCAAGUGUAAAGCUUUCCCUUUUUGUAACCUUCCAUGUGGGACCACCUUGACAUUGUCAUGAGAGCUAUCUAUGCAUGUAUGAAUUCAUGUGUUCACCUUGUAUUUCUUCUUUUGCAUGCAUGCAUCCAUGCCAUACCAUUCUUACCAUGCCUUGUUUUGCUUGCAUCUAUACCUUGCCAUGUCAUAGAGUGGAGACUUGUGAUUUCAUGUGUUGAUGCACAUGUGAUGAUGGUGUGUGGAGUGUAAGAGUGGUUGCUAGGUAUUUUCAAAGUUCCUUGCAAUUCAAACCCUUUUUCUUCCUUUUACCUCAUGUUCAAAAUUACAUCUUCCCAAAAGCUGUUCUAAAAUGUCUUGUGAUUAGGGUUUAUUGUGGGAAUGAUGAUGUGUGUAUUUGCUGUAUUGUAUCUUGAUUUCAAGGGUGCAAAUAAACCCAAAACAGUAAAUUAAUUACUGUUUUGCAUUUAUUCCAAAUUGCUCCAAAUAUUGUUUUUCUAUUUUAUUCAAAUAGGCCAUAAUUCCUUAUGGCCACGGGCAUUUUUGCUUUGAUUUUAACCCCAACAGAACUGCCAGUGGAUUUAAGUCCUAGCUGUGUUUAUUUAAAGAAAGUUCAAAACCCUCUCAGCCCCUCUCCUCUAACUGACGCCGGUGGCAAGCAAACCAGCGCGGCCCAGCCCACUCCUUCCCAGCUCACACACGCGGGCGUCGUCCUCCUCCCCUUUCCAGCGAGGCAGGCGGCCCCACAAGUUAGCCUCUCACCUCGCUCCUCUCUGCUUUCCACCGAAGCUCCCCGCACGCACAUGGCAGCGCCGCGAUCCUCACCUCUCCUUCCCUCUAUUUAACCCCCCUUGGCGUCUGUGCAUCCGUGUUAGGGUUCCUCCCCGCCGCCGCAACGCCCAGAUCCCGAUCCACCUCUCUCUCUCUCGCCGCAACAAGUGAGGACCGCACGGGAUCGCCAUGGCCGACGGGUAGCAGCUCGCCGUCGCCAUCGAUCUACUUCCCCUGCUUCCUCUACGACGACGCCAACAGCUCGAGGGUGCCUCCAGGAGCCCGUUCCCGGCGCAAGACCGACCUCCCCCGCGCUACGUCCACUGCCUCCCGGCGGCGCGUCCCCUCCGACGAGAAGCCUCCCCGACGGUCUUCCUCCUCUACUUCCUCUACGAGCCGAUCCUCUCCUUGACUCGUACACGAGGUAGCGCUUCUCCUCCCUCCUCCCUGUCCCAGAUCGGGUGCGGUAACCGUAGGUUGUCACGCGCUUGCUCUCUGUCGCCGGCACCGCCGCUCGCCGUCGCUGUGCCGUAGUAGGGCCGCUCGGGUGCAGCUAGCACAUGAAAUGGACCCGUGCGUGUGUGGGCUUACUCCCCCCCACGGGCCGUUGCUCGAUUUGUACCACGUCGCUGGCGAGGGCCUUCCCCUAUUUCGGUUCGUCGCCGACAGUAGAUCAGCAGAGGGAUGCUCCUUCAGAUGUUUUGUAGCGUGUAUUAUUUCAGACUCCGUAGCGUAGCCAAGUGGUUUGAUCCCUGUUGUGCCUGAUGCAGGUGCUGGGUUCGAUCCCUCCCCGCGGCACCUUUUUGUUUCUCGAAUUAUCAGCACAGUUUACUGCAGGGAUGGCCUCACCUUGCUUGAACCCUCUGUUUUGUCGAAUAGUUGACAGUAGCAGAGUGGUAGAGGGUAGUUUGUGGCAUCAGAGGGUACUGGGUUCGAAUCCCAGGUGCCCCUGUUGUAUUUUUACCAUUCCUUUUAUUUCUUUUGCUUGUCCUACCAUAUUUGUGCCUAACCCAUAGGCAUUAAAGUGGACCAGAGGCAGGAUCUUUGGUUGUGUGUGUGUGUGCACACACUUGUGAUAGUGCAAGUGAUGUGUGUAUGUGUUUAUGUGGCUUAGUUGAAAAGUGGCUCAUGUGAUCUUGCUAGUGUGUUUGGGUGUGUAGUACUUGCAAAGUAUGUGCAUUGUGGAAUAGGUGAGAUGUGUGUGUUGAGGUGAUGUGUGUGUAAGUAGGGUACACAUAUGUGGUACCUAGCAGGAGUGUAUGUAUGUGUGGAUCCAUGUUUACUUGCAUAGCAGUUGUUCCUUCAUGUUGUGCUUGAGAUUAAGUGCUUGUGAUGAGGGUAUUGUGAUGAUAUGUGUGUGGUGAUAACAGCCCCAUUUUCAACACUUGUGCACCUCCUCAUGUUCAUAUGAGAGAGGACAUGAUGUGUGUGUGUGUGAGGGUGAUCUAGUGAAAGUUGUGCUAGUGGUGUUGAUAUGCAUAACACAUACAUGGGGUUCAAACCCCCAUGUCACUUUUUCAUUGUGCACAUGAGCUCAACCUUUGUAGUUGUUGACUUAGUAGGAACUACAUGAAAUGAUGCCCAUUCCCUAGGCAUGAUUUGGAGUAGUUUCCUCUCCCUUAUUUUGUGGUCACUUGUUCCAAGUAAGUGCCCACAUAUUAUAUAUGAUUUUGGGGUAGAAUCUCCCAAGGAAUCCAGUGGUGAAGUUAGUUUUUCCAUUACGAUACUUUAUGGAGUUGACAUAUUCAGAUUUGUUGCAAGUUUGAUCUUUGAUUCCAUGGAAUAGGUGGAGCCCAAGGGCAUGAGUUUUUGUGUGAUAGUAGUAGGGGUUUUGCUCUACACCAUAGUGGUUUCAUAUAUCACUUGGUGUUACUUGUGUGCAAACUAUGCCUAGACAAAGUGGGCAUGUGGUUGAAAAUUCCAGUUUAGUGAAAUCUGGAAUUUCACUAAGUCUGGGAUUCUGGAAACAUUUUCUUCUCUUAUAGAUGAGGAUGUGCUGGUCAUUGUGUUGAGAUAUAGCCUUAGUUCAGUGCUAGGAUUUUGGACCUGAUAUGUUUGUGAUGCUUCCUGUCAAAUUUCAAAUCAUUUCGAGUCCAGUAGGUUGUGUUUUGAUUGCUGUCAAAAAGCUUCAGAACAAAGACAGAAAUUCAGGUGCAGGAAUUUUCACCAAGUCCCUGAGAUCUGAUGGUUUUGGGGAAGUUUGUGGCCUUGUAUAUUAAUUCCUUUUGCUGUGAUUCUUGCUGGUGCUUGUAGGGUUCUUAGUGGGCUACAGCCACAUAUAUUAUUUGACAUAUUUGGUGGCCUGUAGCUAUGUUGCAUGUAGCUCACAAAGUGCUAAUAUGCAGUUUAUGGCAGAUUAUGUAGUUUUGUCAUUUUGAUGAUUGUGUGUGCUUAGUGGAUGUGGUGGUGCUCUUCCUUGCUCCAAUCCAUUCAUGUGGGAGUGGUACAUGUCUUGGCAACCUGGGAAUACCAGAUUUGUGCCAAUUGUGAGUGUGGUGUUGAUUCUUACACGUAGAGCUUCAUAUCUUGUUUCGUUGAUUCCCGUUGAACCGUAGCUCCGUUCGCAAUGUUCUUUAUAUGUUUUUGCAUAGUUUUCACGAGACGCAUCUCUUCAUGCCAUUCUCAUGCAUGUAAAAAUAUCCUAGUUUACAGUUCUGUCCAGAAACUUAUAGUAGUUCUUUUGCUUGUGCUAGUGAUAGAAAUAGUGAUGCAUGCUCAUUUUUCAUCUCAUGCAUCAUGUGAUUGUUGCAUCUUGUGGUGCUGCUGUUCAUUGGCUGUUAUUCUUAUGUUGGGUAGCACCGGGAUCGGAGAACGAAUACGUGGAGUCAGGAGAGUACGUGCAGGACGAUCCAGGACCAUUCCAAGCUGAGGAUAUCACAUGCAAGAUGAUAUGACCUUGAUUCCAUCUCUAGACUUGUUAUGCUAGUUUCGUUUACUUGUCAUAUUGCUUGCUGCCUACCACUGAAAUUAAAUUGCCUCUUCAUAUGCCAUGAGCCCAAACACUGUUCCCCUUCCUAGCAAAACUUGUAUGGCUAAGUAGGCUUUGCUCAGCUACUAAUGUUAGCGUUGCUAGAUGCAGGUCCUUUGACUCAUUUGAUAACAUGAGCUUUGAUAUACUUAUCUUAAAUUCUGUUAAUUAAUGAAUGCACCUAUAUACUUGGUAAAUGACGGGAGGCCUAGCCUUUUGCCGGGUGCUUUGUUCCGUUAUUGCCGCCUUAGUUACCGGUUACCGGUGUUUGAUUCCAUAAUGAUCGCUCCUAACACGUUCGGGGUUGUUAUGGGGACCCCCUUGAUAAAUCGCCUAGUGCUACGGCUUGUCCGGCAGGACCCAACAUUGGUUUUAAUCUGCUAAUCACACAAUAAUCCACAUAGGGAAUAGCUACCCCGAGGAAUUUAAUCAACAACCUGGGCUAGUGCUCCUCACGAGUGUUGGCCCCACCUGAGCGAUGUCCGGGGCCCCACUGGUCACCCAGAGGUUUAGCCAUCCCGACGUCUAGCUCAUCCUCGUGUCCUGAGACUGAGAUACGUGGCUCUUAUCAGGGUCGUCGACACGAUGGGAGGUCCUGCUAGCCUUGUCUUACCUUAGCGGUAUAUCUUGCGUAUAGGAAUCCGAGUGAAGCUUUGGUUUCCCCCAGAGUUGAGGUUUUCCUCUAAGGAAUCCGACAAGAUCAUGAGAUUCGUGAUAGAGGAUGCCUUUGCGGCAUGUGUUUGUUUAUGAUGGACUAGUUGGAGCACCCCUACAGGGUUUAAUCUUUCGGAAAGCCGUGCCCGCGGUUAUGUGGCAACUUGGAAUAUUUUGUUAACAUCCGGUAUUAGAGAACUUGAACAUAAGCUAAUAAAAUUGCCAACUGUGUGCAUACCCGUGACAGUCCCCUCGAAGAUCCCUCUUCGAUCGGGAACACGGUGGGGUUAUGAAUGCCGUAGGUAGGUGGUCAGGAUCACUUAGUGAUCAAGUAUUCCCGACCGCUAGUGUAGACCACCUUCACAAUUACUUCGCGUAAGUUAGCCACUUAAUCAAGCUUAGGAUGCUGCAGCCUUAUACACUUCACCCUUACCCUACCUAAUAACAUGACUAGUUCUGGCACCAAGGUCUUAGAUUGCUGAGUCCCCGUGGCUCACGGAUUCCUCCGAAACUCCCAGCAGGUACAGGUACCCCAGAUAUAGAUGAUCCCGACGGCACCCAGCUGGCGUGGCAGUACGACGAGGAGACAGACCGCCUCUACGUGACCUAUCCAGGGGACUGAGGCGUGGUCGUGAUCGUGGGCCUGCAGGCAGGGUAGCAUAGCAUUUCCAUGUUUUGUAGUCCGUAGCGGAACUACCUUGAUUGUAUCUGUGAUGUACUCUGAGUUAUUAAUAAGAAGACAGUUGAAUCCCGAAUUGUCUACUUUUAUUGUUAUUUGUGCUAUGUUACUUGCUUGCGAAAUGCUUAGAUGCGUUUCUUUCCUAUUCGGGGGCCUCGACCCCCAGAUCGGAAAGGACCGCAUCUUGGUCGUUACAAGUUGGUAUCAAAGCCUUACGACCAUAGGAGCUUUUGUGUGAUCGUACUUGGCCAAGUUGAGUCUAGAAAAUGUUUUGAGUCUUAGUUAUAUCGGAGAGUAGGAUCUUUUUUCUCCUCUUCUAUGCUCUGGUGAGGUUCCCGUCUUAGGAAAUCUUUAACUCUACUCCUUUUCUCGCUCAAAUUUUUUUUUAGGAUCACGCGGGUAUUUGUGAAAUCUAUAUGAUUUUGAUGUGACGGAAUCCUGUCCUGGUGCCUCCUAUCUGCUCUAAGUGUCAGGGGAGUUGAGCUCCAGGGAUUCUUGCGCACAUUGCCAUCAUUCAGAUUUCUGAGUAUCUAAGAAGAGAGGGUGUUCGUUAUUGCUUCAAUACGGGUAGUGGUGAGAUAACCCCGAUGUCCCCAGUACCGGUGUAGAUUGUUCGGGGGUAUUACCACACUUUGUAUCGUUGUGAUCACGAGGAUCUAUUGUAGAUGAAGGUCCGAGAUGCUGGUUGUGUGUUGAAGGAUGUGAUACAGGUGACGAGUUAGUUUAGGAGUUGUGUGAAAUACUCCUUGUAUCCGUGUACCUGAUUGCAUGACCAGUUAUUUCGAGAAUUCAUAGGUGGGAUAUCUAGUAGUAUCUUAUAGGACUAUCUUCCUACAGACGCUUGAUUGAUGUUUGGGAAAUCUCAGUCAUAUGUUUGUUCCGAGCAGUUCUAGCUCACACUUGUUUGAAGUGGUCCUUAUCGGAAUUUUGUCGUCUGUUACUUUGAGGAUGCACUCUUGCUAUGUUGUUCGAGUGCAAUGCUAAAUUCUGUUCAGAUAUUCCUGUCUUUUGAUUUAGCAAUAUCUUCAAUUAUUCUGUGGACUAAUAUGCUGUCCGUCUUCAGGAUGGCUCCACCGACUCGUCAGACCCCAGGGCGUGAGGAUAUGUCGCCUCCACCUCCUCAUCCUCCUCCUCCGCCGCCUCCUCCUGCAGAGGCCUGGUAGGCGAUGAUGGCAGCUACUAAUGCAAACACUCAGAUGCUGUUGCAGUUGAUCCAGGAGAGAGCCAAUCAUCAGCAGGGCAAUUUUCAGCAGGGUGGCAAUCACUUCGCCAAUCUGAGUCAGUUCCUGUCAAACCAGCCUAAGACGUUCACUUCUUGCGACCAGCCGUUUGAUGCAGAAGAUUGGAUCCGUGAUAUGAACAAGCAUUUCGAGUGUAGCAAUGUGCGUCCGGAGGACUAUGUCAAGUUUGCUACGUUUUAGUUGAAGGGGCAGGCUUCUAUUUGGUGGCAGCAGCUUAAGGACUCUAGAGGUGACAUGGUGAUGUCUUGGGACGAGUUUUGUCGUGACUUCAGAUCCCACUACACCCCUUCCAGUUUUGUUGAGGAGAUGCGUGAGAAGUUCAGGCGUUUGAAGCAGGGCAGCAAUUCUAUGUACAAGUACAAUGUCGAGUUCCACGAGCUGGCCCGUUACGCGCUGCAGGAUGUCCCGGAUCAGAAGAGCAAGAUCUACCAGUUCAGGGGUGGUUUAAAGGAGGAUUUGCAGUUAGCGCUUGCUUUGCACGAUCCAGAGGAGUUUGACAAGUUCUACAACUUAGCUCUCCGAGCAGAGGCAGCCUUGCUCAGGGUGGAAACCUCAAAGAAACGCUUCAGAGAUUCCAGCUCUUCCUCGACUCAGGUGGUUCAGAAGCAACAGAGGUUUUGGGUUUCUCCUCCUCCUCGGCACUCACAGCAGCUGAAGCACUCAGGUGGACGUGGUUCUUCCUGUUGGAACUAUGCCCUAGAGGCAAUAAUAAAUUAGUUAUUAUUAUAUUUCUUUGUUCAUGAUAAUCGUUUAUUAUCCAUGCUAUAAUUGUAUCGAUUGGAAACACAAUACUUGUGUGGAUACAUAGACAAAACACUGUCCCUAGUAAGCCUCUAGUUGACUAGCUCGUUGAUCAAAGAUGGCCAAGGUUUCCUGGCCAUAGGCAAGUGUUGUUACUUGAUAACGGGAUCACAUCAUUAGGAGAAUCAUGUGAUGGACUGGACCCAAACUAAUAGACGUAGCAUGUUGAUCGUGUCAUUUUGUUGCUACUGUUUUCUGCGUGUCAAGUAUUCGUUCCUAUGACCAUGAGAUCAUAUAACUCACUGACACCGGAGGAAUGCUUUGUGUGUAUCAAACGUCGCAAUGUAACUGGGUGACUAUAAAGAUGCUCUACAGGUAUCUCCGAAGGUGUUAGUUGAGUUAGUAUGGAUCGAGACUGGGAUUUGUCACUCCGUGUGACGGAGAGGUAUCUCGGGGCCCACUCGGUAAUACAACAUCAUACACAAGCCUUGCAAGUAAUGUGACUUAGUGUAAGUUGCGGAUCUUGUAUUACGGAACGAGUAAAGAGACUUGCCGGCAAAUGAGAUUGAAAUAGGUAUGCGGAUACUGAUGAUCGAAUCUCGGGCAAGUAACAUACCGAAGGACAAAGGGAAUGACAUACGGGAUUAUAUGAAUCCUUGGCACUAAGGUUCAAACGAUAAGAUCUUCGUAGAAUAUGUAGGAUCCAAUAUGGGCAUCCAGGUCCCGCUAUUGGAUAUUGACCGAGGAGUCUCUCGGGUGAUGUCUACAUAGUUCCUGAACCCGUAGGGUCUGCACACUUAAGGUUCGACAUUGUUUUAUGCGUAUUUGAGUUAUAUGGUUGGUUACCGAAUGUUGUUCGGAGUCCCGGAUGAGAUCACGGAUGUCACGAGGGUUUUCGGAAUGGUCCGGAAACGAAGAUUGAUAUAUAGGAUGACCUCAUUUGAUUACCGGAAGGUUUUCGGAGUUACCGGGAAUGUACCGGGAAUGACGAAUGGGUUCCGGGUGUUCACCGGGGGGGGGGGGCAACCCACCCCGGGGAAGCCCAUAGGCCUUGGGGGUGGCGCACCAGCCCUUAGUGGGCUGGUGGGACAGCCCAAGAAGGCCCUAUGCGCCAUAGGAAGAAAAUCAAAGAGAAAAGAAAAAAAAAGAGCAGGUGGGAAAAGGGGGAAGGACUCCUCCUUCCAAACCUAGUUGGACUCGGUUUGGAAGGGGAGGGUUGCCCCCCUUGGCUCGGCCGACCCCCUUGGGAGUCCUUGGACCCCAAGGCAAGGCUCCCCCUCCUCCCCCUAUAUAUACGCAGGUUUUAGGGCUGAUUUGAGACAACUUUGCCACGACAGCCCGACCACAUAUCUCCACGGUUUCACCUCUAGAUCGCGUUUCUGCGGAGCUCGGGCGGAGCCCUGUGAGAUAAGAUCACCACCAACCUCCGUAGCUCCGUCACGCUGGCGGAGAACUCAUCUACCUCUCCAUCACUCUUGCUGGAUCAAGAAGGCCGAGAUCAUCGUCGAGCUGUACGUGUGCUGAACGCGGAGGUGCCGUCCGUUCGGCACUAGAUCGUGGGACUGAUCGCGGGACGGUUCGCGGGGCGGAUCGAGGGACAUGAGGACGUUCCACUACAUCAACUGUGUUCACUAAUGCUUCUGCUGUGCGGUCUACAAGGGUACCUAGAUCGAACAUCCCCUCUCGUAGAUGGACAUCACCAUGAUAGGUCUUCGUGCGCGUAGGAAAUUUUUUGUUUCCCAUGCGACGUUCCCCAACAGUUCCCACCCACCCAACCCUGGCUUCCAGCAGAGAUACCAGCAUUAGAAGCAAGGGACUCCUCAGUCUCAGUUCCAGCAGCCAGUAGAUGUCACUUGUCACUAAUGUGGGCAGAAGGGUCACUAUGCCAACAAAUGCACUUCUCAGCUCCGUCUGCCUCCUCCUCCUCUAGGCAAACUUCCAAGCAACGCUCUUGUCAAAUUCAACCCCAGAUCAUCUCGAGUCAACAUGGUGAAUGCAGUUGAAGCAGACAACUCCUCUGAUGUGAUCAUGGGUAACCUCCUCGUCAAUGAUAUUACUGCUAAAGUGUUAUUUGAUUCUGGUGCUUCGCAUUCGUUCCUCUCGAUUCCAUUUGCAUCCAAGCAUAAUGUUCUUGUUGAAGAGCUUCCUAGUCCUUUGGCAGUAGUUUCACCAGGCAAGUUCAUGCAUGCUAGUACUCGUGCUCCCGUUGUUUCUAUCAAGAUGGGCAAUUAUUCUUUUCUGGCCUCUCCGUAUGUCUUGGGCAAGUCCGACAUCGACUUGAUUCUUGGUAUGGACUGGUUGGCCAUGAACAAGGCAUCAAUUGAUUGUGAAGCUAAAGAAGUCAAGCUUACUCACUCUUUGGAGGAUGUGAUUAUAUUCGCGGCGCGCGAUGAUACAAUCCGUUUGUUCUCCUUGAAUGAAAAGGGUGAGAUCAAUCCUAUUGAGCAAGUUCCAGUAGUCUGCGAAUAUCAAGAUGUGUUUCCUGAAGAGCUGCCAGGCAUGCCUCCGCACCGUGAAGUUGAGUUCGUCAUUGAGCUUAAGCCAGGCACAGAGCCAGUGUGCAAACGGCCGUACAAGCUGGGUCCAGAAGAGUUGAAGGAACUCAAGAGGCAACUCGAUGAGCAGGAGCGUUAGGGUUUGAUGAGACCAAGCUCGUCUCCGUGGGGAUGUGGUGUUCUAUUUUUCAAGAAGAAGGAUGGUUCGGACCGGCUGUGUGUCGAUUACCGCCCAUUGAACAAGAAGACAAUCAAGAACAAAUAUCCACUUCCGAACAUAACUGAGUUGUUCGAACAGUUGAAAGGUGCUAAAGUAUUGUCCAAGCUUGAUCUCAGAAUGGGCUAUCAUCAGAUUCGCAUUCGCGAGGAAGACAUUCCGAAGACGGCCUUCAGGACUAGUUUUGGCUCGUAUGAGUAUACGGUCAUGUCUUUUGGUCUGGCUAAUGCUCCUCCGACUUUUUGUCGAUUGAUGAACUAUAUUUUCUCACCAUACAAGAAUGAAUUUGUCUUGCUCUAUCUCGACGACAUUCUGGUCUUUUCUGAGGAUGAGGAAGAACAUGAGAGACAUCUCAGGUUGGUGCUUGAUAAACUGAGAGAAUACAAGCUGUAUGCCAAGUUUUCCAAGUGCGAGUUCUGGCUGAAAGAAGUGGUUUAUCUUGGGCAUAUUAUCUCUACCGAGGGCAUUAAGGUUGACCCAUCCAAGGCUCAAGCCAUUGUUGACUGGGAACCUCCGCAGAAUGUGAAGCAGCUUCGAAGCUUUCUCGGGCUUGCCGAAUAUUGCAGAAGAUUCGUUGAGAACUUCUCCAAAAUCGCCAAGCCGCUCUCUAGUCUUCUUCAGAAGGGUGUCAAGUAUGUUUGGUCUCCAGAAUGUCAACUGGCUUUCGAUACACUCAAAGAGAAGCUUAUCUCCACUCCGUUAUUGGCCCCUCCGGAUGAUUCCAAGCCGUACCAGGUCUUUUGCGACGCAUCUCUCCAGGGUCUUGGUGCAGUCUUGAUGCAAGAUAGGAAGGUGGUUGCUUAUACCUCCAGGCAGCUGAAGCCUGCGGGGAAGAACUAUCCUGUGCAUGAUCUCGAGCUAGCAGCUGUUGUGCACGCCUUGAUGACUCGGAGACAUCUCUUGUUGGAACGUAAGGUUGAAGUUUUCACCGAUCACAAGAGUCUCAAGUAUAUCUUCACUCAGCCUAACUUGAAUCUUCGGCAAACACGUUGGGUGGAAAUGCUCCAGGAUUUUAAUCCGAGUGUUGAGUACACGCCAGGCAAGGCAAAUGUUGUGGCAAAUGCAUUGAGCAGGAAGGCAUAUUGCAACAGUCUGAUUCUGCAACCUCUCCAGCCGGGUCUUUCUGAGUCUUUCAGGAAGCUCAAUCUUCAGCUAGUUCCUCAGGGUUUUCUUGCGAACCUUUAGAUCUCUCCUACCUUGGAAGAUCAGGUCAGAGCAGCUCAGCUACUUGACGCUAUGGUGAAAAAGGUCAAGAUUGGCAUGGGAAAGAGUCUCCCCAAGUAUAAGUGUUUCACUGUUGAUGCCAGGGACACAUUGUUUUUCGAGGAUCGCCUUGUCGUCCCGAAAGGUGAUCUCAGGAAGGUGAUCAUGGAAGAAGCUCAUAACUCUCUGCUCUCUAUUCAUCCUGGAAGUUCCAAAAUGUACCAUGACUUGAAGCAGACUUUCUGGUGGACUCGUAUGAAACGCGAAAUUGCACAAUUCGUAAACGAGUGUGAUGUAUGUCGAAGGGUGAAAGCAGAACAUCAAAGACCAGCAGGCCUCUUGCAGCCUUUGCCGAUUCCCGAGUGGAAGUUUGAUCACAUUGAGAUGGAUUUCGUCACCGGGUUUCCGAAGUCCAAGAAGGGCAAUGAUGCUAUCUUCGUCGUCAUCGACAAAUUGAGUAAAGGUCCUCAUUUCCUUCCAGUCAAGGAGUCCAUUUCAGCAGCUCAGUUGGCAGAGUUGUACACCUCCAGUAUUGUCUCUUUGCACGGUGUACCUAUGAUGAUGUCGUCAGAUCGCGGAAGUAUCUUCACUUCCAAGUUCUGGGACUCCUUUCAGUCUGCUAUGGGCACGAAGAUUCGCUUCAGCACAACGUUCCAUCCUCAGACUAGUGGUCAAGUGGAGAGAGUGAAUCAAGUUCUUAAGGACAUGCUGAGAGCCUGUGUUAUCUCUUUUGGCAUAAAGUGGGAAGAUUGUCUGCCUUUCGCGGAGUUCUCGUAUAACAAUAGUUAUCAAGCUAGUUCUGGAUAGGCUUCGUUUGAAAUUCUCUAUGGCAGGAAGUGUCGUACUCCGCUCAACUGGUCCCAGACAGGCGAGCGUCAGAUCCUUGGCAAUAAUAUGAUCGAAGAAGCUGAGGAGAUGUGUCGGAUCAUUCGCGACAACCUCAGAGCAGCGCAGUCCCAUCAGAAGAGCUAUUACGAUAGCAAGCACCGUGACAUGUCGUAUGACCUUGAUGACUUUGUCUAUCUCAAAGUGUCACCUAUGAAGGGUAUGCAGCGCUUUGGCCUCAAAGGCAAGCUUGCGCCUCGUUUCGUUGGUCCGUUCAGAGUGGUUGGCAAGAGGGGUGACCUUGCAUACCAGCUCGAGCUUCCGUCAACCUUUGCAAAUGUCCAUGAUGUGUUCCAUGUUUCUCAGCUUCGGAGGUGUUUCAAGACCCCCGAGCGGACUGUGCAUCUUCAAGAUAUCGACCUUCAGCCUGACCUUUCUUAUCGGCAUCCAGUUGCGGUUCUCGAGGCGACUGAGCGCAAGACCCGUAACAAGACUGUCAAGUUUCUCAAAGUGCAGUGGUCUCACCAUACCGAUAAAGAGGCUACGUGGGAACGCGAGGAUCACCUCUGUUCCGAAUUUCCCGAUUUCUUUCAGGCGUAGAUCUCGGGGCGAGAUCUUCUUUGUAGUGUGGGAGAAUUUGUAGUGCCGCAAGUGUAAAGCUUUCCCUUUUUGUAACCUUCCAUGUGGGACCACCUUGACAUUGUCAUGAGAGCUAUCUAUGCAUGUAUGAAUUCAUGUGUUCACCUUGUAUUUCUUCUUUUGCAUGCAUGCAUCCAUGCCAUACCAUUCUUACCAUGCCUUGUUUUGCUUGCAUCUAUACCUUGCCAUGUCAUAGAGUGGAGACUUGUGAUUUCAUGUGUUGAUGCACAUGUGAUGAUGGUGUGUGGAGUGUAAGAGUGGUUGCUAGGUAUUUUCAAAGUUCCUUGCAAUUCAAACCCUUUUCCUUCCUUUUACCUCAUGUUCAAAAUUACAUCUUCCCAAAAGCUGUUCUAAAAUGUCUUGUGAUUAGGGUUUAUUGUGGGAAUGAUGAUGUGUGUAUUUGCUGUAUUGUAUCUUGAUUUCAAGGGUGCAAAUAAACCCAAAACAGUAAAUUAAUUACUGUUUUGCAUUUAUUCCAAAUUGCUCCAAAUAUUGUUUUUCUAUUUUAUUCAAAUAGGCCAUAAUUCCUUAUGGCCAGGGGCAUUUUUGCUUUGAUUUUAACCCCAACAGAACUGCCAGUGGAUUUAAGUCCUAGCUGUGUUUAUUUAAAAAAAGUUCAAAACCCUCUCAGCCCCACUCCUCUAACUAACGCCGGUGGCAAGCAAACCAGCGCGGCCCAGCCCACUCCUUCCUAGCUCACGCACGCGAGCGUCGUCCUCCUCCCCUUUCCAGCGAGGCAGGCGGCCCCACAAGUCAGCCUCUCACCUCGCUCCUCUCUGCUUUCCACCGAAGCUCCCCGCACGCACAUGGCAGCGCCGCGAUCCUCACCUCUCCUUCCCUCUAUUUAACCCCCCUUGGCGUCCGUGCAUCCGUGUUAGGGUUCCUCCUCGCCGUCGCAACGCCCAGAUCCCGAUCCACCUCUCUCUCUCUCGCCGCAGCAAGUGAGGACCGCACGGGAUCGCCAUGGCCGACGGGUAGCAUCUCGCCGUCGCCAUCGAUCUACUUCCCCUGCUUCCUCUACGACGACGCCAACAGCUCGAGGGUGCCUCCAGGAGCCCGUUCCCGGCGCAAGACCGACCUCCCCCGCGCUACGUCCACUGCCUCCCGGCGGUGCAUCCCCUCCGACGAGAAGCCUCCCCGACGGUCUUCCUCCUCUACUUCCUCUACGAGCCGAUCCUCUCCUCGACUCGUACACGAGGUAGCGCUUCUCUUCCCUCCUCCCUGUCCCAGAUCGGGUGCGGUAGCCGUAGGUUGUCACGCGCUUGCUCUCUGUCGCCGGCGCCGCCGCUCGCCGUCGUUGCGCCAUAGUAGGGCCCCUCGGGUGCAGCUAGCACAUGAAAUGGACCCGUGCGUGUGUGGGCUUACUCCCCCCCACGAGCCGUUGCUCGAUUUGCACCACGUCGCCGGCGAGGGCCUUCCCCUGUUUUGGUUCAUCGCCGACAGUAGAUCAGCAGAGGGAGGCUCCUUCAGAUGUUUUGUAGCGUGUAUUAUUUCAGACUCCGUAGCGUAGCCCAGUGGUUUGAUCCCUGUUGUGCGUGAUGCAGGUGCUGGGUUCGAUCCUUCCCCGCGGCACCUUUUUGUUUCUCUGAAUUAUCAGCACAGUUUACUGCAGGGAUGGCCUCACCUUGCUUGAACCCUCUGUUUUGUCGAAUAGUUGACAGUAGCAGAGUGGUAGAGGGUAGUUUGUGGCAUCAGAGGGUACUGGGUUCGAAUCCCAGGUGCCCCUGUUGUAUUUUUACCCUUCCUUUUAUUUCUUUUGUUUGUCCUACCAUAUUUCUGCCUAACCCAUAGGCAUUAAAGUGGACCAUUUUGAUUUCUUCUCCUGCUGUGCAUAGAUAGAGGAAGGAUCUUUGGUUGUGUGUGUGUGUGUGUGUGCACACUUGUGAUAGUGCAAGUGAUGUGUGUAUGUGUUUAUGUGGCUUAGUUGAAAAGUGGCUCAUGUGAUCUUGCUAGUGUGUUUGGGUGUGUAGUACUUGCAAAGUAUGUGCAUUGUGGAAUAGGUGAGAUGUGUGUGUUGAGGUGAUGUGUGUGUAAGUAGUGCACACAUAUGUGGUACCUAGCAGGAGUGUAUGUAUGUGUGGAUCCAUGUUUACUUGCAUAGCAGUUGUUCCUUCAUGUUGUGCUUGAGAUUAAGUGCUUGUGAUGAGGGUAUUGUGAUGAUAUGUGUGUGGUGAUAACAGCCCCAUUUGCAACACUUGUGCACCUCCUCAUGUUGAUAUGAGAGAGGGCAUGAUGUGUGUGUGUGAGGGUGAUCUAGUGAAAGUUGUGCUAGUGGUGUUGAUGUGCAUAACACAUACAUGGGGUUCAAACCCCCAUGUCACUUUGUCAUUGUGCACAUGAGCUCAACCUUUGUAGUUGUUGACUUAGUAGGAACUACAUGAAAUGAUGCCCAUUCCCUAGGCAUGAUUUGGAGUAGUUUCCUCUCCCUUAAUUUGUGGUCACUUGUUCCAAGUAAGUGCCCACAUAUUAUAUAUGAUUUUGGGGUAGAAUCUCCCAAGGAAUCCAGUGGUGAAGUUAGUUUUGCCAUUAGGAUAAUUUCUGGAGUUGACAUAUUCAGAUUUAUUGCAAGUUUGAUCUUUGAUUCCAUGGAAUAGGUGGAGCCCAAGGGCAUGAGUUUUUGUGUGAUAGUAGUAGGGUUUUGCUCUACACCAUAGUGGUGUCAUAUAUCACUUGGUGUUACUUGUGUGCAAACUAUGCCUAGACAAAGUGGGCAUGUGGCUGAAAAUUCCAGUUUAGUGAAAUCUGGAAUUUCACAAAGUCUGGGAUUCUGGAAACAUUUUCUUCUCUUAUAGAUGAGGAUGUGCUGGUCAUUGUGUUGAGAUCUAGCCUUAGUUCAGUGCUAGGAUUUUGGACCUGAUAUGUUUUUUAAGUUCCCUGUCAAAUUUCAAAUCAUUUGGAGUCUAGUAGGUUGUGUUUUGAUUGCUGUCAAAAAGCUUCAGAACAAAGACAGAAAUUCAGGUGCAGGAAUUUUCACCAAGUCCCUGAGAUCUGAUGGUUUUGGGGAAGUUUGUGGCCUUGUAUAUUAAUUCCUUUUGCUGUGAUUCUUGCUGGUGCUUGUAGGGUUCUUGGUGGGAUACAGCCACUUAUAUUAUUUGACAUAUUUGGUGGCCUGUAGCUAUGUUGCAUGUAGCUCACAAAGUGCUAAGAUGCAGUUUAUGGCAGAUUAUGUAGUUUUGUCAUUUCUAUGAUUGUGUGUGCUUAGUGGAUGUGGUGGUGCUCUUACUUGCUCCAAUCCAUUCAUGUGGGAGUGGUACAUGUCUUGGCAACCUGGGAAUACCAGAUUUGUGCCAAUUGUGAGUGUGGUGUUGAUUCUUACACGUAGAGCUUCAUAUCUUGUUUCGUUGAUUCCCGUUGAACCGUAGCUCCGUUCACAAUGUUCUUUAUAUGUUUUUGCAUCGUUUUCACGAGACGCAUCUCUUCAUGCCAUUCUCAUGCAUGUCGAAAUAGCCUAGUGUAAAGUUCUGUCCAGAAACUUAUAGUAGUUCCUUUUGCUUGUGCUAGUGAUAGAAAUAGUGAUGCAUGCUCAUUUUUCAUCUCAUGCAUCAUGUGAUUGUUGCAUCUUGUAGUGCUGCUGUUCAUUGGCUGUUAUUCUUAUGUUGGGUAGCACCGGGAUCGGAGAACGAAUAUGUGGAGUCAGGAGAGUACGUGCAGGACAAUCCAGGACCAUUCCAAGCUGAGGAUAUCACAUGCAAGAUGAUAUGACCUUGAUUCCAUCUCUAGACUUGUUAUGCUAGUUUCGUUUACUUGUCAUAUUGCUCGCUGCCUACCACUGAAAUUAAAUUGCCUCUUCAUAUGCCAUGAGCCCAAACACUGUUCCCCUUCCUAGCAAAACUUGUAUGGCUAAGUAGGCUUUGCUCAGCUACUAAUGUUAGCGUUGCUAGAUGCAGGUGCUUUGACUCAUGUGAUAACAUGAGCUUUGAUAUCAUUAUCUUAAAUUCCGUUAAUUAAUGAAUGCACCUAUAUACUUGGUAAAUGACGGGAGGCCUAGCCUUUUGCCGGGUGCUUUGUUCCGUUAUUGCCGCCUUAGUUACCGGUUACCGGUGUUUGAUUCCAUAAUGAUCGCUCCUAACACGUUCGGGGUUGUUAUGGGGACCCCCUUGAUAAAUCGCGUAGUGCUAAGGCUUGUCCGGCAGGACCCAACAUUGGUUUUAAUCUGCUCACAUAAUAAUCUGCAUAGGGAAUAGCUACCCCGAGGAAUUUAAUCAACAACCCCGGCCAGUGCUCCUCAUGAGUGUUGGCCCCACCUGAGCGAUGUCCGGGGCCCCACUCGUCACCCAGAGGUUUAGCCAUCCCUUCGCCUAGCUCAUCCGUCGUGUCCUGAGACUGAGAUACGUGGCUCUUAUCAGGGCCAUCGACACGACGGGAGGUCCUGCUAGCCUUGUCUUACCUUAGCGGUAUAUCUUGCGUAUAGGAAUCCCAGUGAAGCUUUGGUUUCCCCAAGAGUUGAGGUUUUCCUCUAAGGAAUCCGACGAGAUCACGAGAUUCGUGAUAGAGGAUGCCUUUGCGGCCUGUGUUCGUUUAUGAUGGACUAGUUGGAGCACCCCUGCAGGGUUUAAUCUUUCAGAAAGCCGUGCCCACGGUUAUGUGGCAACUUGGAAUAUUUUGUUAACAUCCGGUAUUAGAGAACUUGAACAUAAGCUAAUAAAAUUGCCAACUGUGUGCGUAUCCGUGUCUGUCCCCUCGAAGAUCCCUCUUCGAUCGGGAACACGGUGGGGUUAUGAAUGCCGUAGGUAGGUGGUCAGGAUCACUUAGUGAUCAAGUAUUCCCGACCGCUAGUGUAGACCACCUUCACAAUUACUUCGCGUAAGUUAGCCACUUAAUCAAGCUUAGGAUGCUGCAGCCUUAUACACUUCACCCUUACCCUACCUAAUAACAUGACUAGUUCUGGCACCAAGGUCUUAGAUUGCUGAGUCCCCGUGGCUCACGGAUUCCUCCGAAACUCCCAGCAGGUACAGGUACCCCAGAGACAGAUGAUCCCGACGGCACCCAGCUGGCGUGGCAAUACGACGAGGAGACAGACCGCCUCUAGGUGAGCUAUCCAGAGGACUGAGGCGUGGUCGUGAUCGUGGGCCUGCACGCAGGGUAGCAUAGCAUUUCCAUGUUUUGUAGUCCGUAGCGGAACUACCUUGAUUGUAUCUGUGAUGUACUCUGAGUUAUUAAUAAGAAGACAGUUGAAUCCCGAAUUGUCUACUUUUAUUGUUAUUUGUGCUAUGUUACUUGCUUGCGAAACGCUUAGAUGCGCUUCUUUCCUAUUCGGGGGCCUCGACCCCAAGAUCGGAAAGGACCGCAUCUUGGUCGUUACACCGUGUUAUAGUUGUUGCAUGAUGAAUAUCAUCCAAACAAAUCACCGACCCAUUGCCUACGAGUUUGUUCUAUUGCUGCUACUACUGUUGCUACUGUUGUUACUUGUCUUGCUCUACUGCUGCUACUACUCUUGCUACUGCUGUUACUUGUCUUGCUCUGCUGCUACUGUUGCUACUACUGUCGCUUGCUACUGUUGCUAUUUGCUACUGCUCUCACUACCACUGUUCCUUGCCACUGCUGUUACUCGCUACUUUUCUGUUACUACUUUGGUUGCAGAUACUAAUCUUUUAGGUGUGGUUGAAUCUGAUAAAUUCAGCUGCUAAUACUUGAGAGUAUUCUUCCACCUCCCGUCAUGCGAAUCAACAAAUUUGGGUCAAAUACUCUACCCUCGAAAACUGCUACGAUCCCACGUGCUGGUGGGCGUCAACAACAUUCUCCUAGUUUCGAUUGCCGGAGAGUGCUAACAACAUUCUUCUGGUGCCGUUGCAAUGGGGAAGAACAGUUGACAUCAAGCAUUUUUCUGGCGCCGUUGCCGGGGAGGUAUUGCUAUAUUCUCUAAGUGACUUGGGAUUUAUAUCUGCUGAUCACUAUGAAGAAUCUGAAGGAUCCGAAGACCAAAGUCUUGCCCUCAACUACGAGGGGAGGUAAGGAAUUGCCAUCUAGCUCUGCACUUGAUUCACCUUCAGUUAUGAGUAAGUUUGCGACAUCACCUCCUGCUAGAAAUCUUGAUAUGUCGCAUGUGCUUGAUGAUGCUUGUGAUACUACUGCUAGAGAUGCUAUGCUUGAUACUAUGCCUGAUGCUAUGCCUGAUACUGCUAGAGAUGCUAUGCUUGAUACUGCUUUGCCUGAUGAUGCUAGAGAUGCUAUUUUGCCUGAUGAUGCUAUGCUUGAUACUGCUAGAGAUACCACUUUGCCUGAUGUUCCACUAGGGGUAUUCCUUGAUGCUCAUAUUGCUAGAGUUACUGCCAAUGCUCGUGAUGCUUGUGAUACUACCGAUACUAUUGAGAUAGAACCUGCUUUUGCUCCUGCUAGAUCUAGCUCUCCUAGAUAUGAAUUGCCUGAUAUACCUGAGGGUUACGUUAUGGAGGGAGAGAUAGCUGAGGAAUUUCUUGCGUGUAAGGAUGCCUAUGACGCUGAGAAAUUACUUCUCAAGUGGAAGGAAAAAUCUCGGGAAGCUAAGAUGAAAUAUGACCCGAAGUUUGCCACUUCACCUAUCUUUAUCACUGAUAAGGAUUAUGAAUUCUCUGCCGACCCUGAGAUAAUCUCUCUAGUCAAAUCUGAUCCUUUUCACUGUUAUGAGUCUGAGACGGUCGUAGCCCAUCUUGCCAAAAUACACGAUAUAGCCACCCUUUUCACUAAUGAGAAGAAGAUCCGCCACUACUAUAUCCUUAAGCUGUUUCCUUUCUCUCUAAAGGAUGAUGCUAAAGUAUGGUUCACCUCUCUUGCUCCUGGAUGUGUGAGUAGUCCACAAGAGAUGGUCUAUUACUUCUGUGAGAAAUAUUUCCCUGCCCAUAAGAAGCAAGCUGCCUUGCAGGAAAUAUACAACUUUGCUCAACUCCAAGAAGAGAGUCUUCCACAAGCUUGGGGGAGGUUCAUCCAGCUACAGAAUGCUUUGCCUGAUCACCCUCUUAAGAAGAACGAGAUACUUGAUAUCCUCUAUAACGGACUUACCGAUGCCUCUAGAGACCACCUAGAUAGUUGUGCCGGUUGUGUUUUUAGGGAACGAACUGUAGAACAAGCUGAGACUCUACUGAAUAACAUCUUGAUCAACGAUAAUGCUUGGACUAUUCCCAGACCACCUCCUAAGCCAUCUCCUAAGAAAAGAGGUAUUCUAUUCCUCAGUCCCGAAGAUAUGCAGGAAGCCAAGAAAUCUAUGCAAGAGAAAGGCAUUAGAUCUGAAGAUGUAAGAAAUCUACCACCUAUCGAAGAGAUCCAUGAUCUCGAUAACCCGAUACAGGUAGUAGAAGUAAAUUCUCUGUGUAGGUUUGAUGAGAGUGAUAUUCCUUUUGAUAAACCUGCUAGCCUAUGCUUUGAUGAAUUUGACAACUUUGUUGCCAAACAACAGAGUUUCAAUGAUUAUGUUAGCAGACAUUUGGAACAAAGUACUCGUAUGCUUAGCCAUUUAAGUGCUUGUGUAGACAGUAAUGUCAACGAUCUGAAGCUUCUGAGUAAACAUGCCUCUAUGAUUACUACUCAGGUAGAACAAGUACUUAAAGCUCAGAAUGACCUGCUAAAUGAAUUAAAUGACAACUCUAUCAGAGUCAUUACUAGAGGAGGCAAAAUGACUCAGGAACCUUUGUAUCCUGAAGGUCAUCCUAAGAGAAUUGAUCAAGAUUCUCAAGGAAUCAAUGCUGAUACACCCAGUCAUCCUAAGGAGAAGAAGAAGGAUGAUAGAAACCUGCACGCCAGUUCACCAAAUACUGUCACACAUGAAGAACCUAAUGAUAUUUCUGCGUCUGAUGCAGAAACACAAUCUGGUGAUGAACAUGAACCUGGUGACAAUAUGGACAGUGAUGUUCAUAAUAAUGCUCAACCUAGCAAUGAUGAGGAUGUGGAGAUUGAACCUACGGUUAAUCCUGAUAACCCACAACCUAAGAAAUACGAUAAGAAUGACUUCACUGCUAGGAAGCAUCGUAAAGAAAGGGAGCCAUGGGUUCAGAGACCUAUGCCCUUUUCUCCUAAGCCAUCCAAGAAAACGGAUGAUGAGGAUUUUGAGCGCUUCGUUGAGAUGAUAAGAGCCAUCUUUCUGCAGAUGCGGUUAACUGAUAUGCUCAAGAUGUCUCCGUAUGCCAAGUACAUGAAAUAUAUCGUGACUAAUAAACGGAAGAUACCAGAUCUUGAGAUCUCCACCAUGCUUGCCAAUUACAGUUUUAAAGGUGGAACUCCUAAGAAACUUGGUGAUCCCGGAGUGCCCACUAUACCUUGCUCUAUUAAAGGAACCUACGUAAGAACUGCCUUAUGUGACCUUGGAGCCGGUGUUAGUGUUAUGCCGCUUUCUCUUUAUCGUAGACUUGAAUUGGAUAAGUUGACACCCACUGAAAUUUCUCUGCAAAUGGCCGACAAAUCAACUGCUUUCCCUAUCGGCAUUUGCGAGGAUGUGCCUGUUGUGGUUGCUAACACCACUAUCUUAACAUACUUUGUAUCUUGGAUAUUCCCGAGGACGAUGCCAUGGCUGUCAUCCUCGGAAGACCCUUUUUAAACACGGCAGGGGCUGUUAAAGAUUGCAACAAAGGCAAUGUCACUUUCCACGUCAACGGUAAUGAGCACAUAGUGCACUUUCCGAAGAAACGAUAUCAAGUACAUUGCAUCAAUGCUAUCGAAAAGACUUCAUCGAUUCUUAUUGGGAGCUUUGAAUGCCCUAUUCCUCGUGUCAAGAUGAAGUAUGAUUUGCUUGUUGGGGAGAUACAUAUCCCCAUUGAGGUGACUUAGUGGCUAUUCGAAAAUUCUCCGUCCUCUCUUGCGAUUCGAGAAGGUUUUGUCAUAAGGACUUGAUCAAUCCCAUUGACGGAUUUCUUUUGAUGACCAUGAAACGGAUGAAUCAAAGAGUCACAUACCUCUGUUUUAAAGCUUUCAUUUUCUGUUGCUUAGAAGAAAAAUGAUAGAAUUAGUCUAGCUUUUCCUGUUUUCUGUUUUAGCGUCCCGGAGAAAAAUACCUUGAAAAUAAAAGUUCUUCGAUGGUCCUGAAAAUUUAGUACGAUUUUUUCUGGAAUUUUUGAAAAUUUAUGGACCUGAGAGCUGGCCUGGGGGCCAGACCAGUGGGCCACAAGCCCUGCCACCGCCACCUACCCCCCUGGUGGCGGAGUGCAAGAUUGUGGGGCCUACAGGCACCCCCCUCCACUCAUUCCAGCUCUCAGCUUCUUCUUCCACCUCCAGAAAAAAUUGUUUCACAGCUCAAACCCGUGUUCUUGGUCAUUUGGUUGUGAUUUUCGAUCUCCUUGCUCAAAGCACCAUUCUCCGAACCGUUUUGGGGAAAUUGCUCCUUGGUAAGCGACUCCUCCAUUGGUCCCAUUAGUUUUUGCUCUAGUGCUUUAUCCUUCGUGUACUCUUGCUACCUUGGUGACCCUGUUCUUGAGCUAGAAAUGUUGAUUUUAGCUGGUUCCAAGUAGUUUUAGCGCGUGAUACGGUCUCUAGGCACUAGUAGGAGUAGUUGCUACAAGUUGGGUUAAUCUUUAUUCACUUUUCUUUCGAAGUCUCUAAAAAUUUCAGAAUUUUUCAGAGCUAGAAAAAGGAAAAGAUGAGGAGGUUCUUGAGAGCCUCCUCAAGCCAUAACCCCAAGGAGGAUGAGAAGAACCACCCCAAGUACGUAGUCCCUCGAGUCACAGAAGUUCGAGCGUGCGAGUGGCCAAGUGAUGAAUUUUUGUGCGUCGCCGGACUUUAUGAAGACUUUUAUUACUUGGUGGAUAACGCAGGUCUUACUGCGUUCGUUGAAGAUAAGUGCUCACAAUACCUCCUCCUCACCAAUAUUUUCGUUCAAAGCUUCAACUUUUAUCCGAGGAAGAAUCCUCCCAUGGUUGAGUUCAUGAUAUACGAUGUCCCCUAGUGCAUGACACUGCAGGAUUUUUGCAAUGUGUGCAAAUGACCUUAUGUUGGGGAUAUCCGUGACCCUCGUCCACAGGACUUGGAGGAUUUCAUUGGUUCUAUUGCUGUCGGAGAGGAGAGAGGAGUGUCUCGCGCUAGAAUUGCUAGCAUACAUUUUCCUGUGCUUCAGUACUUCUCACUAUUUGUGGGAAAAUGUUUGAUUGGCCGUGGGGAGGCUGGGUCACUUAGUUCUCCACACCUUGCGGUUUUGCGCGAAGGCCUUUAUAACGAUAACACUUAUAGUUUGGGCGCUAUAGUAGCUCAACGGUUGAACCUGAACCAUUCUAAAGGUGUAGUAUAUGGAGGUAUCUAUGCUACCCGUCUUGCUAGACACUUUGAGAUACGCAUUAGACUGGGAGAGGAAGGAGAGAUGUUUCUCCAUGAGAAAUAUCUGGAUUAUGACAGCAUGGUUCGCCAUGAUUUUCUGGAUAGAGAUGCUAGUAGACGGAUGAUUUAUAACCUGGUGUUUAGUCAGGGUACUCGAGAGACUAUUACUUUGCCUGCUCGUUCUUUGUUCGAUCUUCAUGCAGGCAGGUACACUAUUAUGCCCUCGGACAUCUACGCAUAUUGGGGCUUGGCCCAACCACAGGCGCCCGAGCCCGAGCCGCCAGUCGACUACCAGACGCCAGUUUAUCAGUGGGAACCAGAGGAGCUCACACAGUAGUGGCAUCCACAGUCUGCUCCGGAGUAUCCUGGAGCUGGUUAUUUCCCACCUUGGGAGUAGACCAAGCUAGGCCAAAAGCCUAAGCUUGGGGGAGUAUGUGUUCUCACCGACUUUACAUUCAUGCUUAUGCUUUCACUUUGUUAGCCGGUGUUUACACUUUACCACUGUAUUAUCCAUGCUAGUUUAUUUUUCUUUUCUUGUUUUCCUGUUUUGUGUCCUUUUGAGAAAACCCAAAAAGAUUUUUCUUUCUUCUUUUGCUUGUUGGGAGUUUUCCCAUGUAAAUAGUUUUCUUUUUCUUUGGGUCAAGGUAGAAGAUAUUGGUUACAAUGUUUAUUGGUUCUUGCAUGGUUACCUGUUUAGCUUUCAAAAGAGCCAUAUUACUUUGUCUUCUCCUUUGGGUUUGCGUGCAGAUUCAGCUUAGUCCAAUGCGCUUAUUAUUGUUCACAUCGUUCGAUCGUGCAAAUGAAAGGCAACAAUGAUGAUAUAUGAUGAAGUGACUGAGACUGAAAACUGGUAUGAACUCUAUCUAUUUUCUUUUUGUAAAUAUGACUAGCUUGUCGACCCAGAUUUAGCUUUGUUGUGAGAGAACCAUGUUUGCAAUGACAACUUAGAGAUCAUAGUUUCUGAUGCCAUGCUUAUUUAGCUGAGAGCUUAUAAUGGUUUGUCUUGAAUGCCAACAUAGAUUUUGAGAUGACUAUGGUGUAGUAUGAUAGGAUGGUAUUCUCCUUUGAAUGUUUCAAGUGGCCUGACUUGGCGCAUGUUCAUGCAUGUAGUUGAAAAAAAUCAACAUAGCCUCUAUGAUGUUCGUGUUCAUGGUGAUUUAUAUCCUGUUCAUGCUUGCAUUCAAUGUUAGUCAAACUCAUUGCAUCUUGAUGACUGUUGUGGCUCUCUAGUUGGUCGCUUCUCAGUAUUUUGCUAGCCUUCACUUGUACUAAGCGGAAUACUGCUUGUGCAUCCACUUCCAUAAACCCAAAAGUUUUUCCAUGAGAGUCCACCAUACCUACCUAUUUGCGGUAUCUACCUGCCGUUCCAAGUAAAUUUGCAUGUGCCACUCUCUAAACCUUCAAGAAAUAAUCUGUUUUGCUUGCCCGAACCGCUCAUGUGGUGACAUGGGGCUAUUGGUAUCUUCCAUGCUAGGAGUGUUAUCCUCGACAUGUGUUUAUUCACUGUCAUUCACGAGAAAGGGGCCGGUAAUUGGAAUGCCCAGUUCCACGCUUAAAUCGAAAACAUAACUGUAAAACAAGACUCCCCCGGAUUGAUGUUAGUAUGGACGGUACCCGAGGAUUCGGCUAGCCGUGGAGUGUGAUUGAUUGGUGGUGGGGGAGUUAAAACUUUACUUUUCUGUUUGGGAACCGCCAUAGCAUGAGUAGCAUGGAAGAUAUUGAGAACUCUUGGUCAUUGCGUUGACAAUGAAAGCAUGCCACCCAAAAUUAUUAUCUCUGUUUUCAAAGCUUGAGCUCUGGCACCUCUGCAAAUCAAUACUUCCCUGUGCGAAGGGCAUGUCUAUUUAUUUUCCUAUGGAGUCAUCCUCCUCUUAUAUAAGCACCAAUUAGAGAGCACCUCUGUGAUUUUUAUGCUUUGCUUUUGAUUGAUAUUGAGUAUGACUAUGACUGGAUCUUCGUUGUUAUGAAUUACAAUGUUUAGUGAGCCCUUGAUCUUUGAAAGUUCUCUGCAUUUAUGUUUUGCGGUCUCAGAAAGAGCUAGCGAGAUACCAUCUAUUCAUAUUGCUUCAUGCUUGUUUUGAUUGAAGUGUUGGUAUUUGAAACUCAUUAUUAUUUGCUCGAUGGCUGAUUAUGCCAUUGAUAUUAGUUUACCGUGAGACCUUUGUGUCAUUUUCUUAUGUGGUUAACUUGUGAUCUUGCUGAAAUUCUGGUUAUGAGUUAGACAUAGUUGCAACAGCAAGAUCAAACAGAGUUUGUCAAAGUUUUCUUUCUCUCUCAGUUUGUCAACUGAGUUGUUUGAGGACAAGCAAGGUUUUAAUCUUGGAGGAGUUGAUACGUCUCCAUCGUAUCUACUUUUCCAAAUUCUUUUGCCCUUGUUUUGGACUCUAAUUUGCAUGAUUUGAAUGGAACUAACCUGGACUGACGCUGUUUUCAGCAGAAUUGCCUUGGUGUUAUUUUUGUGCAGAAAUCAAAGUUCUCCAAACGUCUUGAAAAUCUACGGGGAGCAGUUUUGGAAAAUAUAAAAAAUAUCUACGCCAAGUUCCACCUUAGGGGGUGGGCGAGUGGGCCACAAGCCCUGGCUCCGCCACCACCCCCCUGGUGGCGGUGGGCAGGCUUGUGGGGCCCACACGGCUCCGCCGCCCCCAACCUCAGGUCUAUAAGUUCACUUUCGUCCCAGAAAAAAUAAAAAGAGAGGUUUUCAUCGCGUUUGCGAUACGGAGGCGCCGCCACCACAUGUUCUUCAUCUGGAGGGCAGAUCUGGAGUCCGUCUGGGGCUCCGGAGAGGGGAAAUCGUCACCAUCGUCAUCAUCAACCUUCUUCCCUCUCCAAUUCCCUGAAGCUCUUCGUCGUUCGUGAGUAAUCUAUUCGUAGGCUUGCUGGGCGGUGAUGAGUAGGAUGAGAUCUAUCAUGUAAUCGAGUUAGUUUUGAUGGGGAUUGAUUCCUAGUAUCCACUGUGUUCUGAGAUUGAUGUUGCUACUAGUUUGCCAUGCUUAAUGCUUGUCACUAGGGCCCGAGUGCCAUGAUUUCAGAUCUGAAAUUAUUAUGUUGUCACCAAUAUAUGUGUGUUUCAGAUCCGAUCUUGCAAGUUGUAGUUACCUACUAUGUGUUAUGAUCUGGCAACCCCAGAGUGACAAUAACCGGAACCACUCCCGGUGAUGACCAUAGUUUGAGGAGUUCAUGUGUUCACCAAGUGCUAAUGCGUUGGUCCAGUUCUUUAUUAAAAGGAGAACCUUAAUAUCCCAUAGUUUCCUUUUGGACCCCGCUGCCACGGGAGGGAUGGACAAUAGAUGUCAUGCAAGUUCUUUUCCCUAAGCACGUAUGACGACACACAGAAUGCAUGCCUACAUCACAUUGACGAACGGGAGCUAGCCACAUAUCUCUCCGUGUUAUAGCUGUUGCAUGAUGAAUAUCAUCCAAACAAAUCACCGACCCAUUGCCUACGAGUUUGUCCUACUGCUGCUACUACUGUUGCUACUGCUGUUACUUGUCUUGCUCUGCUGCUGCUACUACUGUUGCUACUGCUGUUACUUGUCUUGCUCUGCUGCUACUGUUGCUACUACUGUCGCUAGCUACUGUUGCUACUUGCUACUGCUGUCACUACCGCUGUUCCUUGCCACUGCUGUUACUCGCUACUUUGCUGUUACUACUUUGCUUGCAGAUACUAAUCUUUCAGGUGUGGUUGAAUUUGAUAAAUUCAGCUGCUAAUACUUGAGAGCAUUCUCUCACCUCCCGUCGUGCGAAUCAACAAAUUUGGGUCGAAUACUCUACCCUCGAAAACUGCUAUGAUCCCACGCGCUGGUGGGCGUCAACAACAUUCUCCUAGUUUGGAUUGCCGGAGAGUGCUAACAACAUUGUUCUGAUGCCGUUGCAAAGGGGAAGAACAGUUGACAUCACCCCUCCCAACGGAACUGCGGAACCCAUUCGUCACUCCUGGUACUUUACCGUAAUGUCCGAAAACCUUUCGGAAGCCAAAUGGAUACUUCCUAUAUAUCAAUCUUCGUCUCCGGACCAUUCUGGAAACCCUCAUGACGUCUGGGGUCUCAUGCGGGACUCUAAAAAACAUUCGGUUACCAACAUCAAUAAUUCAACUAUACCGUAAACGUCACCGAACCUUAAGUGUGCAGACCCUGCGGGUUCGAGAACUAUGUAUACAUGACGUGAAACACUUCUCCGGUCAAUAACCAAUAGCGGGACCUGGAUGCCCAUAUUGGCUCCUACAUAUUCUAUGAAGAUCUUUAUCGUUUGAACCUCUAUUCCAAGGACUCAAUUAAUCUCAUAUGUUGUUCUCUUUGUCAAUCGGUAUGUUACUUGCCCGAGAUUCGCACGUCGGUAUCUCCAUACCUAGUUCAAUCUCGUUACCGACUGAUGACGAGAUGAUGCAUAUACUUCUCGCACCUCAUUGGUUACCCCAAGUGGAAGGUUGAGAUGUAGUCAGCAGCAAGUUUUCCCUCACACAGGGACUAUAAGUUUAUCGAACCAGGAGGACCCCUAGGAUCAGCAAGUAGGUGUAUUCCACCUUGUUGCUAGCAGAAGACGUGGACCUGUACACACACAAAUAACUUUGCUCGCAACGAGUACAGAGAGGUUGUCAAUCUCUCCGGCCUUGUACAUUGCAAAGGAUCAAAACACAAGCGAGAAGGUAAUAGUGAUUCAAUGGAAAAGUAAAUGAAAUCGGUAAAUGAUGGAGGUGUAAACAAAGAUGGUGAUAUGGACCGGAGUCACAUGAUGUUCACUAGUGAUGUCUCUCUCCCAAAAGACGACAAACAACUAUGCUUGGGUAAACAAAUCACAAUUGGGCAAUUGACAGAAUUAUGAACGCACCUCAAUGCUAAUUAUGCUACUUGAUAGUUAGAGGUUCAAUAGUAAUGGGCAGUACGCCAAGACAAGUAGACCGUUUAUUCAUCAUCAUCUACUUACUAAUCAUCCACCUUGAGAUAUCUAGCGAGAACAUCUCACCGGUAUUAAGUUGCGAGCCCCACCCAAAGUGUAAACUCAAAUCAACGGGCAACUGCAUUAACGAACUAUGCGUAAGGUAAACAAUCCUUGCAACCGUGGUCACAAGCACCAUUGUUUCCUCCCUGGUGGCAACAUCACAUCCCCUAGUCUCAUGUUUCUUUCACUCAAGCUAGACAUCGAGGGGCAUGAACCCACAAUCAUGCAUAACGCUCCCUCUUGGAGUUACAAUCUACUACUCGACCAAAACAAUAAAUAGCAACGGAGAACAUGCAUGAAUCACUAAGGAACAUAAUGUAAAAGGAUAAUCAAAUAUAUAACUCAUAACAAUCUGAACAUAAUCUCAUAAUCCAUCGGAUCCCAACAAACCGAGCAUAGCAAUAGCAAGAGAAUUACAUAGAUGCCUUGAUCAUGUAGGACAGCUCACAAGGACUAACCAUUGAAGCACAAGAUUGGAGAGAAGACAUCACAUAGCUACUGGUCAUGGACCCAUGGUCGAAAGAGGACUACUCACGGCAUGUCCGGGAAGCAUCCAUGGCGGUGGAGAAGCUCCCGGAGGUCAAUCCUCCCUCCGACAGGGUGCCGGGAAGAGGUCUCCUCAUGCUCCCGAUCUCGGAAGCGCCGCGGCGGCGGAACGAUGGAGAAAUUCGCGAUUCUAGAAGUUGUGGAAGGGUUUCCUCUCGGAGGACUAAAUAUAGACCAAAGAAGGGCACCGGAGGAGGUGGGGCCCACCCAGGCGGCCUCGUGGAGCGAUCAAGGGGUAGGCUGCGCCAGCAGGUCGCCUGGGCGGCCCCUGGCUCCCCUCUGGCCCAUCUUCGAUGAUGUGGAAGCUUUUGUUACGCUGAUUUUUUAAUAUAUUUUCCUGGAAUUUUUCGGGCUUCGGAAAAUUGGGUAAAAGCCCCUACAAAAUAGACAUCAACAGACAUAAACUGGUACUGGGUGCACUGAGUUAGUAGGUUAGUCCAAAUAUGUGUAAAAUGAUAUAAAAGUGUAGAAAAACAUAUAACAAUGUCACCCAAAAGAUCAUGGAACAAGCAGAAAUUAUAGAUACAUUUGGGACGUAUCACCGACAAGUCUCUUUACUCGUUCCGUAAUACAAGAUCCCGUGACUAACUCCUUAGUCAUAUUUCUUGCAAGGCUUGUUGUGAUGUUGUAUUACCGAGUGGUCCCCGAGGUACCUCUCCGUCACACGGAGUGACAAAUCCCAGUCUUGACCCAUGCCAACCCAACAGACACCUUCGGAGAUACGUGUAGAGCACCUUUAUAGUCACCCAGUUAUGUUGCGAGGUUUGAUACACACAAGGUAUUCCUUCGGUGUUCGGGAGUUGCAUGAUAUCAUGGUCAUAGGAACAAAUACAUUGACAUGCAGAAGAUAGUAGCAAUAAACUGACAAAAUCAUAUGCUACGUUCACAGUUUGGGUCUUGUCCAUCACAUCAUUCUACUAAUGAUGUGAUCCCAUUAUCAAGUGAAAACACUUGUCUAUGGUCAGGAAAGCUUGACCAUCUUUGAUCCACGAGCUAGUCAACUAGAGGCUCGCUAGGGACCGUUUGUUGUCUAUGUAUCCGCACAUGUAUUUGAGUUUCCAAUCAAUACAAUUCUACGACGGAUAAUAAACGAUUAUCAUGAACAAGGAAACAUAAUAAUAACCAAUUUAUUAUUGCCUCUAGGGCAUAUUUCCAACAGUCUCACACUUGCACUAGAGUCAAUAAUCUAGUUCACAUCAUUAUGUGAUUGUAAUGAAUGUAACAACCAUACAGUUCUGGGCUUCGAUCAUGUCUUGCUUGUGAGAGAGUUUUCCAGUCAAUGGGUCUGAACCUUUCAGAUUCGUGUGUGCUUUACAAACCUCUAUCUCAUCCUAUAGAUGCUGCUACCACGCGCCAUUUGGAACUAUUCCAAAUGACAGCUCCACUAUACGAAUCUGGUUUACUACUCAGAGUUAUCCGGUUUAGUGUCAAUGCUUGCAUCGACGUAACCCUUUACGAUGAACUCUUUUAUCACCUCCAUAAUCGAUAAAAAAAUCCUUAGUCCACUAGUUACUAAGGAUAACUUUUGACCGUUGUCCAGUAAUCCAUUCUUGGAUCACUUUUGUACGCCCUUGAUAGAUUCAUGGCAAGGCACACAUCAGGUGCGGUACACAACACAGCAUACUAUAGAGCCUACAGCUAAUGCAUACGGGACGACCUUCGUCCUUUCUCUUUCUUUUUCGUGGUCGGGUUUUGAGUCUCACUCAAUACUCACACCUUAUAACACAGCCAAGAACUCGUUCUUUAAGUGAUCUAUUUUGAACUCCUUCAAAAUCUUGUCACGGUAUGUAUUCAUUUUAAAGUUCUACUAAGCGUUUUGAUCUAUCUCUAUAGAUCUUGAUGCUCAAUGUUCAAGUAGCUCAAUGCAGGUUUUCCUUUGAAAAACUCCUUUCAAACAACCCUUUCUGCUUUUCGGAAAUUCUACAUUAUUUCUGAUCAACAAAAUGUUAACCACAUAUACUUAUGAGAAAUUAUAUAGUGCUCCCACUCACUUCCAUGGAAAUACAAGUUUCUCAUAAACUUUGUAUAUCCAAAAGCUUUGUUCAUCUCAUCAAAGCGCAUAUUCCAACUCCGAGAUGCUUACUCCAGUCCUUAGAAGGAUUGCCCGAGCUUGCAUACUUGUUAGCAUCCUUUAGGAUUGACAAAACCUUCUGGUUAUAUCACAUAAAACCUUUCCUCAAGGAAACCGUCGUGGAAACAAUGUUUUGAUAUCCUAUCUGCAAGAUUUCAUAAAUAAUGCAGCAACUUCUAACAUAAUUCUAGCACACUUUUAGCAUCCCUACGAGCGAGAAAGUCUCAUCAUAGUCAACUCUUUUAACUUGUCGGGAACAUCUUUGCGACAAGUCGAUCUUUUUUAAUGGUGACUUUUCACCAUCAUCUUUUGUCUUCCUUUUAAAGAUCCAUCCCUACUUAACAGUCUUACGACCAUCAAGUAGUUCUUCCAAAGUCCACACUUUGUUUUCAUUCAUGGAUCCUAUCUCGGAUUUCAUGGCCUCCAACCAUUCAUCACAAUCCAGGCCCACCAUCGCUUUUCCAAAGCUCGUAGGUUCAUUGUUGUCCAGCAACAUGACCUCCAAGACAGGAUUACCGUAUCACUCUGGAGCAGUACGUUUCCUUGUCAACCUACGAGGUUUGGUAGUAACUUGAUCUGAAGCUUCAUGAUCACCAUCAUCAGUUUCGACUUCAACUAGUGUAGGCACCAUAGGAACAUCUUCCUCCGCCCUGCUACUCAUUGGUUGAAUUGACGGUUCUAUAACCUCAUCAAGUUUCCACCAUCCUCCCACUCAAUUCUUUUGAGAGAAACUUUUCUCGAGAAAGGACCCGUUUCUAUAAACAAACAAUUUGCUUUUGGAUCUGAGAUAGGAGGUAUUCCCAACUGUUUUGGGUAUCCUAUGAAGAUGCAUUUAUCCACUUUGGGUUUGAGCUUAUCAGGAUGAAACUUUUUCAUAUAAGCGUCGCAACCCCAAACUUUUAAGAAACGAUAGCUUAGGUUUCUCCAAACCAUAGUUCAUAUGGUGUCAUCUCAACGGAAUUACGUGGUGCCCUAUUUAAAGUGAAUGCGGUUGUCUCUAAUGCCUAACCCAAAGAGGAUAGUGGUAAUCCGGUAAGAGACAUCAUGGUAUGCACCACAUACAAUAGGGCGCGGCUAUGACAUUCGGACACACCAUCACACUAUGGUGUUCCAGGUGGCAUUGGUUGUGAAACAAUUUCCACAUUGUCUUAAAUGUGUACCAAACUCGCAACUUAGAUUAUCAUCUCUACGAUCAUAUCGUAGACAUUUCAUCCUCCUGCCAUGACGAUCUUCAACUUCACUCCAAAAUUACUUGAACCUUUCAAUAAUUCAUACUUUUGUUUCAUCACGCAAAUAUACCAGUAUCUACUCAAAUCAUCCGUGAAGUAAGAACAUAACGAUACACACUGCGUGCCUCGGUACUUAUUGGACUACAUACAUCAAAAUGUAUUAUUUCGAACAAGUCACUUGCUCGUUCUGUAUUACUGAAAACAAGGCCUUCAGUCAUCUUGACCAUGUGGCAUGAUUUGCAUGUCUCAAGUGAUUCAAAAUCAAGUGGGUCUAAAAAAUCCAUCUCCAUGGAGUUUCUUCAUGCGUUUAUACCAAUAGGCAUGGUUCGCAUGUCUCAAACGAUUCAAAAAAUGAGUGAGUCAAAGGUCCAUCAACAUGGAGCUUCUUCAUGCGUUUUAUACCAAUAUGACUCAAGCGGCGGUGCCACAAGUAAGUGGUACUAUCAUUACUACUUUGCAUCUUUUGGCAUCAAUAUUAUGAACAUGUGUAUCACUACGAUCGAGAUUCAAUAAACCAUUCAUAUUAGGUGCAUGACCAUUGAAGGUAUUAUUCAAGUAAAUAGAGCAACCAUUAUUCUCUUUAAAUGAAUAAUCGUAUUGCAAUAAACAUGAUCCAAUCAUGUUCACGCUCAACGCAAACACCCGUCUAUAUUUAGGUUUAACACUAAUCCCGAAGGUAGAGGGAGCGUGCGAUGUUGAUCACAUCAACCUUGGAAUUACUUCCAACAUACAUCAUCACCUCACCCUUGCUAGCAUAUGUUUAAUCCGUAGCUAUAACUUCGAGUUACUAACAAUUAGCAACUGAACAGGUAUCUAAUACCCCGGUGCUACUAGGAGUACUAGUAAGGUGGACAUCAAUAUCAUGCAUAUCCAAUAUACUUUUAUCGACUUUGCCAGUCUUCUCAUCUACCAAGUAUCUAGGGUAGUUCUGCUUCAGUGAGCGUUCCUCUCAUAACAGAAGCACUUAGUCUUGGGUUUGGAUUCAACCUUGGGUUUCUUUACUAGAGUGGCAACUGGUUUUCCAUUUCAUGAAGUGUCCCUUCUAACCCUUGCCCUUCUAGAAACUAGUGGCACUUUGCAGUAGGUAUGGCUUACCAUCCACAAUCUUCAAAACUUGGCGCACUUCUUCUUUUAAGAAGCGCCUCUCCACCGGCUCCGAUUUAAACGUAGGGGAUAUCUUGGAGAGCUCGAAUGCUUUCUCCUUGAACUUUGUUCUAAGGCCUCGUUUUUAGCACUCGUAUCCUGCAGCUCUUGCUGGACCUCGACCGCUCUAGCCUUGUGCCCGUUGCUCUCGAUCUUUAGCAAGUUCAGGUCGGUGGAGGUUUUCUCUGCCACCAUCCUAUGAGCAACGACCUCUUGCUUGGCCUUCUCCAAUUUGGCCCGGAGUUUCUCCAACUCCAGACCCAUGGCUGCUGACAUAAUUGGAAUCACGAUGUCAAAAAGCCAUAUAGUACUAAAUUAUUUAAGUACAACAAGAGUCUUAGUGACAUGCAUUAAGUUUACCUUGCUUCUCAUCUAACCGACUAUUAAGUCGGCUAAUUUCCUCAUCGAAAACCUAGAGUUUUCGGUUCAGCUAGGCUCGUUCAAGGGCAUUAGUAGCCAUAGCCGAGGUCGAGGCCUACAAAAACCAUAUUUUAUAAGCAUCCACGUCAAACGGGAUCGGGUCAUUUGGCCGAAGUACCCCAAUGAGUUGUCAUAGCUCAUGGGUCCCGGAACUGAUUUUGCUCCAAAAUAACAAGUGUUUUUGAGCCACGGGCAAGCUUCUUAACUCACUCAUAGCUUGACGGGUGAUGACGAGAUGAUGUAUAUACUUCUCGCACCUCGUUGGUUACCCCAAGUGGAAGGUUGAGAUGUAGUCAGCAGCAAGUUUUCCCUCACAUGGAAACUGUAAGGCUUAUCGAACCAGUAGGAGUCCUAGGAUCAACAAGUAGGUGUCUUCCACCCUGGCGCUAGCAGAAGACGUGGACCUGCACACACACAAAUAACUUUUCUCCCAACGAGUACAAAGAAGUUGUCAAUCUCUCCGGCCUUGUAGUUUGCAAUGGAUCAAACACACAAGUGGGAAAAGUAAUAGUGAGUGCAACCAAAAAGUAAAUGAAAACGAUAAAUGAUGGAGGUGUAAGCAAUGAUGGUGAUAUGGAUCGGAGUCACAUGAUGUUUACUAGUGAUGUCUCUCUCCCAAAAGACGAUAAACAACUAUGCUUGGGUAAACAAAUCAUAGUUGGGCAAUUGACAGAAUUAUGAACGCACUGCAAUGCUAAUUAUGCUACUUUAUAGUUAGAGGCUCAAUAGUAAUGGGCACUACGCCAAGACAAGUAGAUCGUUUAUUCAUCAACAUCUACUUACUAAUCAUCCACCUUGAGAUAUCUAUCCAGAACAUGUCGCCGGUAUUAAGUUGCGAGCCCCACCCAAAGUGUAAACUCAAAGCAACGGACAACUGCAUUAACGAACUAUGCGUAAGGUAAACAAUCCUUGCAACCGUGGUCACAAGCACUGUUGUUUUCUCCCUGGUGGCAACAACACAUCCCCUAGUCUCAUGUUUCUGUCACUCAAGCUAGACAUCGAGGGGCAUGAACCCACAAUCAUGCAUAACGCUCCCUCUUGGAGUUACAAUCUACUACUCGGCCAAGGCAAUAAAUUGCAACGGAGAACAUGCAUGAAUCACCAAGGAACAUAAUACAAAAGGAUAAUCAAAUAUAUAACUCAUAACAAUCUGAACAUAAUCUCAUAAUCCAUCGGAUCCCAACAAACGAAGCAUAGAAAUAGCAAGAGAAUUACAUAGAUGCCUUGAUCAUGUAGGGCACCUCACAAGGACUAACCAUUGAAGCACAAGAUUGAAGAGAAGACAUCACAUAGCUACUGGUCAUGGACCCAUGGUCAAAGGAGGACUACUCGCGGCACGUCCGGGAAGCGUCCAUGGCGGUGGAGAAGCUCCCGAAGGUCAAUCCUCCCUCCGCCAGGGUGCCGGGAAGAGGUCUCCUAACGCUCCCUGAAAGGACGUGGAUGUCGCCUAGAGGGGGGGGGGUGAAUAGGCGCUUUAAAAUAAUUACGGUUUAUGCUUGAACAAAUGCGGAAUAAAACUAACGUUUAAUUUGUCAAGCACAAAACCUACAACAACUAGGCUCACCUAUGUGCACCAACAACUUAUGCUAAGCAAGAUAAACAACUAAGUGAUAGCAACAUAUAUGACAAUAAACAAUAUGGCUAUCACAAAGUAAAGUGCAUAAGUAAAGGGUUCGGGUAAGAGAUAACCGAGGCACGCGGAGACGAUGAUGUAUCCCGAAGUUCACACCCUUGCGGAUGCUAAUCUCCGUUGGAGCGGUGUGGAGGCACAAUGCUCCCCAAGAUGCCAUUAAGGCCACUGUAAUAUCCUCAUGCCCUCUCACAAUGCAAGAUGUCGUGAUUCCACUAAGGGACCCUUGAGGGCGGUCACCGAACCCGUACAAAUGGCAACCCUUGGGGGCGGUUACCGGUACCCGUACAAAUUGCUCAGGGCAAUUUCCACAACCUAAUUGGAGACCUCGACGCUUGCCCGUAGAUUUACACCACAAUGAUCGAGCUCGAAGACACCACCAAGCUUCUAGGAUGCCAAAGCAUCCACGAAGAACAAUCUCUAGGGUACUAAGUACCAAAAGGUAAUAUGGCUUCUCAAACUUCACUUCCACGUAUCACCGUGGAGAACUCAAACCAAUGCAACUCAUGCAAUGGAAAGAAUACACAAAGUGGUCAAGUCCCUCACACUAAAAUCCCUCCACAACAACAAAAGCUAUGGAGAAAUAUGAGAGGAAGAACAAGGAGCUCACAAAGAACUCCCAGAUCUAGAUCCAAGGAGUUCCCCUCACAUAGAGGAGAAAGUGAUUGGUGGGGAUGUGGAUCUAGAUAUCCUCUCUCUUUUCCCUAAAGAACUAGCAAGAAUGGUUGGAGGGAUUGAGAGUUAACAAGCUCUAAGAAAGUCAACAAUGGGGGAAGAACACGAGCUCAACAGAUAAAAUUAGUCCAAGGGGGACGAAGACCCCCUUUAUAUAGUGGGGGAAGAAAUCAGACUGUUAACCCCACUUACAGCCCGAGCACAGCGGUACUACCGCUAGACCCUGGCGGUACUACUGCUAGACCCUGGUGGUACUACCUCUAGAGAAAUUCUUUGCAAAAAGUCCGACGAAGAACAACCGUUCAGAGAGAGGUACUACCGUCCCGAAGCGGUACUACUGCCCACCCGGAGCGGUACUACCGCUCCUAGAGUGGUAGUAAAAAAAUUACUACCGCUCCAGGGACGCUACUACCGCUACAAGAGCGGUACUACCGCUGGCAUUAGGAGCGGUACUACCGCUCGAUACUGAAUCUGCUCUAACUUUCGCAUAUGGACUCCGAUUUCAACGAAACCAAGUUUGUUGGAAAGAUAACGACAUGGGCUAACACAAUAUUGAUAGAAAUAUCAAUAAGAAGCAAGUGAGAAAAGGCCCAUAAUAAAAUGGUGAGAACCCUUCUUCAAAUAAGGCCGGUAAAAAAUCCCAACAUCGAAAACAUCAUAGAAGAUGCAUAUGGACUCCGUUUUCGAUGAACUCGAGUUUGUCAUGAAGAUGACCAUAAGAUCUAAAACUCACAAAUAGAAACACCAAACAAGAACCAAGAAGUAUGAUGCAAGGAUGCAAAUGGUUUGAGCUCUCAACUAACGAUAUGAGCAAGCUACUCACUUGAGACCCCCCCUUGACAGUACGACAAUCUAUCCUAAAAUAGAAAACCUAUCAAGGGAAACCUAUUCCUUGCACCUCGUCCUCUUGAGCUAGAUGAUGAUGACCUUGGCUUCCUCAAGAUAGACCACCUUUCUUGAUUGCGUUGGCUUGAUGAAUACUAGUUGAUUGCUCCCUCAUACUCACUAUUGGUGAGCCACUCUUGAGCAUAUCUUCACAAGUCCAUUGCCACCACAAUGGACGACAAGCUUCAAGCAUGAUAUAUUCGUGCUGAUCCACUUGAACUUGUACACCGCAAUCUUGAUGAUGAUCACCACUUGACGUCAUCCUUCAUGGGUUGUAUGAGAUCUUCCUUUUGACGCAAGCCCAUGGAAACACACCUAACCCCCACAUAGAACUCUCACGAAGACCAUGGGUUAGUACACAAACACGUAAUGGACAAUGCUUACCAUACCAUGUGAUCACUUGAUCCCUCUCGGUACAUCUUGUACGCUUUGUGUGUUGAUCAUCUUGAUUUACUUUUUGUCUCACGAUCUUGAUCAACCUUGUGUCUCUAUGACCAUUCUUUGGAUAAUACCUUGAAUACCUCCUUGGUCAUCAUAUAAACUCCUUCAACCCAACAGAUGGACUUCAAGUAGUGGCUAUGGACAGAUCCUAUAAAUAUAACUUAAGGCAACCAUUAGUCCAUAGGAAUUGUCAUCAAUUACCAAAACCACAUAUGGAGAAAUAUGCUCUAACAAUCUUCCCCAUUUUUGUAAUUGAUGACAACCACUUAAAGAGAGUUUAUAUAAGGAAAUAAGCAUAACCAAGCACACACAUGCAAAGCAGUAAUGCAUGCGUACAAGAUGUAAAUGCUUAUGCAAUAAAAGCAAAACCCUCUAAGAAUAACCAAACUAAACUCUCUAAACUUCUCUCCCAUUGGCAUCGAUUGCCAAAAUGGACAAAAAGUUUAGAAAGCCAAUAUAGUAGGUGGUCCUCCAAAAAGUGUGUACUUCUCAACAAAUGAGUGCAGAGAAAUACACAUAUACAAUGAUAAGAAGUUGGAGGAAAAUGAACUAUAUUGAGGACCCAAAGAUUGAAAAAAAGAUCGUAUGCAACAAAGACAUACAAAAAUAGAGGCUAGCAAUCAAAAGAUACCACAUGGAACAAACAAUCAUAUGGUCCUUCGAACCACAUGAAUAAAAGAUAUUAUGAUAAAGGGAACGGAGUGUUUUAUCAAAACUAGAGAAGCUCUCCAUGAUUUGUGCACUAAUAAGAGAUUUUUGUAUUUGAUACAAGUGCACAAAAUAGGAUCAUUGCUCCCCCAAAAUUUAUAAAAACACACAACGAGUGCAAGAAGAUAGAUGAGAUAAUAAGCAUAUCACUUUGCACAAAACAAAUGGUUGAGCAACAUGUAAAAAGGUGCAACUUAAGAAUAGGCUCAACCAAAAUAAUGUGUGUGAGUCAUGGCAAAGCACUUGAGAAGACUAAGAUAAGGAUGAGCAUUACUCAUCAACAUAGUCUUGAUGAAAUGAGAAACAAAGUGCAAGACAUAUCAUUCCCACACACACAUACUAGAAAAUGGGUUCACAAGCUUACUAAUACACAAAAAUAAGAACCAACGCUUGUGAGAAACUAUGGUGAAGAUAGGAAAUAAGAACCUUGUCAAGAGGAGGGAUACCAAUCGAAAUGGCAACACCCUCAUCAAGACAAGCAUGAGGAAAAAUAAUCUUCACGGGCAAAGAGUGCAUCAAGAUGUAGGAAAAUAAGAUAUGCACUCAAGACAAAUCCUUUCACGGAGCCACCAAAAAUGAAAAAAGGAAAUGCAAUGGUGGGCGUGAAAGAAAAGAGGAUAUCAAUUAGAGAUGUAACUUCUCUCAUGUGUAAAAGAUUCUAAGUAGAAGACAAUUAUGAUGAUAUAUAUCCACAAAGAAGGUUGUACACACGAAAUGGUUACAAGAAGAAACAAACAAGAUAUCCAAAAGGAAGUCAUAAAUAUAUCAAUAAGAUCUUUGCUUGAAAGCAUAUUACAUGGCCUAAUAUUUUCUUAUUGUGCAAUAUGAACUUCCAACAUACGAAUAUCAAAGACAUCCCAAUUAGCAAUAAGACAUCAUCGUUCGGAUGCUUUGAGAAAGGAAACAAGUACCACAAGAACGAAUCAAGAGAUUCAUGCCAUGAUGCAACCUGGAGAGAGAGAGACAGAACCACGAGAGGAGGGUAUAACCCCUCGUGGUCUUGACGGCGUGGUAGUACCAUGGAUAUCCAUGGCAGUACCGCUCAUCUAAGAAAAGACAGGUUUGGUUCUUUGCAAGGAAUGAAUGCAUGAAGUAGAUACUUGUUACCGAGACAACAUUGGAUUGAUGUAGUAGAUAGUUGUUCAUUGAUCAUCCUAACUUGGCUCCAAUAAGCACGUGGUCUCACCACCUUCCUUGUAGGUGAGCCGAGCAUCCAAUGCAUCUGCAAUUGUUCCUAGAAAAACAAUACAAACAAAAUGGUGCCCAAACUCAUUGGGACCAAAGAGUUAUAAAACCAACAAUACAUAGGACAAACUCCACUUAAAUAUGUGCAUAUAGAUAUGAAAUUGAAUUUCAUUCACGCUUUAGCCAAUUGAUGACAAGGUGGAGUUUCCUCUAUAUAUCGGGUCAAGGAAAGAAAGCAAGAAAAAGAAGAUAUAUAUAAUAAAUAUGCAUGCUCAAGGCUUUCAAGAAUCAACUCAACACAAAGUUGAUAAGACACCAAAAGACAAUGUAUCAAGUGAUAAUAAGAUACCAAACAAAAAAACGAUCACUUGAAGGAUAUCAAUUAAAAGAUACCUCAAGGAAUGAGAUAUCCAUUGACACAUGCCAAAAAAAGUAAACAAGAUACCAAUUGAAGGAAAACAAACAUGAGGUAUCUAGUUUCCAAAAUAGAGCUAGGUUCCAACAAACCGAACCCUCGACAAAUUUUGAUGAUGGCACAAAGCAUCAUAAAGAGCAAAACUUGCCUACCAUCAACACACACUUGAUGGGGAUCAAAAGAUUUUAUGAUGGGCGAGUAAAGAGAGUGUUCUAAAGAAAAUAGGAUAGCUCCCCCAAGAGAUGUGCAAUAUAUAGAAUUUGCAUUUAAAUACAAAAUGCACAAGAUGGGAUCAUCACUUUCUCUAUAUCAAUAAAAACACUAGAAAUGUUAAAAUAGAUCCACAAGAGGCAAGGAAGACAAAUAAAACACAAAAUCCAAUGUAAAGACGAUUAGCAAUUCCUACCACAUGAUGGGAAUACCAAUUGUCAAGGACAAGAAGUAUUUUGGAAAUAAUACUCAUUGGUAGAUCGCAAGUAUAUCCAACAUCAUCUUUACCCAUAAAACACAAGCAAAUGACACUUGUAGAGCUAACAUGCCACCUAGGAACAAGAUAAUUUACAAUAUCAACACUAAGUGGCAAUACCUCAAAUGUACACAUUUUGUAGGAUUGUAAUAUGCACAUGGCAUAUUACUCCCACAUAAUGUGAUAACCCAAUAAUAUUAACAAGUGGCAAAUUAAAACCAACAAGAGAUAAUUAAUGGACCAUAUAGAAUUGGAAUUUCUCAUGAGUAAGACAUUCCACAUAGAAACUAGGUAAUCUUGAAAUAUCAAUACUAAGUGGUAUUCCCCAUGUAUACACAUUUAUAGGAUUGUGAGGUGUGCAAAGCACAUCACUCCCCCACAAUGGGAUAAUCCAUUAAUCUCUCACAAGAGCCAAGAAAGGUACAAACAAGAUGCAAUAAGGCUCAAUACAAGACUCACAUGUACAUGAUGUGCAAACCAACAUACACAUACUCGAUUACUCAAGAUAAGCAAGUUGGAAGCACAAAAUAUACAAACACAUGCAAGGUACAAAACCACAACAUGCAAAGGGGCAAGUAACUAACAAUGUAAACAGUUUAAGUACAAGUUACCGUAAGGAGGCACAUUGGAUAUAUGAUAGAAACUCGAUAAUCCAAAUGACUUGGCUUGAGAUAAUAUGAAUGAUGAAGACCCCUUAAUUCUUCAUUAUGUAUCAAAGUCUCCAAUGUCCUCCACAAUCACCUAUUGAUCAAGUUUGAGCUUGUUGGUCCCCAACCACGUUGGGUCCUAAGAGGUUAGUCGUAAUAGGCUUGACAACCCAAAUGGUACUUUUCUUGACACCACUUUGAGUACCAACAAACUUGGUAAACACAUUGCCAACCUUAUCCUUCCCAAGAGAAUAGAUAUCAUCAUCAAUAUUGAUUGGGUUGGAUAAAUUACCUCUCGUGCAAGAAGAAGCGAAGUGACCCUUCUCACGACAUAAGUAGCAACAUCUACCCUUUAAUUUAUUCCCUAUUGAUUUCUCAACAUGAGGAGUGUUGGCUUGGGUCUUCUUGGGAAGAGGCCUUUCUUCAACUUGUAGUUGAGUAUGUGAUUGAACUUGUGGUCGCUUCCCUUGUUGCUUGUGACUUUGGGACUUCUUCUUUAGUGAGCAAGAUCUAACAUGGUGCCCUUCAAUUUUGCACUUGAAGCAAAUAAUCUUGGCCGAAUUCUUGACUUGUUCUUGGCCCUUCUUCUUUGAGUGUUUGGACUUCUUCUUCUUGUUGGAGUUGAAUCCAAGUCCAUCUUUGUCAUUCGGGGAUUUUUGCCCACACAAGACAUUGUUGAGUGUGGACAUCCCUUCAUGACUCUUUUCCAAGUCUUUCUUCAAAGAAGUGACUUGGGCCUUGAGCUCUUCGAUUUCCUCUACAUGGUUAGUAUCAACACAAGUACUAGAGGAAGUAUAAGGUUCACUGUUAGAGCAACAGGGCAAGGAAAGUAAUUCAUCACAAGAGGUAGCAACAUUAUGAGUAGAAGAAUUACGAGGACUAGCACAUGGCAAUAUAGCAUUCUGACUAGAAGUAGUGACAUUGUCCACAUGAGGCUCACUUGAUGUUACCUUGGUAGUAAUAGCCUCACAAACUAAUUUUAGCACAUUAUGGGAUGCUAGAAGAUCAUCAUGAGAGCUUGUGAGCAUUACAUGCCAUUCUUCCAAUUUCCCAUAAUUGCUAGAUAGCAACUUAAGUUGAGCCCUUAGCUCAACAUUCUCCUUUAAAAUGGAUGCUUCACAAGAAGUAGAGUUAGUAGCACAAGCAUCAUCAUUAGCAAUAAGAGGAGAAGGCACCUUGGCAAGCUCUUUAGCAUAUGAAGCUUCAAGUUGAGCAUGAGACUGUAACGACUAAGAUGCGGCCCUUUCCUAUUUUGGGGGUGAUGCCCCAAAAGGGAAAGAGGCGCAUCUAAUAGUUUCGCAAGCGAGAUAAUCAUAGAAAUACAUAAUCGAAGAAUAACAAAUAGGGCAUACAUUUGCCAUCUGACAUAGAAUAUAUAAGGUUUACAUCCACACAAUUAUUCGGACAAGUUAGUCCCGCUACGGACAACAUGAAACAAGGAAAAGACUAUGAUAUCCCGCAUGCUGGCCCAUGAUAACGACCACGGCCUCAGUCCUCUGGAUAGUUCACGUACAGUCAGUCGUUAUCCUCAUCGUACUGCCACGCCAGCUGCAUGCCGUCAGGAUCUCCCGCGUCGGGCGUACCUGUACCUGUUGGGGUGUUGUAGUAAACUGCGAGCCAUGGGGACUCAACAAUCGGAUGACCUUGGUACCGAAACUAGUCAAGUUAUUAGGUGAGGAAGGUUCAAUGUAUAGGUUGCAGCAUCCUAAGCCUAUAUGGUGGCUAACUUACGAAGAUCAGAGUUAUUUAUAUGCUGGCCUACGCAAGCGGUCGAAGACUAGGUGAUCACUAAGUGAUCCUGCACACCUACUUACGUCAAACAUAACCCCACCGUGUUCCCGAUCGAAGAGAGGUCUUCGAAGGAGACAGUCACGGUCACGCACAUAGUUGGCAGUUUUAUUAGAGUUAAUUCAAGUUAUCAAGAACCGGAUGUUAACAAAUUAUCCAUGUUUGCCACAUAACCGCGGGAACGGCUUUCCGAAAGAUUAAACCCUGCAGGGGUGCUCCAACUAGUCCAUCACAAACUGCCACGGGCCGCAAAGUGAUCUUCUAUCACGAAUCUCGUGAUCUCGUCGGAUUCCUUAGAGGAAAACCUCAACUUUGAGGAGACCCAAAGUUUCACCGGGAUUCCUAUACGCAAGAUAUAUCGCUAAGGUAAGACAAACCUAGCAGGACCUCCCGUCGUGUCGACGACCCCGAUAAGAGCCGCGUAUCUUAGUCUCAGGACACGACGGAUGAGCUAGACGUCGGGUUGGCUAAACCACUCGGUGACCAGGGGGGCCCCGGACAUCGCUCAGGUGGGACCAACACUCAUGAGGAGCACUGGCCCGGGUUUUUGAUUAAAUCCUCGGGGUAGCUAUUCCCUAUGCAAAUUAUUAUUAGGUGAUUAGCAAAUUAAAACUAAUGUUGGGUCCUGCCGGACAAGCCUUAACACUCAAGGGGGUCCUCAAAACAACCCCGAACGUGUUAAGAGCGAACAGUUAUGGAAUCAAACACCGGUAGCCGAAACUAAGGCGGCAAUAACGGAACAAAUCACCCGGCAAAAGGCUAGGCCUUCCGUCAUUUACCAAGUAUAUAGGUGCAUUAAUUAAAUAGCAGUUUAAUCAUAAUGAUAUCAAAAUACUCAUGUUAUCACAUGAGACAGCUGGCACCUGCAACUAGCAAAGCUAAUCAUUAGAAGUUGAGCAAGCCUAGUUAGCCAAACAACAUUAGCUAGGAGGGGAAGGUGUUUGGGUUUCAUGGAAAUGGCAUGUGGCGUUUUUAUCAAGUGGUAGACAGCGAGCAUAUAUCGAAGGAAACGUGAUUCUAAGCAUAACAAAGCUAUAUACGGUAUCAAGGUCACGAUCAUCUUGCCUGUGAUGUCUUCAGCUUGGAACUGCUCUUGAUCGUCCUGCACGUACUCUCAGGAAUCCACAUACUCGCUCUUUGAUCCCGAUGUUACCCAAGAUAAAUAUAACAGCCAAUGAACACCAACACAACAUGAUGCAACAAACCAUAUGAUGCAUGAGAUGAGAAGGAAGCAUGCAUCACUAUUCUAGUCUCUUACAUAUGCAUGAGAUGAGAAGAUAAACUUCUGGAUAGAACUUCACACUAAGCUAUCUUGACAUGCAUGGGAAUGGCAUGAACAUGUGCAUCACGAUAAAACGAUGCGAAAACAUAUAUAGAACGUAGAGAACGGAGCUACGGAUCAACCGGAAACUACGAAACAAGAUAUGGAGUCCUACGGUUCAAAUCCACCACAAGCACACUCCAAUGGCACUCUUCUGGUGUUCCUAGGUUGACACAUGAACAAACAAACAAAUAUAAGUGGGGUGGUGCAUGGGAACACACCACACCAUCAACAAUGCCCACACAAGCUUCAAAACAACUAAAACAUGCAAUCUGUUCUAAAUAGUAUCAUAGCAGUUUGUCUACAACAUUCAAAGUACCUACAGCCACCCAAAUGAGCCAAACAAGAUAUGUGGCAAAAGCCAUUCAAAAUCUCUACAAGCCGGAGCAAGAAGCUACUGCAAAGGCAUCACACAUGGGAAGAUCUAUGGACACAAACUUGGACAAAAAUAACAGAUUCUGGGACUUAGUGAAAAUCUCAGAUUUUCACCACCUGCUUAUGCUCUGAAGCAUUUUGGCAGCCUCCAAAAUGAUAUCUACGGGAAGUGAGAGAAUGAAAUUUAACAGGGAGCUAAACAAACCCGAAAGCUCACAAAUCUUAGUUUGUUGCAUGGGCUGAUUCCCAACACAUGAGCUUGUGCAACCACAUCAACAAGGGAAGAAAAUAACAGCAGAUUCUCACACUUCGUGAAAAUCACAGAUUUUCACAGAGCUGACAAUUUCAGCCAAGUGUCAACUUUGACAAGGCACAACAAGUGCAUACACACUCCUAUGUAUAAAACAAAGACUCCAUGUUGUAGAGGGGUUCACCCACCACUGCCACAUCAAGGAUUCAUCCUCAUAGGGCCAACACACCACAUGACACUAAGCUCUAAACUUGGCAUCAAGACAGAAAAAUGAUAGUUUAUGAAGUUGCUCUAAAGUGAAAUCUGAUUCCACCAGUGGAUUCCUGGGAUGAUUCUACCCCAAAAGCAUAUAUAAUACAUGGGUACUUGCAUGGAACAUAUAGGCACAAAGCUAGCUCGAAAAACAACAUAGAAAUCACUAUAAGCAUAUAGGAGCAUUAUCACAUGUGAAUAAAGCCUAUAUAGCAUCCACUACUCCUACCUAUGCACACACACAAGCUUCACACACACACAAGAAUAACUUCAUGAGGGGGUAGACCCUCAUGCACAAGCUAAUGUGUGCAUCCACAUGCACACACACUCACACCACACAUAUGCAUGCCACCACACAUAUGCACAUACCUCUACCCACACACUUACACCACACAACAUGAACAUGCUCUCCACUCCUACACAUAUACUUGCACAACACACAUCAUCAUCACAUAACCUACUGAUGUGUUUGUGCAAAACUUAGCACAAGCAUGUGUGUGUAACACACACACACACACACAUCUACAUCUACACACACACCUACAAGUGCACACAUGCAAGAACUUGCUCACACACAAAUACGCACACAAGCUAAAUUAAAAGGGGGUAAAACCCACUGGUUUUGAUACACCCAAGAUAACUUGCUGCCCAAGAUAAUGCCCAGUGAAACAAAUAUAACAAAACAGCACAAAGAAAUAAAGGGGUGCACUCGGAUCGAACCCAGGAUCCCUCUGGUGCACACAACACACCACACCACUGGGCUAGCCACAUCCACUUUGACAGGGAAGGGGAAAAUGCAGGCUAAGCUCUCCUGUCGAGCCACUGUAUCACAAAAACAAAGAAAUAAAAAGGGGUGCCUUCGGGGAUUCGAACCCAUGACCAACAUGCGCCAAAACCACCUACACACCACUCUGCUACGCUGCGGAACUUAACAAAGAGGGGGAAGUAACUCUUUUGAGUAUCCCCUCUGAUCCUUCUACAGAUCGACGGCGGCCGGAAUAGGGGAAGGUCACCGGCGUUGCCACGCACAAAAUUGGCGAGGCAGAACUUGCGGGGAGGAAGAGGGAUCAUCGAAGGAUCCAUUCCUAGCUGGAGCUCACCGGGAGGCGCACCACAUCUAUGGCUCCACGAGCACCUACUACGGUGAUGGCGGCGACAGCAUAGAGCUAUGGCGACCUACGCUAGGAGGAGGGAAAGGUAGGGAACGAGAUCUUGCUCACCCUACACGUCGAGGAGAGGAGGAAGGCACGUCGGAGAAGAAGAAGGGGACGAAGAGGCGCGGGAUCAAUGGUGUGUUGCUCCGGCCUGACGGAGCCGCCACGGAGGGAGCGCCAGACAGGGGGAACCACCCCUCUAGAGACGGGAAUGGAACAUCGGGAGAUGUGUGCUACUUCUCAAACAACAGCGCCAGAAAUUGACACGUUCACGGAGACUUGCUUGCGUUGGUUUUUCCCUUGAAGAGGAAAGGGUGAUGCAGCACGGGAGCAGUAAGUAUUUCUCUCAGUUUGAGAACCAAGGUAUCAAUCCAGUAGGAGAAUCUCGUCACGUCUAGAGUACCUGCACAAACACAAACGAGCUUGCACCCAACGCUAUAAAGGGGUUGUCAAUCCCUUCAAGAUUGAUUGCAAAGUGAGAUCUGAAGGCGGAAAGUGCAACGAAGAAAAAGUGUAAGGCUGAAAAUAUAGUGUGGAGUAGACCCGGGGGCCAUAGGUUCACUAGAGGCUUCUCUCAAAAUAGAAAGUGUUACGGUGGGUGGACAAAUUACUGUCGAGCAAUUGAUAGAACCGCGCAAAGUCAUGACGAUAUCUAAGGCAAUGAUCAUACAUAUAGGCAUCACGUCCGAGACAAGUAGACCGAUAAUUUCUGCAUCUACUACUAUUACUCCACACGUCGACCGCUAUCCAGCAUGCAUCUAGUGUUUUGAGUUCAUGACGAACAGAGUAACGCCUUAAGAAAGAUGACAUGAUGUAGAGGGAUAAUCUCAAACCAAUGAUGAAAACCCCAUCUUUUUACCCUGAUGGCAACAACACGAUACGUGCCUCGCUACCCCUUCUAUCACUUGGUGAGGUCACCGCACGGUAUGAACCCAAAACAAGCAAUUCUCCCAUUGCAAGAAUCAUAGAUCUAGUUGGCCAAACAAAACCCACAACUCGAAGUGAAUUACAAGGAUAUGCAAUCAUGCAUAAGAGAGAUCAGAAGAAACUCAAAUAAGAUUCAUAGAUAAUCUGAUCAUAAAUCCACAAUUCAUCGGAUCUCGACAAACACACCGCAAAAGAAGAUUACACCGGAUAGAUCUCCAUGAAGAUCAUGGAGAACUUUGUAUUGAAGAUCCAAGAGAGAGAAGAAGCCAUCUAGCUACUAGCUAUGGACCCGUGGGUCUAUGGUGAACUACUCACACAUCAUCGGAGAGGUCAUGGUGUUGAUGAAGAAGCCUCUGUAUCCGAAUCCCCCCUCCGGCAGGACACCAGAACGUGCCCUGGAUGGGAUCUUGCGGAGACAGAAGCUUGCAUGCNNNNNNNNNNNNNNNNNNNNNNNNNNNNNNNNNNNNNNNNNNNNNNNNNNNNNNNNNNNNNNNNNNNNNNNNNNNNNNNNNNNNNNNNNNNNNNNNNNNNUAUAGUCACCCAGUUACGUUGCGACGUUUGAUACACAUAAAGCAUUCCUCCGGUGUCAGUGAGUUAUAUGAUCUCAUGGUCAUAGGAACAAAUACUUGACACGCAGAAAACAGUAGCAACAAAAUAAUACGAUCAACAUGCUACGUCUAUUAGUUUGGGUCUAGUCCAUCACAUGAUUCUCCUAAUGAUGUGAUCCCGUUAUCAAGUAACAACACUUGCCUAUGGGUAGGAAACCUUGGCCAUCUUUGAUCAACGAGCUAGUCAACUAGAGGCUUACUAGGGACAGUGUUUUGUCUAUGUAUCCACACAAGUAUUGUGUUUCCAAUCGAUACAAUUAUAGCAUGGAUAAUAAACGAUUAUCAUGAACAAAGAAAUAUAAUAAUAAAAAUUUAUUAUUGCCUCUAGGGCAUAUUUCCAACAGUCUCCCACUUGCACUAGAGUCAAUAAUCUAGUUCACAUCACUAUGUGAUUCCAACGAAUCCAACACCCAUAUAGUUAUGGGGUCUGAUCACGUCUUGCUCAUGAGAGAGGUUUUAGUCUUUCAGAUCCGUGUGUUCUUUACAAAUCUUUAUGUCAUCUUAUAUAUGUUGCUACUAUGUGCUAUUCGAAAAUACUCCGAAUAUCUACUCUACUAUACGAAUCCGUUUCACUACUCAUAGUUAUUCGGAUUAGUGUCAAAGCUUGCAUAGACGUAACCCUUUACGACGAACUCUUUAACCACCUCCAUAAUCAAGAAAAAAUUCCUUAGUCCAUCAGUUACUAAGGAUAAAUUUUGACCGCUGCUAGUGAUUCAAUCAUGGAUCACUCUCUGUACCUCUCAACAGACUUUGAGUCAAGGCACACAUCAGGUGCGGUACCCAGCAUGGCAUACUUCAGAUUCUACGGCCAAGGCAUAGAAGACGACUUUCGUCUAUUCUCUUUAUUCUCCCGGGGUCGGGUUUUGAGUCUUACUCAAAUUCACACCUUACAACGCAACCAUGAACUCCUUCUUUGUUGAUCUAUUUUGAACUCCUUCAAAAACUUGUCAAGGCAUGCAUCUUGUUGAAACUUCUAUUAAGCGCUUUCGAUCUAUCUCCAUAGAUCUUUGAUGCUCAACGUUCAAGUAGCGCAAUCCAGGUAUUCCUUUGAAAAACUCCUUUCAAACAACCUUGUAUGCUUUACAGAAAUUCUACAUUACUUCUGAUCCACAAUAUGUCAACCACAUAUACUUAUCAGAAAUUCUAUAGUACUCCCACUCACUUCUUUGGAAAUACAAGUUUCUCGUAAACCUUGUACAAACCCAAAAUCUUUGAUCAUCUCAUCAAAGUGUAUAUUCCAACUCCGAGAUGCUUGCACCAGUCCAUUUAAGGAUCGCUGGAGCUUGCAUACUUCCUAGAAUCUUUAGGAUCGACAAAACCUCAUGGUUGUAUCUCAUACAAUGUUUGCUCAAGGAAACCGUCGAGGAAACAAUGUUUUGACAUCCUACAUGCAAUAUUUCAUAAAUAAUGCAGCAACUACUAACAUAAUUCUAACAGACUUUUAGCAUCGCUACGAGUGAGAAAGUCUCAUCAUAGUCAACUGUUUGAUCUUGUCGGAAACAUCUUUGCGACAAGUCGAGCUUUUCUUAAUAGUGACUUAUCACUAUCAUCGUCUGUCUUCCUUUUAAAGAUCCAUCUUUACUCAAUAGUCCUAUGACCAUCAAGUAGUUCUUCCAAAGUCUACACUUUGUUUUCAUACAUGGAUCCUCUCUCGGAUUUCAUGGCUUCCAGCCAUUUGUCGGAAUCUGGGCCCACCAUUGCUUUCUCCACAACUCGUAGGUUCACUGUUGCUCAACAACAUGACCUCCAAGACAGGGUUACCGUACCACUCUGUAGUAGUACGCGACCUUGUCAACCUACGAGGCUUGUAGUAACUUGAUCUGAUGCUCGAUGAUCACCAUCAUCAGCUUUCACUUCAAUUGGUGUAGGCGCCAUAGGAACAACUUCCUGCGCCAUGCUACACACUGGUCGAAGUGAUGGUUCAAUAACCUCAUCAAGUUCUACCACCCUCCCACUCAAUUCUUUCGAGAGAAACCUUUCCUCGAGAAAGGAUCCGUUUCUAGAAACAAACACUUUCCUUUCGGAUCUGAGAUAGGAGAUGUACCCAACUGUUUUGGAUAUCCUAUGAAGAUGCAUUUAUCCGCUUUGGGUUCGAGCUUAUCAGACUGAAACUUUUUCACAUAAGUGUCGAAACCCCAAACUUUCAAGAAACGACAGUUUAGAUUUCUCUAAACCUCAGUCUAUAAUGUGUCAUCUCAACGGAAAUACGUGGUGCCCUAUUUAAAGUGAAUGCGGUUGUCUCUAAUGCUUAACCCAUAAACGAUAGUGGUAAUUCGAUAAGAGACAUCAUAGCAUGCACCAUACCAAAUAGUGUGUGGCUAUGACGUUCAGACACAUCAUCACACUAUGAUGUUCUAGGUGGCAUGAACCGCGAAACAAUUUCCACAUUGUCUUAACUGCGUACCAAAACUCGUAACUCAGAUAUUCAUUUCUAUGAUCAUAUCGUAGACAGUUUAUCCUCUUGUUACGACGAACUUCACUCCGAAACAGAAUUGAACUUUUCAAUAUUUCAGACUUGUGAUUCAUUAAGCAAAUACUCUAGUAUCUACUCAAAUCGUCAUUGAAGUAAGAACAUAAUGAUAUCCACUGCGUUCCUCAGCACCCAUUGGACUGCAUACAUCAAAAUGUAUCACUUCCAACAAGUUACUAUCUUAUUUCAUCUCAAUGAAAACAAGGCCUUGCUCAUGUGGUAUGAUUUGCAUGUCACUAGUGAUUCAAAAUCAAGUGAGUAUAAAGAUCCAUCAGCAUGGAGCCUCUUCAUGCAAUUUAUACCAAUAUGACUCAAGCGGCAGUGCCACAAGUAAGUGGUACUAUCAUCAUUACCUCGUAUCUUUUGGCACCAAUAUCAUGAACAUGUGUAACACUACGAUCGAGAUUCAAUAAACCAUUGAAGGUGAUUAUUCAAGAAAAUAGAGUAACCAUUAUUCUCUUUAAGUGAAUAAUCGUAUUGCAAUAAACAUGAUCCAAUCAUGUUCAUGCUUAACGCAAGCACCAAAUAACAAUUAUUUAGGUUUAACACCAAUCCCGAUGGUAGAGGGAGCGUGCGACGUUUGAUCAUAUCAACCUUGGAAACACUUCCAACACGUAUCGUCACCUCGCCUUUAGCUAGUCUCCGUUUAUGCCAUAGCUUUUAUUUCGUGUUACUAAUCACUUAGCAACCGAACCGGUAUCCAAUACCCUCAUGCUACUAGGAGUACUAGUAAAGUACACAUCAACAUCAUGUAUAUCAAAUAUACUUCUUUCGACUUUUGCCAGCCUUCUUAUCUACCAAGUAUCUAGAGUUGCUCCGCCUCAGUGACUGUUCCCCUCAUUACAGAAGCACUUAGUCUCGGGUUUGGGUUUAAUCUUGGGUCUCUUCAUUAGUGCAGCAACUGUUUUGCCGUUUCACGAAGUAUCCCUUCUAGCCCUUGACUUUCUUGAAACUUAGUAGUUUUACAAACCAUCAACUAUUGAUGCUCCUUCUUGAUUUCUACUUUCGCAGUGUCAAACAUCGCGAAUCUCUCAAGGAUCAUUGUAUCUAUCCUUCAUAUGUUAUAGUUCAUCACGAAGCUCUCACAGCUUGGUGGCAGUGACUUUGGAGAACCAUCACUAUCUCAUCUGGAAGAUUAACUCCCACUUGAUUCAAGUGAUUGUCGUACUCAGACAAUCUGAGCACACGCUCAACGAUUGAGCUUUUCUCCUUUACUUUGUGGACAAAGAAUCUUGUCGGAGGUCUUGUACCUCUCAACAAGGGCACGAGCAUGAAAUCACAAUUUCAUCUCUUUAGAACAUCACUUAUGUUCCGUGACAUUUCAAAACGUCUUCGGUGCCUUGCUUCUAAGCCAUUAAGUAUUUUGCACUGAACUAUCAUGUAGUCAUCAGAAACGUGUAUGACGGAUGUUCACAGCAUCCACAGACGACGCUCGAGGUGCAGCACACCGAGUGGUGCAUUAAGGACAUAAGCCUUCUGCGCAGCAAUGAGGACAAUCCUCUUCAAAGUUCGCUACUAUCAACUUUCAACUAAAUUUUCUCUAGGAACAUAUAAAAACAGUAGAGCUAUAGCGCAAGCUACAUCGUAAUUCGCAAAGACCAUUAGACUAUGUUCAUGACAAUUAGUUCAAUUAAUCAUAUUACUUAAGAACUCCCACUCAAAAAGUACAUCUCUCUAGUCAUUUGAGUGGUACAUGAUCCAAAUCCACUAUCUCAAGUCCGAUCAUCACGUGAGUCGAGAAUAGUUUCAGUGGUAAGCAUCUCUAUGCUAAUCAUAUCAACUAUACGAUUCAUGCUCGACCUUUCGGUCUCAUGUGUUCCGAGGCCAUGUCUGCACAUGCUAGGCUCGUCAAGCUUAACCCGAGUGUUCUGCGUGUGCAACUGUUUUGCACCCGUUGUAUGUGAACGUUGAGUCUAUCACACCCGAUCAUCACCUGGUGUCUCGAAACGAAGAACUGUCGCAACGGUGCACAGUCGGGGAGAACACAAUUUCGUCUUGAAAUUUUAGUGAGAGAUCACCUCAUAAUGCUACCGUCGUUCUAAGCAAGAUAAGGUGCAAAAAGGAUUAACAUCACAUGCAAUUCAUAAGUGACAUGAUAUGGCCAUCAUCAUGCGCUUCUUGAUCUCCAUCACCAAAGCACCGGCACGAUCUUCUUGUCACCGGCGUCACACCAUGAUCUCCAUCAUCAUGAUCUCCAUCAACGUGUCGCCAUCGGGGUUGUCGUGCUACGCAUGCUAUUACUACUAAAGCUACGUCCUAGCAAUAUAGUAAACGCAUCUGCAAGCACAAACGUUAGUUUAAAGACAACCCUAUGGCUCCUGCCGAUUGCCGUACCAUCGACGUGCAAGUCGAUAUUAACUAUUACAACAUGAUCAUCUCAUACAUCCAAUAUAUCACAUCACAUCGUUGGCCAUAUCACAUCACAAGCAUACCCUGCAAAAACAAGUUAGACGUCCUCUAAUUUUGUUGUUGCAUGUUUUACGUGGUGACCAUGGGUAUCUAGUAGGAUCGCAUCUUACUUACGUAAACACCACAAUGGAGAUAUAUGAAUUGCUAUUUAACCUCAUCCAAGGACCUCCUCGGUCAAUUCCGAUUCAACUAAAGUUGGAGAAACUGACACCUGCCAGUCAUCUUUGAGCAACGGAGUUACUCGUAGCGAUGAAACCAGUCUCUCAUAAGCGUACGAGUAAUGUCGGUCCGAGCCGCUUCGAUCCAACAAUACCGCGGAAUCAAGAAAAGACUAAGGAGGGCAGCAAAACGCACAUCACCGCCCACAAAAACUUUUGUGUUCUACUCGAGAAGACAUCUACGCAUGAACCGAGCUCAUGAUGCCACUGUUGGGGAACGUCGCAUGGGAAACAAAAAUUUUCCUACGCGCACGAAGACCUAUCAUGGUGAUGUCCAUCUACGAGAGGGGAUGUUCGAUCUACGUACCCUUGUAGACCGCACAGCAGAAGCAUUAGUGAACGCGGUUGAUGUAGUGGAACGUCCUCAUGUCCCUCGAUCCGCCCCGCGAACCGUCCCGCGAUCAGUCCCACGAUCUAGUGCCGAACGGACGGCACCUCCGCGUUCAGCACACGUACAGCUCGACGAUGAUCUCGGCCUUCUUGAUCCAGCAAGAGUGAUGGAGAGGUAGAUGAGUUCUCCGCCAGCGUGAUGGCGCUCCGGAGGUUGGUGGUGAUCUUAUCUCAGCAGGGCUCCGCCCGAGCUCCGCAGAAACGCGAUCUAGAGGUGAAACUGUGGAGAUAUGUGGUCGGGCUGUCGUGGCAAAGUUGUCUCAAAUCAGCCCUAAAACCUGCGUAUAUAUAGGGGGAGGAGGGGGAGCCUUGCCUUGGGGUCCAAGGACUCCCAAGGGGGCGGCCGAGCCAAGGGGGGCAACCCUCCCCUUCCAAACCGAGUCCAAUUAGGUUUGGAAGGAGGAGUCCUUCCCCCUUUUCCCACCUGCUCUUUUUUUUCUUUUCUCUUUGAUUUUCUUCCUAUGGCGCAUAGGGCCUUCUUGGGCUGUCCCACCAGCCCACUAAGGGCUGGUGCGCCACCCCCAAGGCCUAUGGGCUUUCCCGGGGUGGGUUCCCCCCCCCCCCCGGGUCGAAAACCCGGAACCCAUUCAUCAUUCCCGGUACAUUCCCGGUAACUCCGAAAACCUUCCGGUAAUCAAAUGAGGUCAUCCUAUAUAUCAAUGUUCGUUUCCGGACCAUUCCGGAAACCCUCAUGACGUCCGUGAUCUCAUCCGGGACUCCGAACAACAUUUGGUAACCAAUCAUAUAACUCAAAUAUGCAUAAAACAACGUCGAACCUUAAGUGUGCAGACCCUGCGGGUUCGAGAACUAUGUAGACAUGACCCGAGAGACUCCUCGGUCAAUAUCGAAUAGCGGGACCUGGAUGCCCAUAUUGGAUCCUACAUAUUCUACGAAGAUCUUAUCGUUUGAACCUCAGUGCCAAGGAUUCAUAUAAUCCCGUAUGUCAUUCCCUUUGUCCUUCGGUAUGUUACUUGCCCAAGAUUCGAUCGUCAGUAUCCGCAUACCUAUUUCAAUCUCGUUUGCCGGCAAGUCUCUUUACUCGUUCCGUAAUACAAGAUCCCUCAACUUACACUAAGUCACAUUGCUUGCAAGGCUUGUGUGUGAUGUUUUAUUAUCGAGUGGGCCCCGAGAUACCUCUCCGUCACACGAAGUGACAAAUCUCAGACUCGAUCCAUACUAACUCAACUAACACCUUCGGAGAUACCUGUAGAGCAUCUUUAUAGUCACCCAGUUACGUUGCGACGUUUGAUACACAUAAAGCAUUCCUCCGGUGUCAGUGAGUUAUAUGAUCUCAUGGUCAUAGGAACAAAUACUUGACACGCAGAAAACAGUAGCAACAAAAUAAUACGAUCAACAUGCUACGUCUAUUAGUUUGGGUCUAGUCCAUCACAUGAUUCUCCUAAUGAUGUGAUCCCGUUAUCAAGUAACAACACUUGCCUAUGGGUAGGAAACCUUGGCCAUCUUUGAUCAACGAGCUAGUCAACUAGAGGCUUACUAGGGACAGUGUUUUGUCUAUGUAUCCACACAAGUAUUGUGUUUCCAAUCGAUACAAUUAUAGCAUGGAUAAUAAACGAUUAUCAUGAACAAAGAAAUAUAAUAAUAAAAAAUUUAUUAUUGCCUCUAGGGCAUAUUUCCAACAGUCUCCCACUUGCACUAGAGUCAAUAAUCUAGUUCACAUCACUAUGUGAUUCCAACGAAUCCAACACCCAUAUAGUUAUGGGGUCUGAUCACGUCUUGCUCAUGAGAGAGGUUUUAGUCUUUCAGAUCCGUGUGUUCUUUACAAAUCUUUAUGUCAUCUUAUAUAUGUUGCUACUAUGUGCUAUUCGAAAAUACUCCGAAUAUCUACUCUACUAUACGAAUCCGUUUCACUACUCAUAGUUAUUCGGAUUAGUGUCAAAGCUUGCAUAGACGUAACCCUUUACGACGAACUCUUUAACCACCUCCAUAAUCAAGAAAAAAUUCCUUAGUCCAUCAGUUACUAAGGAUAAAUUUUGACCGCUGCUAGUGAUUCAAUCAUGGAUCACUCUCUGUACCUCUCAACAGACUUUGAGUCAAGGCACACAGGGGAUAGGUGCGGUACCAGCAUGGCAUACUUCAGAUUCUACGGCCAAGGCAUAGAAGACGACUUUCGUCUAUUCUCUUUAUUCUCCCGGGGUCGGGUUUUGAGUCUUACUCAAAUUCACACCUUACAACGCAACCAUGAACUCCUCUUUGUUGAUCUAUUUUGAACUCCUUCAAAAACUUGUCAAGGCAUGCAUCUUGUUGAAACUUCUAUUAAGCGCUUUCGAUCUAUCUCCAUAGAUCUUUGAUGCUCAACGUUCAAGUAGCGCAAUCCAGGUAUUCCUUUGAAAAACUCCUUUCAAACAACCUUGUAUGCUUUACAGAAAUUCUACAUUACUUCUGAUCCACAANNNNNNNNNNNNNNNNNNNNNNNNNNNNNNNNNNNNNNNNNNNNNNNNNNNNNNNNNNNNNNNNNNNNNNNNNNNNNNNNNNNNNNNNNNNNNNNNNNNNCUUUUGGUGCAUCGACGAUACCCUCAUCAUCCUCGUCCACCUCAAACUCAUGAUCAUCUAAAUGCACAUCAUUGGUUUGAGACCAAUGGGAAUUGUUGGAGCCAACACCCAUAGUAGUCAUGUAUGUCUCAUCAUUUAAAUACAAAGUAUAUACAACAAACAAAUAUAAGCUAUCCACAUGUAUCUAUUCAUGUAAAAAACAACAACGAAAAAAGUGGGUGAAAACAUACCUUGCGGGCAUUCCAUCAAACACGCUGUGCGCAUUGGCCGUCGGUGGUACGAACGAGCUCGCCGACGCUUUGGUUGCCGCAGCAUCCGUCACACGACGUGCAAGUUUCUUCUUCGGCGGCCUAGUGGAGCCAUCCACCGCCUUCUUCUUCUUUCUGGACACCUUCUUGAUGGUCUUCUUCACCACUGGCGCAUUUGGAAGCUUCGAGAGGGGGGCACAUGUCACGACGGGUGCCGGCACGCCGUCACACACCGAGGUCAUCCAUGGCGCCAUGAAAAGGUUGCGCGCGAGACCGGUGCUCGGAGGAGCUCCGGCGGAGACGAGCCCAAAGCUCGCCGAGCUAGGGUUUGCACCGGCGGCGAUGGUGGCGGAGGGAUUGCGGGCGUAGGAGGGGGUGAGGGGGAUGUCGGNNNNNNNNNNNNNNNNNNNNNNNNNNNNNNNNNNNNNNNNNNNNNNNNNNNNNNNNNNNNNNNNNNNNNNNNNNNNNNNNNNNNNNNNNNNNNNNNNNNNCUAGAUGGCUUCUUCUCUCUCUUGGAUCUUCAAUACAAAGUUCUCCAUGAUCUUCAUGGAGAUCUAUCCGAUGUAAUCUUCUUUUGCGGUGUGUUUGUCGACAUUCGAUCAAUUGUGGAUUUAUGAUCAGAUUAUCUAUGAGUCUUAUUUGAGUUUCUUCCGAUCUCUCUUAUGCAUGAUUUCAUAUCCUUGUAAUUCUCUUCGAGUUGUGGGUUUUGUUUGGCCAACUAGAUCGAUGAUUCUUGCAAUGGGAGAAGUGCUUGGUUUUGGGUUCAUACCGUGUGGUGACCUCACCCAGUGACAGAAGGGGUAGCGAGGCACGCAUCGUGUUGUUGCCAUCGAGGGUAAAAAGAUGGGGUUCUCAUCAUUGGUUUGAGAUUAUCCCUCUACAUCAUGUCAUCUUGCUUAAGGCGUUACUCUGUUCGUCAUGAACUCAAUACACUAGAUGCAUGCUGGAUAGCGGUCGAUGUGUGGAGUAAUAGUAGUAGAUGCAGAAAGUAUCGGUCUAGUUGUCUCGGACGUGAUGCCUAUAUGUAUGAUCAUUGCCUUAGAUAUCGUCAUGACUUUGCGCGGUUCUAUCAAUUUCUCGACAGUAAUUUGUUCACCCACUGUAAUAUUUGCUAUUUUGAGAGAAGCCUCUAGUGAACACUAUGGCCCCGGGGUCUACUCCACACCAUAUUUUUAGCCUUACAAUUUUACUUCGUUGCACUUUCCGCCUUCAAAUCUCACUUUGCAAUCAAUCUUGAAGGGAUUGACAACCCCUUUAUAGCAUUGGGUGCAAGAUCUUUAUGUUUGUGGAGGUACUCUGGACUUGACGAGAUUCUCCUACUGGAUUGAUACCUUGGUUCUCAAACUGAGGGAAAUACUUACUGCUCCUGUGCUGCAUCACCCUUUCCUCUUCAAGGCAAAAACCGACGCAAGCAAGUCUCCGUCAACGUGUCAAUUUUGGCGUUGUUGUUUGAGAAGUAGCAAGAAGGAUUUCUGGCGCCAUUGCCGGGGAAGAACUUUUGUUGUCGUAGCAACCACCACCGAAGCGCCUUCACGCUGCCGGAGAACUCAUCUACUUCUUCGUCUUACUUUCUGGAUCAAGAAGGCCGAGAUCAUCGUCGAGCUGUACGUGUGCUGAACAUGGAGGUGCCGUCCGUUCGGCACUAGAUCGGAGCGGAUCGUGGGACGGAUCGUGGGACGGUUCGCGGGGCGGAUCGAGGGACGUGAGGACGUUCCACUACAUCAACCGCGUUUCUUAACGCUUCCUGCUGUGCGAUCUUUAAGGGUACGUAGAUCCAAAUCUCCUCUCGUAGAUGGACAUCACCACGACAGGUCUUCGUGCGCGUAGGAAAUUUUUUGUUUCCCAUGCGACGUUCCCCAACAUAGGCAUCAUGAGCUAGGUUCAUGCGUAGAUGUAAUCUCGAGUAGAACACAAAGGGUUUUCUGGACGGUGAUGUUCGAUUUGCUGCCCUCCUGAGUCUUUUCUCAAUUUGGCGGUAUUUUUGGAUUGAAGCGGCCCGGACCGACAUUAUUCGUAUGCUUACAAAAGACUAGUUUCAUCGAUUGACAUGCAACCUCGUUGCAUAAAGAUGACUGGCGGGUGUCGGUUUCUUCAACUUUAGUUGAAUUGGUUUUGACCGAGGCGGUCCCUGGAGAGGAUAAAUAGCAAUUUGCACAUCUGCGUUGUGGUUUUUGCGUAAGUAAGAUGCGAUCUACUAGAUACCCAUUGAAACCACGUAAAACAUUCAACAACAAUUAGAGGACGUCUAACUUGUUUUCGAAGGAUAUGCUUGUGAUAUGAUAUGGCCAAUGACGUGAUGUGAUAUAUUGGAUGUAUGAGAUGAUCAUGUUGUAAUAGUUAAUAUCGACUUGCACGUCGAUGGUACGGCAACCCGCAGGAGCCAUAGGGUUGUCUUUAAACUAACGUUUGUGUUUGCAGAUGCGUUUAGUAUAUUGCUAGGACGUAGCUUUAGUAGUAAUAGCAUAAGUAGCACGACAACCCCGAUGGCGACACGUUGAUGGAGAUCAUGGUGUGGCACCGGUGACAAGAAGAUCAUGUCGAUGCUUUGGUGAUGGAGAUAAAGAAGCACAUGAUGAUGGCCAUAUCAUGUCACUUAUGAAUUGCAUGUGAUGUUAAUCCUUUUAUGCACCUUAUUUUGCUUAGAACGACGAUAGCAUUAUGUGGUGAUCUCUCACUAAAAUUUCAAGACGAAAUUGUGUUCUCCCCGACUCUGCACCGUUGCUACAGUUUGUUGAUUCGAGACACCACGUGAUGAUCGGGUGUGAUAGACUCAACGUUCACAUACAACGGGUGCAAAACAGUUGCACACGCGGAACACUCGGGUAAAACUUGACGAGCCUAGCAUGUGCAGACAUGGCCCCGGAACACAAGAGACCGAAAGGUCGAGCAUGAAUCGUAUAGUUGAUAUGAUUAGCAUAGAGAUGCUUGCCACUGAAACUAUUCUCGACUCACGUGAUGAUCGGACUUGAGAUAGUGGAUUCGGAUCAUGUACCACUCAAAUGACUAGAGAGAUGUNNNNNNNNNNNNNNNNNNNNNNNNNNNNNNNNNNNNNNNNNNNNNNNNNNNNNNNNNNNNNNNNNNNNNNNNNNNNNNNNNNNNNNNNNNNNNNNNNNNNAUCUCGUGCUUCCACCCCAUGAUGCUUGUGCGGUAUCUACACAAGGGAGCUCCUAUUGGUCUCUCUUUGCGUCAAACUCUCGAGCUUUUCACACAUUGGCUUCGCGAUCGAGAGCUAAAGCUGGGUCGGUUCGUUAACGUGUAGUAGCGCUUCGGAUUUACGAACCUUCAAGAUAUUUUUUUCUUUUGUUAUCGAUUUUGGGAACCUUCAAGAAUAACCUGAACCGUUUUUUUCCUUUGUUACUUUUUUUGUUCACGUUUCUUCUCUCUUUUUUUUGCUUUUCUUUUUGUACUUUUAAUUUUCCCUAUUUUUUCUGUUGGAAUAUUUCAAAUGUUAUUUGAAAGUUUAAAGAUAUAUUUCUUGUCUUAAAUUCUUGUUCACAAUUUUAAGAACCGUUGAUGUUUGAUUUUUUUUUCAGGAAUUAAAAAAAACUAAUUUAUCAAAUUUCUUCAAAAUUUCAGAAAGGUUCUUGUUUUUAAAUUUUGUACAUAAUUUAAAAAGAUUGUUCAUGUUUCAGGAAAGUUCAGGAAUUUUAAAAUCAAUUCCUAUUUCAAAUUUGUUCACAAUUUCAGAAACUAUUUCGCGUUUCAAAUAAUGUUCUCUUUUCAAAAAUUUCUAACCAUUUCAAAAAAUGUUCAUGUCUAACAAAUGUUCGUGGUUUCAUCAUUUUGUUUGCAAUUUCAGAAAAUGUUCACAUGUUUCAAAUUUUCUUUGCAUUUCCAAAGAAAACAUACAAUACAAAUUUUGUUUGCAUUAAAAAAUGUUAUUUUUUAACUUCUUUUUUCUGAAUUUAACUUUUUUCAUGUUUUAAAUUUUUUAACAGACUUAAAAUAAGUUCGUGAACUCAAAAAUACUGUGGAAAUUUCAAAAAAUGUUCACAUUUUCAAAAUUUGUUUGUUUUUUCCAUAAAAUGUUCGGGAAUUUCAAAAAAGGUUCUUUGUUUGAAAACAAUUUUGGAAUGUUCCUUUUCAUAUUUUCUGAAAUUCUAAAACAUAUUCAGUUUUUCAAAAAAAUGUUUGAAUUUGAAAAAUUGGUUUACUUUUUCAUUUUUUAGGAGUUUUAAAAAUGUUCCAAUUUCAAAAAUUAUUCGCAAUUUAAAAAAAUAAAAAAUAAACAGCAAAAGGGAAAGAAAAUAAAAGAAAGAAAAAACAAACAAAAAUCUAAAAAAGAUAAAAUCCAAAAACGUAGAAGAAACAGGAGGAACCUUCUAGGAGAAAAAACGACUGAGAAACUAUAGAAGGUUCCCCAAACCGGAAUGGUGCAACUUGUUAAUAGUCGGCCCAGGUGAUUACCAUAAAAUGGACACAAUUUUAAUUGUAGAUGUAACUAAUUCACAAAAUGAAUCGUGCAUGAAAAUUCACAUGCAUAUCUUCUUUGUGUGGCGCCCGGUUGUAYAUCKAGKWGCUAUUUGAUCAUACGUAGGUGUANNNNNNNNNNNNNNNNNNNNNNNNNNNNNNNNNNNNNNNNNNNNNNNNNNNNNNNNNNNNNNNNNNNNNNNNNNNNNNNNNNNNNNNNNNNNNNNNNNNNGUUUCCCAUGCGAUGUUCCCCAACWGUGGCAUCAUGAGCUAGGUUCAUACGUAGAUGUCUUCUCGAGUAGAACACAAAAGUUUUUGUGGGCGGUGAUGUGCGUUUUGCUGCCCUCCUUGGUCUUUUCUUGAUUCCGCGGUAUUGUUGGAUUGAAGCGGCUUGGACCGACAUUACUCGUACGCUUACGAGAGACUGGUUUCAUCGUUACGAGUAACCCCGUUGCUCAAAGAUGACUGGCAAGUGUCGGUUUCUCCAACUUUAGUUGAAUCGGAUUUGACCGAGGAGGUCCUUGGAUGAGGUUAAAUAGCAACUCAUAUAUCUCCGUUGUGGUGUUUGCGUAAGUAAGAUGCGAUCCUACUAGAUACCCUUGGUCACCACGUAAAACAUGCAACAACAAAAUUAGAGGACGUCUAACUUGUUUUUGCAGGGUAUGCUUGUGAUGUGAUAUGGCCAACGAUGUGAUGUGAUAUAUUGGAUGUAUGAGAUGAUCAUGUUGUAAUAGAAAAUAUCGACUUGCACGUCGAUGGUACGGCAACCGGCAGGAGCCAUAGGGUUGUCUUUAUACUAACGUUUGUGCUUGCAGAUGCGUUUACUAUUUUGCUAGGAUGUAGCUUUAGUAGUAAUAGCAUGAGUAGCACGACAACCCCAAUGGCAACACGUUGAUGGAUGAUCAUGGUGUGGCGCCGGUGACAAGAAGAUCUUGCCGGUGCUUUGGUGAUGGAGAUCAAGAAGCACGUGAUGAUGGCCAUAUCAUGUCACUUAUGAAUUGCAUGUGAUGUUAAUCCUUUUAUGCACCUUAUUUUUCUUAGAACGACGGUAGCAUUAUGAGGUGAUCUCUCACUAAAAUUUCAAGAUGAAAUUGUGUUCUCCCCGACUGUGCACCGUUGCUACAGUUCGUCAUUUCGAGACACCACGUGAUGAUCGGUGUGAUAGACUCAACGUUCACAUACGACGGGUGCAAAACAGUUGCGCACGCGGAACACUCGGGUUAAGCUUGACGAGCCUAGCAUGUGCAGACAUGGCCUCGGAACACAUGAGACCGAAAGGUCGAUCAUGAAUCAUAUAGAUGAUGUGAUUAGCAUAGGGAUGCUUACCACUGAAACUAUACNNNNNNNNNNNNNNNNNNNNNNNNNNNNNNNNNNNNNNNNNNNNNNNNNNNNNNNNNNNNNNNNNNNNNNNNNNNNNNNNNNNNNNNNNNNNNNNNNNNNUCGUGAGAAAGUCGUCUCAAAUCAGCCCUAAUUGCUCCAUAUAUAUAGGAGGAGGGASGGGGGGCCUUGCCUUGGGGUCCAAGGACCCCCAAGGAGUCGGCCGAGCCAAGGGGGGGAGGACUCCCCCCCCAAACCGAGUUGGACUUGGUUUGGUGGGAGGAGUCCCCCUCCCUUCCCACUUCCUCCCUCUUUUUUUUCUCUUUUCCUUUGAUUUCUUAUUCUUGGCGCAUAGGCCCCCUUGGGGCUGUCCCACCAGCCCACUAAGGGCUGGUGUGUCUCCCCAAAGCCUAUGGGCUUCCCCGGGGUGGGUUGCCCCCCCGGUGAACUCCCGGAACCCAUUCGUCAUUCCCGGUACAUUCCCGGUAACUUCGAAAACCUUCCGGUAAUCAAAUGAGGUCAUCCUAUAUAUCAAUCUUCGUUUCCGGACCAUUCUGGAAACCCUCGUGACGUCCGUGAUCUCAUCCGGGACUCCGAACAACAUUCAGUAACCAACCAUAUAACUCAAAUACGCAUAAAACAACGUCGAACCUUAAGUGUGACAGACCCNNNNNNNNNNNNNNNNNNNNNNNNNNNNNNNNNNNNNNNNNNNNNNNNNNNNNNNNNNNNNNNNNNNNNNNNNNNNNNNNNNNNNNNNNNNNNNNNNNNNUCACUAUGAUCGAGAUUCAAUAAACCAUUGAGGGUAAUUAUUCAAGCAAAUAGAAUAACUAUUAUUCUCUUUAAUUGAAUAAUUGUAUUGCAAUGAACACGAUCCAAUCAUGUUCAUGAUUAACGCAAUCACCAAAUAACAAUUAUUUAAGUUUUACCACCAAUCCGGAUGAUAGAKGGAGCGUGCGAUGUUUGAUCACAUCAACCUUGGAAACACUUCCAACACGUAUUGUCACCUCGCCUUUAGCUAGUCUCCGUUUAUACCGUAGCUUUCAUUUCGAGUUACUAAUCACUUAGCAACCGAACCGGUAUCGAAUACCCUCGUGCUACUAGGAGUAAAGUACACAUCAAUAUCAUGCAUAUCAAAUAUACUUCUGUCGUACUUUGCCAGCCUUCUUAUCUACCAAGUAUCUAGGGUANCUCCGCCUCACUGACCGUUCCCCUCAUAACAGAAGCACUCAGUCUCGGGUUUGGUUCAAUUUUGGGUUUCUUCAUUAGAGCUAGCAACUUGUUUGCCGUUUCAUGAAGUAUCCCUUCAAGCCCUUACCCUUCUUGAAACUGUGGUUUUACUAAGCAUCAACUAUUGAUGCUCCUUCUUGUACUUUCUACUUUCACUAGUGUNNNNNNNNNNNNNNNNNNNNNNNNNNNNNNNNNNNNNNNNNNNNNNNNNNNNNNNNNNNNNNNNNNNNNNNNNNNNNNNNNNNNNNNNNNNNNNNNNNNNUCCGGUGCAGUGAGUUAUAUGAUCUCAUGGUCAUAGGAAUAAAUACUUGAACAAGACAGAAAACAAUAGACAAUAAAAAUAGACUACGAUCAAUAUUGCUACGUUCUAUAGUUUUGGGUCUAGUCCAUCACAUGAGUAUCCUAAUGACGUGAUCCAGUUAUCAAGUGACAACACUUGCAUAUAGUCAGAAACCUUUGACUAUCAUUUAUCAACUGGCUAGCCAACUAGAGGCUUGCUAGGGACAUUGUUUUGUGUAUGUAUCGACACAUGUAUCUAUGUUUUCAUUCAAUACAAUUAUAGCAUGGAUAAUAAACGAUUAUCUUGUAACAGGAAAUAUAAUAAUAAAUAUUUUAUYAUUGCCUCUAGGGCAUAWUUCYAACAGUCUCCCACUUGCACUAGAGUCAAUAAUCUAGYCCUCACAUCRCCAUGYGAWUUACAUUGUAAUAAAUCUAACACCCAUACARUUCUGGUGUCGAUCAUGUUUUGGCCGUGGAAGAGGUUUAGUCAGCGGGUCUGCUACAUUCGGAUCCGUGUGCACUUUGCAUAUAUUUACGUCGUCCUCCUCGACGUAGUUGCGGAUGAGGUUGAAGCAUCGUUUGAUGUGUCUGGUCUUCUUGUGAACCUUGGCUCCUUUGCUAAGGCAAUGGCACCAGCGUUGUCACAGAACAAGGUUAUUGGAUCCAGUGCACUUGGCACCCAUCAUCAAGCACAUGCGACAUAUCAAGAUUUCUAGCAGGAGGUGAUGUCGCAAACUUACUCAUAACUGAAGGUGAAUCAAGUGCAGAGCUAGAUGGCAAUUCCUUACCUCCCUCGUANNNNNNNNNNNNNNNNNNNNNNNNNNNNNNNNNNNNNNNNNNNNNNNNNNNNNNNNNNNNNNNNNNNNNNNNNNNNNNNNNNNNNNNNNNNNNNNNNNNNUAAGCUAAGAAUCACAAGUUAACCUACAUAAGAAAAAUAGACUACAAAAGGUACUACACGGUAAACUAAAUAAUUCAAAUGGCNUAAUACAGCCAUCGAAGCAAAUAAUAAUGAGUUUCAAAUACCAACACUUCAAUCAAAACAAGCAUGAAGCAAUAUGAAUAGAUGGUAUCUCGCUAGCNCUUUCUGAGACCGCAAAACAUAAAUGCAGAGAACUUCACUCUAAWACUAUAAAAUGGUGGUUAUUUUGUGGGCCGGGGAGUUACACGGGGCCUUGUAGAGUUGCUCUUAGGUGACACAAAAAAGCUCUUGGACAAUGGUAAGUGACCCCGUCAAAGGAGAAAGAGUUGUGCCGAAGGUCGAGGAGAAGAGCAGAGGAGUUAUCUCGUGCUUCCACCCCAUGAUGCUUGUGCGGUAUCUACACAAGGGAGCUCCUAUUGGUCUCUCUUUGCGUCAAACUCUCGAGCUUUCACACAUGGCUCGCGAUCGAGAGCUAAAGCUGGGUCGUUCGUUAACGUGUAGUAGCGCUUCGGAUUUACGAACCUUCAAGUAUUAUUUUUUUCUUUGUUAUCGUAAUUUUGGGAACCUUUCAAAGUAAUAACCUGUUAACCGUUUUUUUCCUUGUUUACUUUUUUUGUCUACGUUUCUUCUUCUUUCUUUUUUUGACUUUUUCUUUUUGUUACUUUUUACUUUUCCCUUAUUUUUUUCUUGUUUACGGUAAUUAGUUUACUAAAUUGUUUAAUUUAGUAAAGUUUAAAGUAUUAUUAUUUACUUGUUACUUUAAAUUUCUUAGNNNNNNNNNNNNNNNNNNNNNNNNNNNNNNNNNNNNNNNNNNNNNNNNNNNNNNNNNNNNNNNNNNNNNNNNNNNNNNNNNNNNNNNNNNNNNNNNNNNNACCUAGUAUAGAUGCUCUACAGGUAUCUCCGAAGGUGUUAGUUGAGUUAGUAUGGAUCGAGACUGGGAUUUGUCACUCCGUGUGACGGAGAGGUAUCUCGGGGCCCACUCGGUAAUACAACAUCAUACACAAGCCUUGCAAGUAAUGUGACUUAGUGUAAGUUGCGGAUUCUUGUAUUACGGAACGAGUAAAGAGACUUGCCGGCAAAUGAGAUUGAAAUAGGUAUGCGGAUACUGAUGAUCGAAUCUCGGGCAAGUAACAUACCGAAGGUGUUGAUCUUGACCAUCUAUAUGUCCGCCUUUAGUUCUGUCGCGCUAUCAACUUUCUAGAGACUUGCCUAGUAGAAUUAAAGAGAGCACCUGACAAAGACAAUUUCAAGUAAGACUUGAUCAAUUUGUUCUCAUAGAUUGCCUUCUUGCACGAUAGUCAUAUGGCCCAACAAAUAGCAGCCUAAACACAAGAAAUUCUCACAAGGGGAAACAUAGCACCAUGUGACAAAUUGACCUAAUACUUACGUAGGAACAACUAUUACAAUCGACCAAAUAUACAAACUUUAUUAUUGCUAGAACUAACUUUAGACAACAAACAAUAAAUAAAAGUGUUAGUACNNNNNNNNNNNNNNNNNNNNNNNNNNNNNNNNNNNNNNNNNNNNNNNNNNNNNNNNNNNNNNNNNNNNNNNNNNNNNNNNNNNNNNNNNNNNNNNNNNNNUCCUUCCCGUGGUCAGCAGGGUCCUAUUGGAAACAUACAGAAUAUUAAGGCAAUUCCUUUUUAAUAGAGUUACCGGAACAAAAACAUGAAACACAUAGUAGAAUACAUGAGCUCCUCWUACUAACGACAAAUACACCGAAAAAGAAUACUCAAUUAGGUGUCACCUUGGGGCAUGCGGAUCAAGACACAUAAUAGGUGCAUACAACUUACAAGAUAGGAUCUAAAUAAUUUUCAUAUUCAGAGAGAACAUAAUAAGUUUAGGUAUGAAAUCAUGGCACUCGGGCCCUAGUGACAAGCAUUAAGCAUAGGAAAGUUAUAACAACAUCAAUCUCAAAACAUAAUGGAUACUAGGGAACAAACUCCAUCAAACUUAACUCGAUUACAUGAUCAAUCUCAUCCAAACCUCAUCACCAUCCAGCAAGCUUACUAAGGAAUUACUAGCACCCACUGGUGACCAUCAUGGAAUUCUUGAUGGAGAAGGAUUGAUGAUGACAACAAUGACGAAUCCCCCUCUUCCGGAGCCCCCAAAACGGACUCCAGAUCAGCCCUUCCGAGGAAGAACAUGAGGUGGCGGCGGCUCCGUCUCGUCAAACGUGAUGAAAUAUUCUCUCUGAUUUUUUUCUACGAAUAUGUGAAUUWMUAGGWSUAGAAUUAGGGUUGGAGGAGCCAUGUGCGCCCCACAAGCCAUCAAGGCAUGCCUAGGGGGGUGGGCGCACCCUGUUGGCUUGUGGCCCACAGACAGACCCCUCUAGUGGAUCUUUGCUCCAAAAUUCAUUAUAUAUUUCAGAAAUAAUUCACAAAAAAUCAUCAAAUUUCGAGAACUUUUAUUUUUGCAUAAAAAUAACACCAAGAUAGUUGUGCUAAAAAGUGCGUGAGUCCAAGUUAGUUCCAUUCAAAUCAUGCAAAUUAGAGUCUAAAACCAAAGCAAAAGUGUUUAAAAAAGUAGAUACANNNNNNNNNNNNNNNNNNNNNNNNNNNNNNNNNNNNNNNNNNNNNNNNNNNNNNNNNNNNNNNNNNNNNNNNNNNNNNNNNNNNNNNNNNNNNNNNNNNNUAUUGUAAAUUGCAAAAUAAAAUAAAAACAAGUAAAUUACAGCAAGGUAUUGAAGGUUUUGUAAAUGUAUGGUAAAUAGACCCAGGGGACAUAGUUUUCCCUAAUGGCAUCUCUCAUGAAAAACAGCAUACGGUGGGUAAAUAAAUUAUUGUUGGACAAUUGAUAGAAGAGCGGAUAGUUAUGCUAUAUUCACGACAAUGAUCAUGUGUUUAUAGGUACCACGUCCAUGAACAAAUAGGUUGCCUCCUGCCUGCACCUAUUACUAUUACUCCACUCUUCGACUGCUAUCCGGCAUGCAUCUAGAGUAUUAAGUUUAAGAGAGUAAUCCAUGGAGAACGAUGACAUGAUGUAGAAAAAGUAAACUCAAGGAAUAUGAAUAAACCCCAUCAUUUUAUCCUUAGUAGCAACAACACAAAGACGCAUCUUGUCCCCCUUCUUUUACUGGGACAUAGAACUUCGCCAGGUUGAACCUACUACAACGCAUCUCUCUCACCGAAGAAAUACCCAAUCUAGUUAUACUAGGUGNNNNNNNNNNNNNNNNNNNNNNNNNNNNNNNNNNNNNNNNNNNNNNNNNNNNNNNNNNNNNNNNNNNNNNNNNNNNNNNNNNNNNNNNNNNNNNNNNNNNACACUAUGAAUAUGUGUAACAUCACGAUCGAGAUUCAUCAAGAAUAAACCAUUACACCAACGAGCAUGACCAUAAAACAAUAUCACUCAUAUAAAUAGAACAACCAUUAUUCUCUGACUUAAAUGAGUAGCCGUCUCGCAUUAAGCAAGACCCUGAUACAAUAUUUAUGCUCAAAGCUAGUACUAAAUAACAAUUAUUAAGGUUUAAAACUAAUCCCGGUGGUAGAUGUAGAGGCAGCGUGCCGACGGUGAUCACAUCGACCUUGGAGCUAUUCCCGAUGCGCAUCGUCACCUCGUCCUUGGCCAGUCUCCGCUUAUUCCGCUGUUCCUGCUUUGAGUUGCAAAUGUGAGCAACAGCAUUGGUAUCAAAUACCCAGGAGCUACUACGAGCGCUGGUAAGGUACACAUUAAUAACAUGUAUAUUAUAUAUACCUUUAAUGUUGUCGGCCUUCUUGUCCGCUAAGUACUUGGGGCAAUUCCACUUCCAGUUACCUUUUCCCUUGCAAUAGAAGCACUCAGUCUCGGGCUUGGGUCCAUUCUUUUUCUUCUUCCCGGUAUCUGGCUUACCGGGCGUGGCAACGGCUUUGCCGUCUUUCUUGAAGUUCUUCUUACCCUUGCCCUUCUKRAACUAGUGGACUUAUUGACCAUCAACACUUGAUGCUCUUUCUUGAUUUCUACUUUUGCAGUACUUUAGCAUCGAAUACAACUCGCGAAUGGUCUUCUCCAUCCCUUGCUAUGUUGUAGUUCNNNNNNNNNNNNNNNNNNNNNNNNNNNNNNNNNNNNNNNNNNNNNNNNNNNNNNNNNNNNNNNNNNNNNNNNNNNNNNNNNNNNNNNNNNNNNNNNNNNNUGUAUUGAAUAGCAUCAAGUAUCUGAACAUAUAAUCUUCCACCAAGUAAUGCAACUAGCAUCAACUACAAAGAGUAAUUAACACUUCUAGAACCCUUACAAGUACCAAUCGGAGUCGCGAGACGGAGAUUGGUUACAAGAGAUGAACUAGGGUUUGGAGAUGAGAUGGUGCUGAUGAAGAUGUUGAUGGUUAUUAUUCCCCCUUGAUGAGAGGAGUGUAGGUGAUGAUGAUGGCGAUGAUUUCCCCCUCCGGGAGGGAAGUUUCCCCGGCAGGACGACCCUGUCGGAGCUCUAGAUUGGUUCUGCUCAAGUUCCGCCUCGUGGCGGCGGCGAUUCCUCCCGAAAGCCUCGUCAUGAUUUUUUCUGGAACGAAACCCUCCUUAUAGAAAUAGAGGGGAGCCAG
rnacentral:lncRNA from 1 species